rnacentral:lncRNA from 1 species
GCUGCUUCUGCCUGAUGAUCAUAAACUGACAAGGAAAAUGAAAAACCCAGUAUACCUGACUUUACUAUUGAUAUUUGAGUUAGCGAUUGGUCACCUCAUGAGCUUAUAUAGCUUUGUACUCAAUCAGCAACUAACCAUGAAUUAUGAAUACCAGUUAGACUUUUUAAGUUUCAUUUUCACUUUUUGUCGGAUUCUUAAGUGAUUACUACAAAUAUUGAUGAAUUAAUAUAUACCACCAAUUCAAUAUGCGAAUGCAGAAAACACUGAUAUUUAGAAGAAAAAAAAACCAGUUAUUAAGUGAAACUGAUCCAAGUGGAGCUGAUGCACAACUCUCCUCUUGUUCAAGCUUUUAAUCGCUCAAGUAAAUAUCCCCUGUCUAACUGUUUUAGCUCUUCAAGCUACCAUCAAACUUCUAUCAGUUAAGCCUGUACUAUAAUGGAAUAAUUCAAAGGAAUAUUUGUACAUCAAAAGAUGAAACAAAAGAUCAUAUUGAACCGAAACACAUUUAUGCCAAUUUGAUAAUAUUCUUCAAGCUCGUGCACAGUUUCAACAAUCUUCCAGAAAUCUCAUAGACUUGCAAAAGAUACAAAAAAUCUAACAUGCUCAAAGACAAGAAAUAAAAUAGGUUACCCAAAUCAUACAUGGACAUCAUUUCUAUCCCACUACGCAAAUGGAUCACUAAUGCUUCUUGAGUGCAUUCAUUUUGUCCCUGAGAUAGUAAAGCUUGGCCCUUCGCACUUUCUUCUUGUCCAGUAUCUUUAUCUCCUUUAUGUUAGGUGAAUAUCUGUCACACACCAACAGAUGUCAUUGAUUAGAGACUGAGAUCAUAGUAGAUAAUGAAACAAAUGAUAAGAACAAGCAACCCCACACACUAAAUACAAGUUCAAAUCUUUAACAAAUACAAGUCACCGGUUUCAAUGGAGCUUGUUAUUCACAAUGAGGUAAAUGCAAAAGAAAGAACUAAUCAAUCACUGCAAAAAUAGUCCUAAUGGUUUCAGUGAUGGAACUACAGGCUUGUGGCUCCAAGAUGUAAAACUCUUUAUUUGAGCCAUUAAUCUAUAAGUUCCAACAAAAAAUAAUAGUAAUCAUAUACAGGAUGUCAGAGAGGAUGAGAAGCGGAUGUCCGCACUCGGCUUAAAGUGCGGACGUCCGUCCGUUCUCCACCCUCCGGCACCGGCGACAGCACGCCUCCACCCCAGAAGACUCCAGCAGCGUCCCCGACCACUUUUCCUCCCCGGCGAGUCCGUUCUUUUCCAGUUUUCCGGCGAGAUCGACUUGUUUGAAGUUUUGGGUGAUCUCGCCGGAAAACUGGAAAAGAACGGACUCGCCGGGGAGGGAAAGUGGUCGGGGACGCUGCUGGAGUCUUCUGGGGUGGAGACGCGCUGUCGCCGGUGCCGGAGGGUGGAGAACGGACGGACGUCCGCACUUUAAGCCGAGUGCGGACGUCCGCUUCACAUCCGGCCUGUACAGGAUGUUGUACAACUAUCUGAUACAUAUUGUAGUUGACUGGCUGAGAAAUAACUAGGGUAAAUUGCUUCUAGGACAUCCAACCAACAAAAUCACAAAUUACACUUCACACUCGAUGCAGAGUCAAAAAAAGUAGAACUAGAGGACCAUAUUAGGAAACAGAAACACCAAGUUUUCUUACAGUGGAAAGAGAGAUUCAACCCCGACUCCAGCGACUAGCCUCCUGAGUCUGAAUGUUGAGUUUAGACCAGCAUUACGUCUUGCUAUCACAAUGCCUUUCAAGACUGAAACACGCCGCUUGUUGUCGGGUACUUCCUGUUCGCAUAUGGAGGUCAGUGAGAGGGGUGAAAAAGUUUGUUUCCAACAGAAUUGCAUCCAGAUAAAAAAGAACACUAUAACAUCAAGGAGAAUAUAUUAUACCACUCUGAGUUGCACGAUAUAACCAGGCUUUAUGUCAGGGAUUUCUCUCUGCUCCCUCACUUCCUGCACAGCUUCUUUAUCUAGGAUCUGUGGAAAACAUAGAAUUCACAAUUGUAACAAUAGGAAGAGAUCAUCUGUUAUUUCUUAUCACAAAAUGCCAGGAGAGAUAGAUGCUUACCUGCAUUAUGUGCUUCGCAGUUUUAUCAAGCCUCUUAAAUUUGACGCGGGAAGGUGCAUCAAGCUCAGUCGUCAAAUCUUGAGUUGCUGAUUCAAUUGUAUUACCCACUGUUGUCAUGCCCCUGCAGGGGAAAGGUGGUGAAAUUCCUGUCCAUUGAAACAAGCCUGGUUGAGGACUCUUCAGUAACAUGGCAGUACUCGAGCACGUCAAUGUCUCAGUUUGAGAGCCCGUUUUGGCCUGGUGGAAUAAAUCUAUAAGCAUCACAAAAUAAGUAUAUGCUAGGAAAACAAAAAAAAUUACAUUGGUCUUCAAACGAAUUCUACACUAACUUAUGAACUUGAUGAACACUAUCAAGUGACCAUCCAAAUGAUGAAAGGUAAGAUAUAUAUGCACACUCAGAUUCAAAAGUGCAUUACAGGAUGCAAUUAAAAUGGUUCUAGAGCUCCAAUGUAACCCACUGCAACGGUCUCAAUAUACACGAUACCAUGAACCAAAUUUAUUUGAAGUUAACAGGGAAACAACAUAAAUUCACAAAUGAAGUAGUUGUGGAUUAAUAAUAACUAUCUCUGCCGGGUAAACUUUUACUCGAUACUGAUGGUGGAAGAGACAACCAAAGUUGAUUCAAAGCACAAUCAUUUUAUUCAAUAUCUAAUCAAACAAGGACACACACACUCAGAUUGAUAUCCCGUUUUGGCAUGGUAACUUUUAUGCAUAUUAAAAAUGGUGGUCCUUAAAAAAAAAAAACAAUGGUGUUAAUUGUGUAAUGUGAGGUGAUCAAUGAAACUGAGUACGAGAUGAGCACAUGUUUCUUAUAGCUAUGAUCUUGUAAAACAAAGGGUAUCCGGUAUCCAAUUGAACCGAAACAAUACUAUGAUACAGUACAAGUAUAAAAACCCACCAAACAAGGGGGAAAGAUUCCAAAGUAAUACUCGCAUGCACAUAAAUAACAAGUUACUAAGGGAUGCUUCAAUUAGAACAUAACAACAAUUCACUGAAUGGUACUUGAAUGGAAUUGAUAUAGUAAAAUAAACAGCAGAAGGUAAACAUUCACUACUGCCUGGUGAUAACUCAUCAUCACCGAUAUAUAACACAGACAAAUGGUGGCCGGAUUUAUCUGAUACAUUCGAAUUAAACAACAUACUACAUAAUCCUUCUGCAACAAUUUAAAAACUUGGCAACCAAAGGGCGAACUCAGUUUCAUUGAUCACUUCCGUAUUGCAAAGAUCCCUACUCUGAGAGAGUACUUCAUUGCGAGCCUCCAAGGACCCAAACCUAGAGUGAUUUUAUUUUUUACCUCAAAAAUCUCAAACCUACGCUUAAGUCCAGGUGAGCCAAUGGCUGGCUCUGACAGUCAUAUAGAUGAAUGAUAAGAACACUUGGUCUCAAGGCUACACUAGUGAACUAACACACUCCAAUCAUCAGCUACUUUAAGUUCAAUCUUCGACUACUACGCUCCUCAAAGAAAUUAGAGAAACAACAAAGAAACUUUACGAUAAAAAUUGGAAAUUUAAAGAGCGAUAUGGAAACAUACAAAUGAAUGAUAAGAACACUUGGAGAGAGACCCAACUCCAUCGGAAGCUAUGGAGCCGCUAAACCCAGCACCGCCGCGAAAUGGGUUUGCUCCGGUUGAACUGAAAUGAGCGAUCUUUGAGGUUUGCCUAUGGAGAAAUCGGAGGCCAGCAGUUAAAGAAUGCAUUUUUAUGAAGCUCACGUCUGCAAAAUCAAAAUGGGUUUGUUGGGUUGCUCAGAAAAUGAGGGGAAUCAAAAAGUAGAGAAGAAUUUUGGUUUCUGGGACUUUACCGACGACGACGACGGCUAAACCUGUGUGUGAGGUUUUUCAGAAUUUGGGGUUUAUGUUCAGAGCUUCUUCUUCUUUUUGUUUUGGGCUUCUUCUUUUUUUUGGUUGGGGCCUAAAUUGGACUCGAUGAUUUAAAAAUGAAACAAGUCAAACAACAAUACAGUCUUAGCCCAAUAGUGAAUUUGACAUUUAUUGAGCAACCCUUUAUCAUAGUGCAAGUUUAAUGGAAAAAUAUCUUGUAAUAUAACAGUGUGUAUAAGAUAGGGAGUAUGAAUUCCAUUUACAUUUAAUUUUCCCGCUAAACUGACUAAUGCAAGUACCUACUUGAUCACCAUGAACUCAAACUCAGCCUACUCAGGGGGUAUAAUAUUAAGAUAUGAAAAUAAUGGGUUUCUUGAAACAAAAUCUGUUCAACGAGCAAAUUUAAGUUAGGCAAAAUCUUCUCAUGACAUGUCUAAAUGAGGUUGAAAUCCCCUUUAGUUGUGAUGAUCUAUCAUUUAGGUAGAUCUAAAUAAGGUGAAAUUUCCUCAAGGUGGAUUUAAAUGAGAUGGUAUCAUGUUCCAAUCAGGAGACAGGUCAAAAAUGAUGACUCAAUCUAUUUGAAGAACUUGGAUCCUCUCAAGGUGAUCUAAAUAAGGCGGAAGCGAACAUUUAAAUUAGUUAGCUUGGUGGAAUCUUGAGCAAGAGGAAAGCACUCCUCCACAUUAUCGUGUGAGGGGCGCAAUGAUCCACUAUCGCGUGAGUUCAGACUUUACACAUCAUUACACACGGUAGUCGACAUAUCAUAUACCUUAUUUAUAAAUAUUUAGUGAGUUGAACAUUCGAGAUAAGUAAUCGAUUUUGUCUACGCUUAAUACAACUAAAUCAGUCGAUUUAGGCAUCAUAAUAUUUUUCACGAGUACCUUAUUUUCUUAUAUUUGACUUAUCUAAAUGGAAAAAGGCAUGAAGACAUUAACCGCAAAGUCUUGACUCACGUUCUAAUCAGAAAAAUAUGUGAGGAAAUCUUCUACUAAAUUUUUCCUCACCUACAUCCAUCAAGGUUUCAAACCAGUUAACUAAAUAAAAGAAUCUCAUCUUUAAGGAGUGCUUCCUCUUUUAUUGCUUGAAUUUGCAGACAGACCGUAAACUAUAAUGCAUCAACAUCCCACAGCAGAUAUCCUCUCAUUUUAUAAACCUUUUAUUUCUUAUUUUCCUUCACUUUUCCGAUAUAUAUAGAAAUGAGGGAUUAUCCAGCACAGUCUGCAACAAUAAUGAGCACCAAUAUAUUGCCAAUAUACAUAUGGUGCUGCAUGACACAGCUAGAGGGGGCUGGACCAGAUCUGCAGCUGCAAAAUUAAUAGAGAUUCCUCAGUCUUUUUACUCAGCAAUUGUCUCCACCCCUAGAUUCCCUCUCCUACACCAUUUCUGAACACAAAGUUCUGAACUUUACUUCUCCUCCAUCCCACAUUGAAACUUUAGAGAUGUCACUUAUUCAAACAAUAAACAAUCAUCAAGACUCGCAUUGGAAAACCCAAUUCCGUUUAGUUUUGACAGGUCAUUGUAAAGCUAGCUAGAAAUCUGGUGUGUGACUAUAAAUGGCCUUCUUCUGCUAUUAACCAUAUGUACAGAACCAAGUGAUUUUUAAGUGCAGCAGAAGCAAAACCCACCUAGGAUUCACUAAAGCUGUCUGGUAAAUCAAAAGUAGAAAACUUUAUAAAAACAAAUAAAGAAAUCCAAUAUAAAUAGAAUCCAAUCCAAAUCCAGCAGAUUAUAGAAUAUAAAAGGUUGGUUCUUCCCUCACUCUCACUCACUGCCAGUCUAUAUGCCAGUUUGGAAUUCAAUUUUAAAAUCCCAUGAAUGCUGCCAAACAACCCCUCUGGCCGCAUCUGUGACUCACCCAUCUUGUGACUAAGAUCUCUCUCUCUCUCUCUCUCUCUCCCCAUGACCCAUGUUAUUAAAAUUCCAUACUACUCACAGAUUUCACAAUCCAGCUCUCCCCAAUUUGUUUCCCUCCCUAGCCUCCUCACAACUCACAACUUCUUACACUAUGCAAGACCACAUUGGCAUCCCUGCUUGCUUUUCUUCAGCUGAGAAGCUCAGUGAUGAUGCCUCAGCUGUGACCAGGUCAGGCCACAGUGUCUACAUGUCAGUCUACAGAGCCAAGCUUGCUGGCCAGAGCCGCUUGAUCACAAUCACAUGGUGCAAAAACCUUCUCCUUCAUGGCCUCUCAGUCUCUGUGGAGGGCCCUGAUGGAGAGAACCACCAUUCCUGCAAAGUUGAGCUCAAGCCAUGGUACUUCUGGAGAAAACAAGGCUCGAAGCGCUUUGCGGUCAAUGGGAAACAAGUUGACAUUUUCUGGGAUCUUAAGGCUGCAAAGUUCAAUGGUGGAACUGAGCCGAAGUCCGAGUAUUAUGUUGCAGUUGUCUGUGAGGAAGAGGUUGUGUUACUACUUGGUGAUCUUAAGAAAGAUGCAUAUAAGAAGACAGGGUUUAGGCCUGCUUUGAUUGAUCCCGUUUUGGUUUCUAAAAAAGAACACAUCUUUGGCAAGAAAAAGUUUACCACAAAGGCCAAGUUUUAUGAGAAGGGCAGGCUUCAUGAAAUCUCUAUUGAGUGCAAGAAUAGAGCCGCAAAUUUGGGCAAUGCUGGCAGUUCUGCAAAUGGGGUUGAGCCAGAGUUGGAGAUUAGAGUAGAUGGACAUUUGGUGGUUCAUGUCAAACACCUUCAGUGGAAGUUCAGAGGUAAUGAAUCUAUUCAUAUCAAUAAGUUGAGAAUAGAGGUGUAUUGGGAUGUGCAUGAUUGGUUGUUUAGUCCUGGUUUAAGGCAUGCAUUGUUCAUUUUCAAGCCAAUUUUGCCUUCCACAUCUCUAUCACCAUUGUCUAGAUCAUCUUCUUCGUCGCCGCCUUCAUCUUCCUUGUCAUCAACACUAUCUUCUCACAUGUCAUCAACACUAUCUUCCCAAACAAGUUGUGGUUCACUAGAAGGGCUUAAUGCAAGUGGCUCUUCUGAGUUUUGCUUGUUUCUUUAUGCUUGGAAGGUUGAAUGAGAGGAAUAUCAUGGCCCCAUUUGGCAUUGCUUUUAGAAGUGCUCAAAGAGCGUUUCGCAUGCUCAAAAACGUUUUUGGUAGCCCUUCUAAUCUACGGAAUAGUUGAAAGUGUUUUAUGAGUUACAGAAGCAUCGCGGCGCGCCAAUCAAACCAUGUGUUAGACUAGUAGUGUCAUCAUCAUUGUCAUCUGAAGAAUGAGGCGGGCAAAUGAAAAGGGUCAUCAAGAAAUGGGAGAUGGGAUAUCAUGGAAUGGUGAAGAUGCAUGUUGGAUUGAGAAAGAAGGAAGUGGACCCAACAAAGGUUUGGGGAGUUAGUUACAGCUGGGAAUGAAGAAAUGGGCAUAUUGGACAAAGACAGAUUGUAACAUCACAUACAUGCUCAAUAAUUUUCUCUCCAACUAGAAGCAUCUCCAUCUGUAUGUUUUUAUAUAUACAGACCCUCUUUCUCUUUCUUGAUCUGAUCUUGAUAAUUGAGCAGUAGGUAGUUUCUUUCUAACUCUAUGUACCAAACCAUGUAUGCAAUAUGUUUUUAUAUAAAAGAAAUGUAAACAAUAUGUAUGUUCAAAGGUUACUGAAUGUUUGUAUCUGGUAUAUAAUGAUCAUAUAUAUAUAUAUAUGUGACAGAUGAGAAGAGGAGCUGUUUGUUGAUGAUGAUUGAAUCACUGAUUGGCAACUUGUAACAGUUUCUUUAUCUUUCAUUUGCUCUUUUUUCCCUUGCUUUUCUCAAAGCUUUUGACCUUAACUAACCAACACCCACCUUCCCAUUUGAAAAGAACUGGAAAAUCACAAAGAAGGGCAUCUUUGGAUUGAAAAGGAGAAAAAUCGAAGUUAAAAGACAUGGAUUUACUUUCCACCUGUAGAAAAUUAUUGAAUAUCUUCAACUAUUUUGGUCAUGCAACUUCCACUGCCAACUCAAAAGAAAAUUUUCCAUCUAUUUUAGUUCAUGAUGAAAACUUGGCCUUUUUACCAAAGAGCAUGCAUCAUUUCACUGUUUUUAUUUUCAUAGCAUAUGGAGGAGCAUAUAAUCAACUCUGAAAUGGCGCUAUCAUGAGUCAAGAAUAACAUUAACUACUUUCAACGUUUACAGGCCUGGACAAUUUUAAAACAGAUACAGUUAACAGUGUUCUUGACUUCUUCCAGGCAAAGCAUUUAUAAUUUGAAGAAAACAAGAAAUUCAAGGUGCAUGUGAACAAGAACAACAAUGAGAUAAAGAACCACAGUUGUAAUACAGCAUGAGUCGAUGUUACCAAUACUAUAUCAAGUUCAACAACAACUCCAGCCCUUAUUGUAUUUGACAAAAAAAAACAAUAAAUAGGCAUAGGCACAUUGCCACAAAGGACAUUUUUACAUUCUCUCUAUGAAGUUUUUCAAAUCUUCCUCUUACAAGAAACUAAAAGCAACUUUGGAUUUAGUUAUUGGCAUGGGCAAAAUACUUCCUUGAUGGUAUCAGCAGAUAUCAAGAUUUUUUUUCUCCUAAUGUCAUCAAUGCAGGUUCUUCUAGCUAGAUGAAAUUUACAGUUAAAACAUACCAAAAUAGUAAUGUGUCCUCAUUUGUUUCCAAAACCAAACCAUUUUGCAAGGAAGAACUGAUUCUUUCCUCGGUUGGGACUAGGCACCCCUUUUGGUGGUGGAGCUGAAGCUGCUGUGACAGGUGGUUUAGCUACAACAAGGCAUGAAAUCAUAGACAUGUCAGUUGUAAAAGCUUAAGGAAUCAAUGAAUUAUUUAAAAAGCUCAUUUUUUUUUCAGUUAAAGGUGAUUUUGGAUUAGCUUAUAAGGGGAUCACAUGUAUCCGUUCUACAUAAAAACUGCACCAGGUUGAACCUAAGAAAAUGGGAGAUUGGUAGUGGAGAAAUUACUCAAUUCAACCAUGCUACCUAAGGACCGGAGAAAAUGAAUGUGAAUAUAUUAUAAAUCUGACUCUGAUAGAGUAUAAAAUGUAGUCUAACCAGAUUUUGGAGAACCCUUUUUUGCGUUUUUUGCAGCAUCAUGAGCAUUCUUGUCUGAAUUUUGGAUUAAAUUCAUCUCACGACGAGAAUUAGAAGCUGAUUUCUUCUCUGAAACCUUCUGCUUCACAUGUUCUGUACCAUCACCGCUGCCUGUAAUCAUAUGAAGAAGUGUCAAGUAAAAAUUCUGAAGUACUGUAGUGUGUGAACUGUGAACUAAUGAUAUCCUAAUGUAAACAAAGCUACAGAAUGUAACUAUAUAUGAGUUAGCUUACUUUCAUUAGGAGACUUCCCAUAAUUUUGCCUCAAAGCCUCAAGAAAGGAACUGUCCCCCUGAUGUUGUGUCACUGAUCAUAGAGAACACCAUAAGAUUGAAAUUUGAUUAAAGUUACUAGACUUGACUUAUACAAGCAACAUAUUUUCAUGGAUGAUCUAGACAAGGAUAUUAAGAAAUUGGUACAUUGAUCGAAGAGUGCAUUCCGGUAAUUGGAUGGCAAGCCAACUAAGAGCAACUGAACUGCCUCUGCGUCUCUUGUCAUAGACAAUUGACCUGAUGCUUUCAAAUUUUGAGUGUCUAAUAAUAUACCUGCAAGCUGCAACACAAGAAAGUCCCUGAAAAUCUUAACAGAAAAGAAAAGAAAUGCUUCCUUUUCAGAGAGCUAGGGUGAAGUAAGUACCAGAAGUUUCUUGAGCAAAGGGUUGUCAAGUAGAUGAUAGGCAUCUUCACAGUAAUUAUCGGUAAGAAUGGUGCAAUGAGAUCCAACCUCGCCAUUAUUUCUCAGGACAUCUUGCCCGGUUACAAGGAUAUUCAACUUGCCAGCCAUCAUUAGACUCUCUAAAUCCACCUGCAACAGCGCGAAUUACAUCAACAAAUCAACUUGCAGCAUUUAGGCCUAAUUACAAAGCAGAUAAGCACAUAGAAAUGCCAAAGAAGACAGGCACAUAGAAAGUACUUACUUCAUCAGAGAAAAGCAAAGAAGUGACAUCAAGGCCAACAUGGUAAAAUAGCCAAGCAGCCUCUCUUUGCUUCCACAUCCUCCCUCUCUUUACAUUCAUCACUGGAACCACAACAUACUGCUCCUCAUCUUCGUUAGCAUUCCCUGCUUUACUCUUCUUAUUUUCCUUCCUCACUCUGUUCUCCAAUAGCCAUGCAUAACAUAUUGCUGCCACCAUCGUACUUGUACCUGCAUUCCAGUGUUAUGCAGUGACACAUUAUUGGUACUACUGUCAUCUUUGCGAUACAAAUUUGAAAACUAAAUCGAAACAUAUUAAACAGAUCAUAUAAUUCAGUUAUUACAUCACUUAUUAUAAUCAAUUACGUGAAUUAACAUAUCAACUAUCCACGUCAUAAUAUCAAGUUAUUUAGAUUAUAAAUCGAAUGUAUACAUAACUUAUGAAAGUACUUACUAUUUGAAGGGUCGGAAAGUACGAUUCUAGCCUUGGAAUUAACUUGACCAUCCAAGACUUUACAAAUUUUUCUUCUUUGUUCUUUGAGAAACUCAUUGAGAUCAUCAAUGCCUCUUCCUUGAUCUUGUGCUUGAGCUUCAUCCUUAGGCCAACCCACUGGAUUAGCCUUUAUUGGAGCCUUCUCGAUAGAGCAAGUAGACGACGAUAUAGAUCUCCGGUGGGCCGAAGGAACAAGGUCUUUGGGCGGAGACAACAGCUUAUUAUCAGGUGUUGCUGAUGGACUUUGAAAGGUCCGGCGGGAAGGGACAGGGAUCCCCUGCGGGCGAGGUGAGGAAGGAUCGUUUUGGAACCGCGACCUACGUGGCCGCGGUUGGCGGGGAGGAAUAGUUUGAGGGGUAGGAUCGGAAUUUGGCUGUGGCUGCUGGCUGGGUACUUGCUCCUGAUUGGAGGGCUUGAGGAUAUUGGAAAACCAUUUGUGCACCGCCGCAGCAGGGGAAUCAUCUUGUGGAGAAGCAGGCGAAGAUGGGGUGUCUAGCGCUACUUCCGACCUGUUCCGGCUGUGCUUCGCUGUGGUCUUCGAUAAUAUCUCUCCACUCAAGCUCUCCGUCGGUCUAUACCUGUGUUAUUUAUUUCGGUUGGGUAAGUGAGAAUUCCGAACUCGUCUAUCAUAUCGAUAAUUUAGCAACAUAACAUGUUACAUUAAUAUUUAUUACAUACCUUCUAGCCGACCUAGAGAGCGGGUCCCUGCGAUCAAGUGCCGAAGAGAGGGAUAACCUAGCAGCCUGGCCUUGGGCUGCCGCAAACCUCGGCGAGCCUGUAGCUAACCGGGAAGGUGAGUUACUACGAGAAGGGGAAGACGCAACAAUGCGCUUAGCCUCUUCUAGCCAUUCUUGAGUCAUUUUGCUAUUACUACUCGUUCUAGCAGUAGCACUAGUAGGAGUACUGGUAGAACUAGUAGGAGUGGUGGUGGCGCUGCUAUUAGGACUGUCCUCCAUGUAGUCGUCUAAGUCUCCGGUCAAGUUAUAAGAUUUGGUCUCGGUGCUGACGGUGCCGAAGAACAUGUCGUUCAUGAAGUCUGUGAGGUCCGCCACUUGUUGCGGUUGCUGUUUACGGCGGAUUAUCUCUGCUGCAGGUUUCUUGUUUUGCUGCUGCAUGGUUAGUGCUGUAGGCCUUUUGCUUUCUUUGCUGCUGAAUCUCGUCGCCAUAGCUAAGCCGGUAAAAUCGAAUAGUCCUCUGAUCCAAAGAACAAGUACAAGAGGCGAGCUCCGAUCAAUGUUUCAGAUGAUCAUUGGGUUAUAUGUCAUUGAUUCUGAGAGACGUACCUAGCAAAGUUGGAAAUAUUCGGCCGGCAUUUUUCGGUCACUGUCUUUUACUAUGUGUAUUUGUGAGUGUACAUAUCUUUGUGUAUGUGAUGCCAAACCUUGUAUUUUGUGAUUUUGUCUACGUUUCGCUUUUGGUACAUGACUGAUUUGUUUCUAGCAGGAAUUUCAUUUGGAAUCGUGAUACAGUGCUCCUAGUGUUCUUUUUUUUUUUUUUAUGGCUCCUAAUUUUUAUUGGUGAUCCUAACUUCCAAUGCAAGGAUGCAUGAGUUAUCAUGAAAAUGCGUUGGGCCUUGUGGCUUUUAGCUGAGUCUUGGACUAAGCUCUUUGAGUUUAAAUUUUCAAAUCAGCUUGAGCCCCCGAUGCUUGUCUACCCGUUCUUGGCUACCAAAACUGGUACAGUUGUGGCCAAGGAGAUUCCAAAGGACUACACGAUGGAAAUUAUAAGGAUUGAACAUGAAGGAGAAGAACCACUUAUUACAAACAGGCUUCGGAGGAGGUAUCAUAUGCCUGCUAUGAUUGUAGUUGAUGAAAGUCUACUCUGCAAUCCUGAUUAUCAUGCAUGUGAUCAUAGAAUGCAAGGUGAAAAAAAACAACAGAUGGUCCUGCAAAGCAGAAAUCAAGAGAAAUAAUUGCCACCUGCUGCCUUGCUCUCUUCAACCACUUAUGGUUAAUUAUCCUCAUUUUCACUCUGCCAUAUUACUUUUAUUGUGUUAGGUCCUUAUUUACCUUAUUUCAACAGAAGCAAUAAUUUUAUAUCGUAAAUUGUAGAUUAUAAGGUUAACUGCUUGUGUAAGCUAUUACAAUCUAUGGUUAUCGGAGCUUUGUUUUUGUUUUUUUUGUUUUUUUGAGUUGAUUCGAAGAAGAAUAAGUAAACAUAUCGAUUGCUCCUUGCACAUAGUUAUUUUGAAUGUAUGACAUUUAGUCAUUUCAAAAACAAAAAACAAAAAAAUCCAAGUUCAUUUCUAUUUUACCAUGGUCGAGCUAGGUAAAAGUUUAGGUAUGAAAUCUCUACAUGUGUUCGAAUCUCGCUGACGUUAGUUAAAAUUAAAUCUCAAUAUGUCUUUACUGGUCAGUCGCCUUCUCACAUGAUCCGGUACAGAUUAAACAUCAUUUUUUUAAAACCGUUUAUCAAGAAAAGUAUAAAGUUUUUCUUUUUGUGUGUGUGUGUAAUACAAACAGCCGAAGAAGAAUUGGAUAAGCACAUUCAUAAUCCAUACAUGUCAAUAUUCUCCCAUGAAUCAAAAGAAAAAUGUACGAACUGUCUAUAUACUGAUAACGAAUUGAUUAACAAUACUUGCAUAUAUAUGAUAUCCGUCUAGCACCUCCUCUCCUAUCCAAAGCAUCUAACUACUAUAAACUAUUUGACUUCAUUUUUAAAAUUCUAAUUGCAAUAUUCCUUUAAGAACGUACAUUCACAAAGUACUAAUCCCUUAUCUCUAGGUCUAUUGAGAAUUCUCAUAUACAAAUUCUUGUUGACGUUGAUGAAUUUGAAUCCCUCUUCUCCUUUAUAUCUAAAUGAAAAGAACUAAAGAAGAACAUCCUUCAAACUACUCAUUUUUAUAUAAUCUUUGAUCAAUCGAGUUUGAUGAACGUUGUAUUUUUCUUGUCAGAGGCUUAACUAAGAGCCUCUAGAGUGGAGACAAGAGACACUUAUGCAAGCAUAGUUGGUCUGCUUUGCCUUUGGGGUCGCCUUCUCAGCCUCUCUUAGUUGACUUCACAAGCAUUUUGCCUUCUCAGAAUAUAUUCUUUCUCAUUUGCUAAUUAACAUUGUCUGUCUAUAACCGUGUAAGCUUCAUUUGCUUCCCAACUCUGUGGCCUUCUCCUUUUGUUGUUGUUUGCCCUUUCCAAAACAUUAGAGGACAAAAAGAUAGAAUCUCUCAAAUGAAAAAAAAUAUAUUCAGAGGUAUAGAAUCCAUAGGAAUGAGCAUAAGGCCAAGUAGGCAAGUUGCUUCAACCUUGUAUAUGAACACAAACAAAUUCCAACCUCCUCAGAGUCAACCAUUAAACAAAACCCCAAACACAUUCAGCCCAAAAAUCUUGUUUGGUUUCAAUACUCUAUUCCAAAAUAUCAAACAAAACCAUCCCUUCAGGGUUCUUUAGAGCCAUUUCGAUCAUAUUCUAUGCUAUUUUCUCCACGCACAGUGCAACGCUUAGGUUCCUAAUCUCACACAAUCCAGCAUAUACUUUGGCCUUUUGACCUUUUCUGCGUACCUCAUUUCUCACUUUUUCUAUUCUAUUUUCUUUGCCUUGUACUUUGUAUAAAAAGGGUUCCCCAAGUACCAGUUAAUCAUCAUCUCAUCAUCUUCAGUAUCAGUGUCUCAUAGUAUCUCCCUCUCUUUCUCUCUCUGCCUUUCUGCAACUCAAAGCAACCAAAAGGACUCAGAUGGCUUCUCGUGUUGGGAUUCUAUUGGCUUCUGUGCUUGUCCUCUCCUGCUUGGCAGGAACCUCCUAUGGUGUCCUCUUCUCCUCUCUGAAACAAACUCUUGUUGUAACUACUACACAUGGUAUGUGCAUAAUUUCCAUGAUAAAUUCUCAAACUUUCUACUCCCAAAUCCUUGUUUUCCAAUUGGGUUUUUGUUUAAGUUUUCAUUUUAAUUCAUGGAUCUACGUUUCAGCUUUACUUUCAAUGAAAAGUCUCCGACUUUCUAGUCUCAAAUCAUUGUUCUUCAAUUGGGUUUUGUUUAAUUUCUGAUUCUAACAAGAACUGGUAUUUGCAGUUGCGGCAAACGGAACACUCCUGAAAGCUGGGGAAGACAAAAUCUCAGUAACAUGGGGAUUGAACCAGAGCCUCCCAGCCGGGACUGACUCGGCCUACAAGACCGUCAAGGUGAAGCUCUGCUACGCGCCGGUGAGCCAAGUAGACCGCGGGUGGAGGAAGACAGUGGACAACCUCGUCAAGGACAAGACCUGUCAGAAGAAGAUCGUCGCCAGGCCGUACAACGCCUCCACGGAGACCUUCGAGUGGACCAUUGAGCGUGACGUGCCCACCGGCAAGUACUUCGUACGCACCUACGCCUUCGACGCCGAAGGUGUGGAGGUGGCUUACGGCCAAAACACGGGAGCUAAGAAAGACUCCAACUUGUUCGAGGUGCAGUCCAUCACCGGCCGCCACGUGACGCUUGAUAUCGUCUCCGUCUGCUUCAGCGCUUUCUCUGUUUUGUCCCUGGCUGGGUUUUUCAUUGCUGAGAAGACGAGGGCAAAGUCGUCCAAAAGAAAUGUUGGCAACUAAGCCGAUUUAUGAGAAUGGGAAUCAGAAAAGUCCACCAAUGUUUGGUUGGUUCUAGUAUUACCUUCACUAGCUUUGUAAGAUUAUAGUCGUUGUUUUCCCAUAAGCAGUUAUGCAUUAUCAUGUUUUUAAUACUUUAAAUGUAUGAGAAGUUGAAAGUGAUCAAAUGUUGAGUCGAGUGUGGCUUAGGAAUGAAGAGAUGACAACUAUAAUUAGUACAAUAUUACGUCGACGUGCUAGAAUAGAAGGUCAUCACUAUCUUAUACUAUUACGAUGGUGUGUAUGAUGAUGAGCUUGCAUCCUUAAUGAAGUCAAUGCAAUGUUGUUGAUGUGAUAAUUACUAAUUUUAAUUUUAGGUUAUGAUGAACUAGUAUGUCGUAGUGAUUCUCGGUGGCUGAUUUACGAAUCUUCAAGAAUAUAUAAGUUAGUAAAGCAUGUCACUAUAUAAGACACCGAUGAUUCUAGCACAUAUGAUGAUUUCUAUAUAGCUAUAGACAAUUGACACUGCACGAUAUUUAUUUAUUUUUUUUAUGAUUUUUAGAUAAUACUAUUUUUAGCUGCUGAUGUUUGAGUAUGUCAUAGACAUCGCUUUAGUACAAAGUCACGAAUUGAUAGACGAAUAUAGAUGAACCAUCUUAGUAGUUGUCACUAAUGGUAUUAUUGAUGAUUUUUAUCUAUUUGUUCGAUGUUGAACCAACAUUGCCACAAUAGUUUAUGUACCGGAUAAAUUGCAAGCACAAAAGCUAAUCAGCAUGAGGGAUUAUCAUCAAUACGAUAAUUGAAUCAUGAGUGACGAUCAAUGCAUUUUGCAUCUACAAUGCACUGGAUUGGAUACGAGCACCACACUCCCUGAGGCUAUGUGCUGAUCACCUUCACCAGGCGACCACAUUAUCCAACUCUAGCACUAGCUACUAUCUAACAAGUAACACGAACCUUGGCUAGCUUAUAUCUGAAAUUCAUUGGUUAAAUUUGAAAAUUGAAUAAUGAAAAGGAAUCGAAAAUGCAUUAAAAGUAACUAGCUAGUGGAGAAAAAAAAAAUGUUUGAAAGUCGCCUCUUCCACUCGUUCACACAUGCAGCUUUAAGCUGCAUUGUAGUGCAAGAUUUUCGCUUGAAUGUUUAUAUAUACGUACAGAGAUUCAGAUUUCACAGAAAUCAAGUAGAAAUUAACUUCCGAAAAUUCUCAGAUGGCAUCGCGUAGUGAGAUUGUCUUCGCUUCCCUUCUUCUUUUUCUUUCGUGCAUAUCAGAACCCUCGUAUGCAAAUGGCGUCGUCCUCUUCUCCUCUCUGCCCAACACUAUCGAAAUGAUCGUUUCACCCCACAAACCUGAACAGGGUAUGUAAAAUUUUUCAGCUUUCUAGUCCAAAAUUCGAGCUUUUCUCUUACUAUGAGGGUUAAUUUAACUCAGCAUCAUUUCAGUUGUGAAACCCGCCGAAGGUAGUUGGACCUUUGGUGGGAUGUUAAAAGCUGGAGAAGACAAACUCAGCAUCUCAUGGCGUCUAAACCAGAGUUUCUCAGCCGGAACCACCGACUCAGCGUACAAGACUGUGAAGGUGAAGCUGUGCUACGCGCCGGUGAGUCAAGUGGACCGCGGGUGGAGGAAGACUGUGGACAACCUCGCCAAGGACAAGACAUGCCAGUUCAAGAUCGAAACUAGGGCAUACAAACAUGGCUCUAGCAAGUGGAAGUACGUAGAUUGGACCAUAAAGCGUGACGUGCCUACUGCCUCGUACUUCGUACGCGCCUACGCGUACGACGGCGCAGGUGUUGCGGUGGCUUACGGCCAAAGCACGGGACCUAAGAAGAACUACAACAUAUUUGAGGUUCAGGGGAUCACCGGACGACACAAGACGCUUGAUGUGGUGUCGAUUUGCUUCAGUGCUUUCUCCGUUUUGUCCUUGGUUGGCUUCUUUGUUAUUGAAAAGACCAGGGCAAAGCCGACCUAAUCAGUGAAGUGAUAUUCCGUGGUACACUCCCAUCAUCCAACUCUCUGUGAUGUUUCAUUAUUUUGGAUGAUCCAACAGUUACCAGAUUAAAGAGACGGCUACAAAUUAAGAAGACCUAUUUCUCUUCUCCUUUAUUAAGAAAUUACACUAAUGAUAAAUUGAAAAUGACUGUGUAUUUAAAUUCUGCAUAACGUAUGAGGAAAAAGAUCAUGAACGUAUCCCUAGUGAAAAACUUCUCCAUCUUAAUAUCCGAAUGCUCCUCAUUCAUGAUUCAUGUAUUAAUAAUCAUGCAUUCUGCAUUAUAUUUAAAGACUAUUUUGUUUUUAUGAUUGUCAUCACGUCGUGCAUACAAGAGUUUCCCUUGUUUUAAGAUGGCCAUGAAUUACGUGAAUUCAUGUGAAAAUUUUCAGUCAGAGCCUCACAGGUCAUAUAUAAGAAAAUUUCCCUAACAACUGUGCAAAUUAUGAACGCUAGACAUUACGUACCCACGAUUCAGUUUGCCACUAGAAGAUCGAAUAUCAUAAAACUAUGGGGAGGUGACUAUAAUACUGAUUAAAAGUUAGUUAUAUUCGGGUCUUCUCUCAAAAUGGUUCAGAAUCAUUGCAUGCAGUUCAAAGUAAGUCAUCUCAUUCUGAAGCUAAUAACUAACACCGUCAUUCUUACUUAAUCUGGAAAAGAAUAAGCAAAAUUUGAAUAAUUUAUACAAGAUAUAUAUACACUCUUUCAAUACCAGCUCAAUAAUCUUUGCUCAAACGGGGGGCGCGGCUGUUUGCUCCUACUAUGCUUCUAUGCUGCUAUUUAUAGCAUUAUAUUCAGCAUAUAUAGGACUGAAAGGACUUAUUAUCAAACAAUUUCAAAAACUAUCAGAUCGAUGGCAUCAUAUGGUCGGAUUCUGUUGGCGACUCUUCUUCUCCUCCUCCUGGCAGAAACCGCUUAUGGAGGCAUUCUACUAUCCUCUCUGCCCAACACUCUUUCUGUCUUUGCUGCGGCUCAGAGACCAGGCCGGGGUACGUAUGCAUAUAUAGUUGCAUACAUGUAACUAACUAUUUUCCAUGCAGAUCGAGCUUUAUUUACCAAAAGUUUCUUUAACUCUUCAACUUGAUCUAUGGGAUUUACAGUUUUCCCUGUUUUUCUUUUGCUGGAGCUACGACACCGAACGGGACAUAGUACUUAGAUUUUCAGAUAACAGCCGGAGAAGAUAUACUCGGCGUUCUGUGGUCUCUGGACAAUAGGAGUUUCCCAAUGGGGACCGACACGGCGUAUAAGACGGUCAACCUGAAGCUGUGCUACGCGCCGGUGAGUCAAGUGGGCAAGCCGGAGAGGAAGACGGAGGACGACCUCGACAAGGACAAGACAUGCCAGAUAGAGUUCUAUACCGGACCGUACAACUCCUCUAGUAACUGGCAGUUCUACGAGUCGACUUUGGACCGCCACGUACCAAUCGGAUCGUAUUUCGUACGCGCCUACGUGACCGACUCCGCCGGUGUUCUGGUGGCUUAUGGUCAAAGCACGGGGCAGGAAAAAGACUACAACAUAUUUGAGGUCAGUGGAAGCCACAAGAGGCUUGAGAUGGUGUCGAUUAUUUGGUUCAGUGUUUUCUCAAUUUUGUUCUUCAUUGUUGCUUAGCUGAUAAGCCAUCAGAAUAAUAGCUGAUAAUGAGUUGCAUAAUACUGCAACACUAAUAAAAUUUGAGGUGCGUGUGAGAAAUGUGCACAUGUACGUAAUCAGGAAACAGUCCUGUAUAUAAGCCUUGCUAGUGAAGAAGAUCGAGUUCAUCAUUGGGGUACAUCGUCAUAUAUCUAUUAUCCAGCAAAAAUGAUUUCAGAAACAUUCAGUGAUGUUCAAGAUGUGGCAUCUGUUUAGUAAUAAUGUAAUAUACAGCUCAUUUUAUAGCUGCCAAUACCUCUUCAACUAGUUAGCAAUCUCAGAUGAAGUGGCCAGCUCUUGAAGCCUUUUCGAUCUCAUCCUUUCAUAUCGCAGUAAGCAAGAGAGUCAGUCAAACCCAUGCCAAUUGGUAAUAUAUAAUUCUGAGUCUAAAUAACUGAUGCGUGCACUGCUCUAUAACAAGAGCAGGUAGCUUUGUUUUACAAGACCAAUUGAACAGAAGCAGGUUCAUCAGUUUCAUGAUCAUCUUUUAUUAACUAAUGCAUAUAUAGGGCAUAUAGCAUACGUGUACGACGGCGCCGGCGUUGCGGUGGCGUACGGUCAAAGCACUAAUGCUAAGAAAGACUUGAACAUAUUUGACGUCCAGGGGAUUACCGGACGACACAAGAGGCUUGAUGUGGUGUCGAUUUGCUUCAGUGUUUUCUCCGUUUUGUCCUUGGUUGGCUUCUUUGCCAUCGAGAAGACCAGGGCAAAGUCGUCCCAUCACAAGUGAAGGAGAUACUGUAGUAGGCCUUAAGGUCUCAUGUAAUGUUGGUACUUGGUACGUACUUCAUACUUGAUGUUGAUCUUUCUGAAUUUCAUGAAAUGUGUCUUAAGUGCCUAUUAUAUCACAUAGCAUUUUUAUCAUUCUUACUUGUUUAUAUAAAGGAAGUGAGUAACUAGAAUUCUUAGUCCCAUCAAUAAAAAAACCUAGAAUUCUUGGUGAAAGGCUUCCACAUCAAGCAAGGUUAGCAAGGUUACCAUGCUGCAAGCCUGCAAUUGCUUUUUCUGUUUUAUGAUUGCUUAAAGUCACCUACUCAAAUUAGCAGACAACUCAACAUACAGAAAUUGUAAAUUUUCUUCAACUGAUCAGUAUUAAAUAUUUUUACACCAUAAAAGCAUACAUAUAGCUCAGAAAGUUUUAUUUUGACAACUAUCAGGAUGAAGAUUAGCCACUUUCCAGCCACCUUAUGGGUUCUUCAUGGAUCAAUCACAAAUGCUAGUGUACAUCGGUGUCAAGAAAACAGACCAGCAUAGAAUUCUCUGUUGGGUGUUCCGGUGGGACUACAGAAACAUGAGUAGCUUGUGUACAAUCCCAAAUAUGUGCAGGGAACCGAGGCUUUUGAGGCUUGUGCAUAACUUUGUACAUAAUCACAUGUCAGAACAAUAUUACAUACAGUCUGCACCAGACUCGAAGAAUUACUCACAACUUUUGGUGCUGUUUCUCUCGAAAGUCUGAUUGAGGAUUGAAUUGCAUGUCCGUGCUUGCCAUCCGGUCAGUGCCAGUAAGGGAAAGCUUAUCAUCAUAAACAUCGAUAUAUCCAUAGGCAUCUGUCCCAGGCGGGCACUCAAGGGCGGCUUCAAGUGUUCUGUGAUGUACUCCAUGGGAAUCAAUUGCGUGACCACCUUUGUGGUCGUGCCCAGCAAGGCAAACCUUCACACAGUUGUAUCUGUGUAUAACACCCAUGACUUCGUCGCAAUUCCACAAAAGUGCUUCUUUGGAGGAUGCCCCAGGAUCUAAAGGCAGAUGGCAACAAACCACUACUUUUUGUUUCAACUCUGUUGCUUCCUGAAGAAUGCCGUCUAACCAUUCCAAUUGUUCUUUUCCAACUGCCCCAUUGAACAUAAGGAACCUUCUCUUCAGGCCUUCCAGUCCAACUGGGCUGUUCUUAUCUGUAUUUGGGUUCUUCUCCUGUAGAAACCUCAAAGCCUCAAUUGCAUUUGGAUGAUCUUGAGGCCAACCAAUGGCACUGAUAUCAUAGCCAUCCAGCACAACAAAUCGGAAUUCUGGGUUUGGUGAAAAAUCAUAGUAGGCACGACCAUCGAUACUUGGAAUCUUCAACAGCGGUAGUAAUUGCAUGCGAGGAAGAUUAUAGAGGCAGUGAUUACCAAUCAUAUGAUAGACAGGGCCACUGAAAUUCUCAAAUUCCUUGACAACUUUUGUUACAGCAUCCAAGGACUGGUCCUUUGGGCAAAAGCCAUCAACAAUAUCCCCAAAGUUGAUCACAAACUUAUGCUUCUUCUGUUCAUUCCAUUUUUGAACUGCUCUUUUCAGUAUGACAAUGCUAUGGCGAUAGUAUCGUGGCACACCAAGGAAAGAUCGGCCAUCAGGAAUAUCAGCAUACUGAACAUCAGAGAUCACCCCAAAAGAAAAUAGUGGCCGCUUCCCAUGUGCACUGGCUAAGCCAUUUGUUGAGCCCAUUCUGUUGCUCGCAGCAGAACCCUAUGAGACAGCAUGAUCAAAUUCUUAAAAGUUCAUUAUGGUAUACAAACUUCAGAUCGUGCAAUCAACAUUCUAGAUUGAACAUGGUUUUACUUGCUUUGAGGCAAACAAAAUCCUACCAACUAACAACCAAAUCUGGAAUCAACCAUCAUCAUUUCAAAUGUGCAGCUUAUUUCAAAUUCUAGAUUAACCAAAAACUACUGUCCUGCCAACAAAUGAAAAAAUUCAUCAUUAGCCAAUCAUCUUUUCAAAGUUUGAACUGAUUUGGAGUACAAAUCAUUACCUCUCCACGAAACAAACAUAAACUAAAAUCAUCAGACAUAAACUUAAAUUCAGCUAAGAACAUCAGAAUUCGAAUACAAGCAGAAUUAUCCUAAACCUGUACUAGUAUCCCACAGACAAUAUGAAACCAAGAUAUUAUCUUCGCAAAUUGAAGCAUAUGAACAAACCCAACCUCAAAGUUUCUUUCUGAAUGGAAACUUUAUUGGAAACCUCAAUUCUUUCAAAAAAAAGACUAUGAGCAAGUCGAUGAAAGAAAAGUAAAUUGCAAUUGGGUAACUCCGGCGGUGAUGAGUUUUACAUACAUUGCCCACCCUCAACAGAACUCAAUGGAAUCACGCAAUGGGAUCAGAGAAUAUUAGAAAAAGAUGAUAAUAGAAGAGAGAGAGAUUACCACGUGACUGCUGAAUGAAAACAAGUGGGUGUUUCUAUCGUCUCCGAUGGUUUGGGAAAGAAAAAACCAGGAAGCGAUUUUGAUUAUCGUCGUCGGAGAAUCUGUCGUACUACAUAUAUAAUAUACUAGUUCAUUUCGGAUUUUGAUGCAAGUUACAACCCAAGAUGAAAAAGAAGAGAGAGUUUUGAUUUUUAAGCUAUUCACAAACAAAAGUAUUUAUAUUUACAUGAGCCCAAUAAUUGUUGGUUUGGGCCGUUGACGGCUUGCAGAACCAGCACCGAACUGCGUCUUCAUUUACCAAAUGGCCAUUUUGAGUGCGACGUGGCGUAAUUCGAGCCUUUGUAUCGUUUUUAUUUUGUUUUUUUGUUUAGAAGAAUCUGAGGGAAUCGCCAACCUAGUGGUUGGGUCGGUGGUUAGUCACUGGUGCGUGCCGCCCAGUCACCGCAGGUCCGGAGCUUGGCUCGCAAUAGCGGUGUAUGUGGCUUAGUGGUUGAACGUCAGGUCUAAAUCUACAAACUUGAGUUCAAUUUACGAAACAGUUAAAAUGACGAGGCCUCUUUGUUAUGCAUAUAAUUGGAACAUUUUACAUACGAAAAUUUAAGUAAUGAGCCCAAAAUGUAUCUAGAUUAAUAAAAAAUUCGUCCGAAUGGUAUACGAACUUUAUCUCCUUAUAAACUUUAGUAUAUCAGAACGGUAUCUCAUAUUUCUAUCCCAACUUAAAAUUAGUAUAUAUAACCAUUAAGAUGACUAAUUUACCCUUAAGUGCUCUUUUUUUCUUAGUUUUUUUAAUUUGUUUUUCAUAUUCCAGAAAUAUUAGAAAAGAUUUUGAAAUUUGAUGAUUUAGGUUGACCUUUAUAAACUUGAAGAAGAUUGAAGAGGGAAAACAUACAAAAGUUCAAUCCUUGUUGUAUCCGCUGACACUCAAUGAUUUUGUUGUUGUCGUUGACAUUCAAUAAUGAUUGAGAUGAAGAACUGAUUAUAAACAAGGAGAAAGUGACGAUGCAUUUUUUCUCUACAUUCCUAAAAAUAUAAAAAGCUAAAAAAAAAUUGGAAUAUUAAAACAAAGAAGAAAAACUAAGAAAAAAAAAGAAUUUAAAAGUAAAUUGGUCUUUUUUUUGUUUGAGGAUAAAUUAGUCAUUUUAAUGACUAUAUAUACCAAUUGAAACAUGAAAUACCAAUCUGAUAUUUUUAAAACUUGAUAUUAAAAAAAUUAUAAAGAGGAAAAGUUCAUAUAUUAUAUGUUAACCGUAAAAUACUCGUGAAUUGGGUUGUGAAGAAGAAUGACAAUAUAGCUUGUACAGCAUUGACCCCAAAGAGGAAUCUCGUUGCGAAAGACUAAAGAAUUACAAUGUUCUGACAACUCUGUGUAGUUUGAAUGUAAAUAUCACUGUUAUUAUAACUUCAAGUCCUAUAUGGAUCUAAGCACCAAACUAUGACCAAUUCUAGUUUGUAGUUUCUUCCCUGUCCAAGUUCGGAAGCAAAACACUGAACUAAACUGUGACACUGUGAGUAAUCAAACCGGAUAGCCACAAGCUCCUGUGACAGAGUGGAAUAGGAGGCACAACAUUUCUGGCAAUGAAAACUUUGCUUGAUGGAAGCCGUUCUCAGACUCAGAAUCUGCUCUCACUCAGCUUAUUGACGACUUCCCAUUUGUGGACGGAUUACAGAUUUGGAAAACAAGCUUCUCUGGAAGUUUUUUAGAGGCCUGCAAAAGAAGAGAGUGCAACAGAGGUUAUUCAGAAAACUGUCAAAUGUUCCUUACAAAUAGAGUGACAUUUCUACUGUCUGGGAAGACUAACCUGGAAGUGCCUCAUGUGCAGAAUUGGUUCACAUCCGACAUCCGCAACUGAUUUUCCAUUGGGAGUUUGCAGCUUGAAUCGUGCAGCUUCAUAUGCGGAAAUGGCAGUGUCAGUCUCAUCAGGUAGGUGGUGACAAACCUUCAGGAGGGAGCUGAGAGAAUUCAUCUGGCAGAACAUAUCAAAACAUUAUGUGAAAAACCCAACUCAAACACUAUUCAAUCUUUCAAUAGAACUUGCCAACAGUUACAUAAACUCAAAGCAAUCAGGCAUAUUUACCCCUCUGUAAAGCUAUGAGAGUUGAACAAAACAGGAUGCUAUCCAUAGGCAUAUUAUAUUACAGUUACUUUCCGUUAUGUUCAAAUGAAUUUUCUUGGUGAUGCCAUUCUACACACCAAGCAAGCAUCUCAAGAAAGACAAACUCGGUAGAACCAUGUCCCUAUACUAUGCUACAGUAGGUGCUGACCUGAGAUUUAAUCUACUGAUGCCAAAAUAAAACAGCAUACAUGCUAGAAUGUUCUUCUGGCUUUGGCAUUCUAGAAUAGUUCAAGAAUGUGUUAGCCUUCAUGCACCUAUAAAAAGAGAAAAACUAUUGAAACUACUAACCUUCAUGUAUGGACAGGAUGCACACCCUCCAUUAAUAGAACACCCCUCCCCACUAGCCACUCCAGGUAUAACAGGCAGUAUGACAUCACCCAUCUUAACAGGGCUGAGGCCUGAAGAAGAAUUGGUUGAUGUGCUUGUCAUUGAAUCUGAUGAAACUGGAAAUACAAUUUCAACAUUGAUCUUUGCUCCCCCUGACUUUGCAGAACCUAACAAAUUGCGAACUAAUGCAACAAUUGAAGUAACCAUUCCAGAUUCCGUCCCUAACACAAACUGAAGGUGGUCAUUGAUAUUUCUAUCUAAAGCGUCUUGAACCUUUUGCUUUAUGAAAUCUAGAAUGUUUUGGGUAGACCCCACAACUCCCAUUCCUCUUCUCUUUGCUUCCAUUGCCAAAGCAAACAUUUCUCCAGGGACCUCAAAAUGAGCAGUUAGAAAUGCAUCACAAUACAUUUCAUUUAUCCUAUUCACAACCUCAUUUCCAAAUAAAUGAUGCACUAUGCAUGUCCCAUCCUAAUACAAGAAAAUCAAAGUGUCAGCACAUUAAUUUAAACGUAAGAGUACCAUGCAUUAAAAGCGCAAGGUAAGUUAAAGAGAAAAGCUUGAAAUGACAUAUCUGACAAUGUAUCAGAGAAAAAUCAGAUCAAUAGUCUAGCACCAAGUCAAUAUGCAGAGGCAGGGGACUCAGGUAUCCAACAACAUAUAACCUCUUAAAAACAAACAUAUUCACACCUGAUAAUAAUGCAGGCGAGGUAGCAGAGAUCUGAUUGAGUCUCUAUUGUGUGCUGGAUGUAUCUCAGCAAUUUCUUCAUCUGUCAUCUUUGUCAUUUGCUCAAGCAAUACUCUAAUAUUUGCACCCAUGUAAGAGUCCGGACCAUACCAUACAUUUAAAUCUAGCACUUGAGAAAAAGCCUGCACAAGAGAAGUGACAUAGAUUUUAGAUAAGAAAGCAGCAACAACUGAAAAUGAAGAUUAUUUGUUCUAAUUAUAAGAUGUACAGAAUCAAAAUAUAAUCGAGAUUUUGGGAUGAAGAUUGUCGUAUAACCAACCUGAAGAAUGGUUUGGACAACAUUUGAAGAAGUACAGGUAAUUGUUGGCACAAUCUCAUGUGCAUAAGCUUUUGUCUCCAGUGACGUAUUAAUGUAGACAACAUGCAAUGACUGAGGUGACCUAGAAGCAUUCUCAAGGUAACUCAUAUAAGAAGGCGAAGACGCAGCAUCUGCCAAAGAACAACUAAUUCGUUCACUUGACAUUCUGUAUACACCGACCUGCACCAAACAAAUAUCUGAACAAAUAAGUUCAUGAACCCAUCCUCAUUCAUCUAACAGUUACACUACCCUGCAUUUAGUAACGACUUCUCCAUAAACAUAGAACCAAACAACUACCUUUUGAAAGCCUGCCUGAUCAAGGAUCGCCCUGACAUUCUCUGACAUAAAAUCAACCCCCAAAACUGUAAUAAACUCGCAUCCAUCUUUCGCCAUCUCCAAAGCCGAGUCCGCCAUGACCAACGAAUCCGAAAUGUGGAUAUGAGGCCAAUGCUUCUUCGCAGCAGUCAAAAUACCCUGAACCUCAGGGUCCAUGUAAAAAUGAGCAACCACCCCAAUCUUCUUCUCCUUUAACACAUUAACAAGCUCCUCAACCUUAUCCUCAUCCGGAAACAAAUACCUCGCCUGCAUUUAAAUUCAAGUCAUUCAACCCAAAAUUUAACUAACAUUCCACAAAACUAAUCUUACUAAUCGAAAUCGAAACACAUGCUAUUAUGCUGACCUGGGUUUCGGCGUAGCUACCUUUGGCCUGAAUCCCAUCGGCGGUGAUCACCAGAGACGGGAACGGCUCGAACGGCGGCGUCCCCUGUAGCUCAGCCACCAAAGCCUUAGUCUUUUUGUGAAUACUGACCAACACAUUAUGCCACGUGUUAACCCUAGACCUCUGCGCACCAGGCAACCCAACAUUAAGCGCCGCCAGGUCAUCGGUCUUGACCGCCAGAACCUCCUCCGGCGCCGCCCCGUCGAGAACAGACACCAGACACGAGCAGAACCCUCGAGUGAUCUCGGAGUCGCUGUCGGCGGCGAACCGCAUCUUGCCGUCGUGAUCCAUCUUGGCGUCGAGCCAGACCUGGGCCGUGCAUCCCAUGACCCGGUUGGCGUCGACCCGACCCGAAUCAGGGAGCGGCGGGAGGAGGGCGGCGUAGUGGAGGAGGCGCUUGACGCGGUCGAGGGGCUCGGUGAGGGAGUGGAAUUCGGAUGCGAGGCGGCGGAGCUUGGAGGGAGCGAGGUCGUCGGCGGCGGAGGAGGUGGGGGAGGGGGAGAGGGUGGCGGCGGAGCAGGAGAAGGUAGGGUUUUUGGGGGUGGGAUCGGACGGUGGGGAUUGGAUGCAUUUUAGGGAUUGGUGCCGCCUGAAGCGGAAAGUUCGGAGCUUGAAAGGUAAAGAGUUGGGCUUUUGAGUUGGGGGGAUGGAGAAGAAGGAAGAGGAGGAGGAGGAAGAAGAUGAUGAGGUGGCUCUUAGACUCAUGGUGGUGGUUGCAGUAGAGUCCAUUAGAGCAAGUAGGAGGGUUUGUGAGUGGUGGAAGGAGAACUGGAGAAGCGAGAGAGAGAGAGAGAGAGAGAGAGAGAGAGAAGAGAUGUUUAUAUAUGAGGGAAGAUUGGAACUUUGGAAAGAAAUGGAAUGGUGCAAGAUGGGAGAGCAAACCAGACCAACCAACGAUAUGAAACUACGCGCCAAUUUAUUAGGAAAAUACAAAAAAGCACACCCAUUUGGAAAGUGAUGGCCCCACCUGAUCAACAUGGACGACGGACCUUUUUUGUUUUUUGGGGUCGAUUGGGCUGUGUUUGGAGGGAGGGAAAUUGGGGAAGAGGAGGAGGAUCCGCCGGAGAAACGGUGGUCGGAAAAUGACCAAUUUGAAGCUGACCUUUAAAAAGAUGGAAUGUUUAUAAGGUUGGUCGAGUGGUUUAGUACGGAACUCUUUUGUCUUAAGUCUCACUAAUUUGUGAUCUUAGAUUAUAAGAUGGUUUCUGUUAAAAAAAAAAAAUUAUAUGUUAAUUUCAGAUCAUUUUUGUUACUAGUCAGUUGUUACAGUAGGUAACAUUGUUUUUUGUUGUGUUCGUUUCUUAUUUUUUUGAAUGAAGACUUCAUGCAAGUUAUGGAAAACAAGGUGGAGAAUGAAUUCAUCCAAACACAGCCUAGCUAGAGUUUCGUAACUAGGAUCCAGCAUCUCCAUCAUUUUCAUUUGCUUUUCCUCUCUCGUUUUUUCUCUUCAAGACUUCAAAGUUGUGGACUCUACAUCCCUGCGCCUUCUCAAAAUCACCAUCAGGGCACCACCCACCUCGUCAUCGCCACCUUACCAUCACCGCUAGCCACCUCUAUUGACACCACUCACUUCUGGUUAGGAGGCGAGAAGUCCUCAAAAUGUUUAUACAACUCUUGGUGAGGUGAAAGAUCAUUUGCCAUUUCAUGCAGUGACUUCCAAAGUAUCCACUGAGAUCGGCGCCCCCAACAAAACAUUCAUUACGUAUCAUCAAGUUCUCCCUAGAUUUCUUGAUGUUGUUGUUCUUCAUAGGGGUAUUUCGUUUGAACAUCAAAUUGAAUGACUUGAGACGUGUUGCAUAGUGAAGAAUAUAGAAGCUGAUCGAUGAGCGGUUAGGGCUUUUUGACAAGUGCUUCUUCUAAGAUGUUGUCCACAUAAAUGAUAUGGAAGGAAAAGUCUAGACAACAUAAACCAUUCUCUUCUAAGAGAAAAAACAAUGACCACAUAAAGGAUAGGAAGAUGGAAGGGGAAAAAAGAAUUCGAAAGAAGGAAUUAUAAGAGAGGUUGGGGCAAACUUGGGCACAAAUUGUUUUCUUGUUAAGUAUUGAUGCAUGCAACGUUUUGCUAUCAGUGAUCAUGAAAUCACAAUAUUAGUAUUGAUAGAAGUAAUCUCAUUGCCACUUUUCUCAAGAUUCUUGUGGUUUCUGGCACUUGAAGACAAUCAAGGUCGAUGUCAAAGGAAAUUGCAGCCUAAGUAGGUGGGAGUCAUGCAUAGAAAGGUGGUCAUAUUUGCACCAAUCGAGUACUCUAACUCAAAGUCUCCUCGUCCACUUUGCAUAUAAAGAGCAUAGUAACUAUGCAUGCACAUUCCUUUGUUUCUUGCACUUAUUCAGAGAAAAGGGUCAAGGCUGCACUAAGAGUCCUGGACGGCUGGACAUCAUGAGAACGAAGAGACUUUUGAAAGAGAUAGUGGAAGAGAUAGAUUUGGAAAUCAGAUCUUUGAUCCCUUUGUAGUUGGGGAAGAAUCACAACUAGAUUAUGAUGUUACAUGGAGUUGUAACCUAGCUUGGUGAGUAGUACCAUGGUAUCAGUUGCCACAUACAACCAAACAUGUAGAACCUAUAAGAGUAGCCAAAAGACUAGGAAUACUGUCCUAGCUAACCCACUACUACUAAAUGCUUCCGCACCAAUCUCAACUGUGGUAUCAAAGCCACAAAUUCUAACGGUGGUUUCAAAAUAACCAAUUCUAAAAUGUUUAUUGAUGACAAAACAACAACAACAACAACAACUUGAUUAAGAGCAUAUGCAUAUGAAUGUGCUGAAUGGAGGGAUCAAGGUGAGUGUAGUACCGGGUGAAGAUGUAGAGGAUAUUUCUUAUGCAUGGUGCUUCCACAAAGUUCACUCAUGUCUAAGGCCUCAGCCUCUGCUCUACCACUUGGCAACUUCCAAUCAAACCAAUAUAGAAGGUUGGGUAGCACAUAUUCAGAUGAAGCAACCCCAAAGGCCUGUCCAGGGCACCCUCUUCUACCACCACCAAAUGGGAUAUAAUGGAAGUUCUCUCCUUUGAUAUCCACCGAAUCGCUCUCAAAUCUCUCCGGCAGAAACUCAUCCGGCCUUUCCCAGAAUUCGGGGUCCCUUUGGAUUGCGAAUGCAUUGACAAACACUCUUGUUUUUGCAGGGAUAUGAUAACCUCCCAACUCUACUGCCUCAGUUGUUUCUCGAGGAACUAGAGGUGUUGGAGGAUGUAGCCUUAUAGUUUCUUGGAACACACAUUUGAAGUAGUGCAUUUUAGUGAUAUCAUGCACAUCCACCCUUGCCUUCUUCCCCACCACUCUUCUUAUCUCGUUUUGCACUUUCUCCAUCACACUCGGAUUUCUCCCGAGCUCUGCCAUUAACCAUUCCAUAGUCGACGAAGUAGUAUCACUUCCAGCGAGAAACAUAUCCUGCAACCAAUUUAGUAACAAGCAUAUAUAAUGUCACAUUGUGUUGAGAGAAAGUAAUCCAAAGAGUAUGUGAUUGACACAGAUUGAUAAUAGAAAGAGGUCCAGACCUGUAAGAUAGCUUUAAGGUUGUCUCGAGUAUCAAGGAUUGUAUCCUUUUGAAGUUGGAGGAGAAUAUCCACAAAGUCCUUCUUAUCCGCCUCACCUUCUUCGUUGCUUUUCUUAUGUUCUUCAAUCAAAUGAUCAAAGAAUCCAUCAAACUCAUCAGCAGUUGCUUUCAAGCUUGCAAUCAAUCCUGUCAGAGUAUCAAUCCAUUUUAAACAAGGGAAGUAAUCUCCGAAGCUGAAAGAGAGAUCAGUAGCAUAAUGAAUCUUCUUGUUGUCUCUCCAAACCAGUCGCCAUCCUCUACAAACUUUUCUCCAAGAAUACACCUAGACAUUAUGUUGCUGGUGGUUGUUAUCAGCAUCUGACCCAGAUUAAUAGGAGACUCACUGAGGCACGCUUUACUUAUCCUAUCGAAUAAUUCGGCAACUUCAUCUUCCAUGGCAUACUGAAAAUCUUUUAGUCUUUUAUGGCUCAGAAGUUCAGUAACACAUAUUUUUCGAACUUGUCUCCAGUACUCCCCAUAAGGAGCAAAAACUACGUCUCGGCAGCCAUAGAGUAAUAUGUUUGCAGCAGUGGAUUGAGGACGGUUGCAGAAAACAGCGUCAUGAGUCUUCAUAACUUCCCUAGUCAUCUUUGCAGAUGAAACUAUAAGCGUCGGAACUUGGCCCAAGCGCAGCAGCAUUAGAGGGCCAUACGUCUUUGAAAGAGCUUGAAGAGAGCGGUGCGGGAGUUUUCCUAGCUGGUGAAGGUUUCCAAUCACUGGUAACCUUGCCGGGGAUGGCGGCAAAUUGAGCGCCUCACCUGAUUUAGAAAGUGAAAACACAACAAAAAUAGACAGCAAGAGAAGAGAAACCAGGAAAAGAUUUAAGAGUGUAGUACUCCUUUGUAGUUCUUGCACCAAUUGAUUAAUAAAUGCCACUAAAGCCAUUGCCAAACUCUGAGCUUUCUCUGCUCACUUCUCUCAAAUGCACUGAUGCUUAAUUUCCUAGCAACUCUAUCAUUGCUAGAACAUAUAUACUAAUAGAGAGUUGUAACUUCCAGCAGCUAUGCUUCUUCCUUAUCAUAAAAAUUGCAUAAGAUCGUCUAGUAUCACAAUCAUUAUCUCCCAUCAGAGGAUUCCAAACAAAAUAAUUCACUUACUGUUCCACUCUAGAUAAUGCAGUAGAUUCUGGAAAACAUAAUGCAGGAGCAACAUAGCAUUUUAGCAAGUAGACAAUGCAAACAAAUGCGCAUCGUUUUUCAUGUUUCUUGAACAGAGUUGACAGCAACAGGCCAUGUAGAAAAAGAUGAAGAGAAAAAGAAAACUCUUGUAUUGAAAACAUUUAGGUUACAACCAAGUAUAUAUAUACAAGCCUAGCCAUACUUAGCCAUACCAGCCAUACUCAUGAGUCAUGACUACUGACUUCCUUACACAGUAAGGUGGAUGACUUACGGUGUAAGGUAUGGUGCAGUCAACAUGCUACACCAUACUUCACUGUAGAGUAGGUAAGGUGAUGAGCACUACACCAUACUUUCUCUAUUGACUAUAUAUUUCUAUAUAUUUCAAUACUCCCCCUCAAGCUGGAUCAAGGAUAUUGAUUGAUCCAAGCUUGGAUAAUAACUGAUGGAAUUGAACAGAAGGCAGAGCCUUUGUAAAAACAUCAGCAAGUUGAUCUUGGCUUCGAGUAUAUACUGUGGAGAUAACCUUGCUUUGAACUUGCUCUCGCACAUAGUGACAAUCAACUUCAAUACGUUUGGUCCUCUCAUGGAAGACCGGAUUUGAAGCAAUGUGCAUUGCAGCUUGAUUGUCACAAAAUAGUAACAUAGGAUGAGACUGAGAGAAUCCUAGAUCAGCUAGGAGAUAUUUUAACCAGAUUAACUCACAAGAAGUUGAGGCCAUUGCUCUGUACUCUGCUUCUGCACUUGAGCGAGCAAUCACAUGUUGUUUUUUGCUUUUCCAAGUGACUAGAUUUCCUCCAACUAGAGUACAAAAUCCAGUUGUAGAUUUUCUGUCAAGCUUGUUCCCAGCCCAAUCUGUAUCAGUAAAUCCUACAAUGUUGCUGUGACAAUUCUUCCUCAUGAGAAUACCUCUGCCUACAGAUCCCUUGAGAUAUCUCAACACUCUUUUAACAAUGAGCAUAUGAGAUUUAGUAGGAGCAUGCAUGAAUUGACUAAUGAUACUCACUGCAAAAGUGAUAUGAGGCCUAGUAAUGGUGAGGUAUAUGAGUUUCCCAACCAAUCUUUGGUACUCAUGGAUGUUUGGGAGAGAUUCACCUGCUGCAUUCAUUUGGAACUUGCAAUCUAGAGGAGUGACACAAGGUUUACUUUCAGACAUAUCUACUUCUUGAAGUAGAUCCAGAAGAUACUUUCUUUGGUUUAAGAACAAACCAUUCGUGGAAGUGGCCAUUUCAAUGCCAAGAAAGUAUUUCAACCUUCCGAGAUCUUUGAUGGCAAAAGUCUGAUGUAAAGACUGCUUGAGAAGAUUAAUUUUUUCCAAAUUCUCACCAGUAAUGAUGAGAUCAUCAACAUAGAUAAGAACACAAAGUUUACUUGCAGAUCCUUUCUUGACAAAUAAGGAUGAGUCUGCAUUGCUUCUUUUGAAUCCAGAGGUUUCCAACACAGAGCUGAGUUUUGAAUACCAAGCUCAAGGUGAUUUUUUUAAGCCAUAGAUAGCCUUAUGUAGCUUACAGACCUUGUUAGGAGUGCCUUCUUAUGGAUGACCAGGAGGGAGCUGCAUAUAAACUUCUUCUUCUAAUUCUCCAUGUAAGAAAGCAUUUUUCACAUCCAUUUGAAACAUAGGCCACUCAUGGUUCACUGCUAUUGACAACAACACCCUCACAGUAUUCAUCUUUGCCACGGGAGCAAAUGUCUCCCUGUAAUCCACUCCAUAAGUUUGAGUAAAACCCCUUGCCACUAACCGAGCUUUAUGUCUCUCAAUUGAGCCAUCAGAUUGGAAUUUGGUUUUGAAGAUGCACUUACUCCCUACAACUUUCUUCUCAGGGGGAAGUGACACCACACUCCAAGUUUUGUUUCUAUCCAAUGCUUGUAACUCUUCCUGCAUAGCCUUUUUCCAGGUUGGUUGAAGAUUUGCUUCUUGAAAUGUUCUUGGUUCACUUUCACUUGAAAUGUUUGAGAGAAAGGCAGCAUGCGAUUUUGACACUUUGUCGUAAGAAAGAAACUUUUUGAUUGGAUACCUUGCAGCAAAGGUCUUGUAAUUGUCCCACUUUGAUGGAGGUUUCCUAAUUCGAGUAGGAUACCUCCUUUGAGGUUGAACCUCAACAACCUCUUCUUCAAUCUCUUCUUCAACAUCUUCUUGUGUUGCUUCAGCAGGCAACACCACUUCAUGUUGUUCUACACACACAUCAUCAUUUUGAGAAUCUAGUGUAGGUGGAGAAUCUGGUAUAACUGUAGGAGUAGGAGUAGGUGUCUUUUCUAAAGGAGUAGAGGAAUGAAUAACUGCUGCAUCAUUCAUGGUAAGAGUUGGGAGAGGCAAUGAAAUAAAAUCAUUGAAGAACUCCCCUUGAGUGGAAACUUCUGGUCCGCUAAAGAAGGGAGAUGAUUCAUCAAAUCUAACAUCUCUAGAAACCACCAGCUUUCUGGUUUUUGGAUUAUAGCAUUUGUAACCCUUUUGAGUUGUGGAGUAACCCAAAAACACACAUUUGGCAGCCUUCGCAUCCAAUUUGUCUCUAUGUAUUGCUUGGAUGUGAACAUAACANNNNNNNNNNNNNNNNNNNNNNNNNNNNNNNNNNNNNNNNNNNNNNNNNNNNNNNNNNNNNNNNNNNNNNNNNNNNNNNNNNNNNNNNNNNNNNNNNNNNNNNNNNNNNNNNNNNNNNNNNNNNNNNNNNNNNNNNNNNNNNNNNNNNNNNNNNNNNNNNNNNNNNNNNNNNNNNNNNNNNNNNNNNNNNNNNNNNNNNNNNNNNNNNNNNNNNNNNNNNNNNNNNNNNNNNNNNNNNNNNNNNNNNNNNNNNNNNNNNNNNNNNNNNNNNNNNNNNNNNNNNNNNNNNNNNNNNNNNNNNNNNNNNNNNNNNNNNNNNNNNNNNNNNNNNNNNNNNNNNNNNNNNNNNNNNNNNNNNNNNNNNNNNNNNNNNNNNNNNNNNNNNNNNNNNNNNNNNNNNNNNNNNNNNNNNNNNNNNNNNNNNNNNNNNNNNNNNNNNNNNNNNNNNNNNNNNNNNNNNNNNNNNNNNNNNNNNNNNNNNNNNNNNNNNNNNNNNNNNNNNNNNNNNNNNNNNNNNNNNNNNNNNNNNNNNNNNNNNNNNNNNNNNNNNNNNNNNNNNNNNNNNNNNNNNNNNNNNNNNNNNNNNNNNNNNNNNNNNNNNNNNNNNNNNNNNNNNNNNNNNNNNNNNNNNNNNNNNNNNNNNNNNNNNNNNNNNNNNNNNNNNNNNNNNNNNNNNNNNNNNNNNNNNNNNNNNNNNNNNNNNNNNNNNNNNNNNNNNNNNNNNNNNNNNNNNNNNNNNNNNNNNNNNNNNNNNNNNNNNNNNNNNNNNNNNNNNNNNNNNNNNNNNNNNNNNNNNNNNNNNNNNNNNNNNNNNNNNNNNNNNNNNNNNNNNNNNNNNNNNNNNNNNNNNNNNNNNNNNNNNNNNNNNNNNNNNNNNNNNNNNNNNNNNNNNNNNNNNNNNNNNNNNNNNNNNNNNNNNNNNNNNNNNNNNNNNNNNNNNNNNNNNNNNNNNNNNNNNNNNNNNNNNNNNNNNNNNNNNNNNNNNNNNNNNNNNNNNNNNNNNNNNNNNNNNNNNNNNNNNNNNNNNNNNNNNNNNNNNNNNNNNNNNNNNNNNNNNNNNNNNNNNNNNNNNNNNNNNNNNNNNNNNNNNNNNNNNNNNNNNNNNNNNNNNNNNNNNNNNNNNNNNNNNNNNNNNNNNNNNNNNNNNNNNNNNNNNNNNNNNNNNNNNNNNNNNNNNNNNNNNNNNNNNNNNNNNNNNNNNNNNNNNNNNNNNNNNNNNNNNNNNNNNNNNNNNNNNNNNNNNNNNNNNNNNNNNNNNNNNNNNNNNNNNNNNNNNNNNNNNNNNNNNNNNNNNNNNNNNNNNNNNNNNNNNNNNNNNNNNNNNNNNNNNNNNNNNNNNNNNNNNNNNNNNNNNNNNNNNNNNNNNNNNNNNNNNNNNNNNNNNNNNNNNNNNNNNNNNNNNNNNNNNNNNNNNNNNNNNNNNNNNNNNNNNNNNNNNNNNNNNNNNNNNNNNNNNNNNNNNNNNNNNNNNNNNNNNNNNNNNNNNNNNNNNNNNNNNNNNNNNNNNNNNNNNNNNNNNNNNNNNNNNNNNNNNNNNNNNNNNNNNNNNNNNNNNNNNNNNNNNNNNNNNNNNNNNNNNNNNNNNNNNNNNNNNNNNNNNNNNNNNNNNNNNNUCUGUCAAUUUGGUCGUGAUUGGAGGUGGCCGAAAGGUUCUGCAGUUUUUUUUUUCUAAAACCCAGCAACUUUAGCCGACGAUAUUUAAAUACUAUAUUCGUCGGCUAUAGUAUUUUAAUUUUUUUUAUAAGGUUUAGCCGACGAAUUAUGGCAUGUUUCGUCGGCUAUAGUUAUUUUUAAAUUUUUUAUAAGGUUAGCCGACGAAGUAUAGUAAAUUUCGUCGGUUAUAGUUAUUUUUUAAAUUUUUUAUAAGGUUUAGCCGACGAAGUAUAGUAAAUUUCGUCGGCUAUAGUUAUUUUUUUUAAUUUUUUUAUAAGGUUUAGCCGACAAAGUAUAGUAAAUUUCGUCGGCUAUAGUUAUUUUUUUAUAAGGUUUAGCCGACGAAAUAUAGUAUAUUUCGUCGGCUAUAGUUAUUUUUAAUUAUUUAUUACACACUUUAGCCGACGAAUAUCUUAAUUGUUUCGUCGGCUAAAGUCUGGGAAAAAAACCGACGACAUGUUUUUCGUCGGCUAACUGUGGGACUAUAGCCGACGAAAAAAAAAUUUCAUCGGCUAAAGUCAUCACCGACGACCUUUUCCCGACGACACUAUAACCGAUGAGCAUUCGUCGGCUAAGAUCUUAGCCGACGAAUUAAGAUAACAGGCCGACGAAAAAUUUUCGUCGGCUAAAGUACUUGUCCUGGUAGUGCUUGGAAAGAACCACAACAAUAACAAGAUCACUAGAAAACAGUAAGAGAUGGAAAAACAGAAGAAAGAACUCUAUCGUUCUUGCUCUAAUACCAUGUAGAAAAAGAUGAAGAGAAAAAGAAAACUCUUGUAUUGAAAACAUUUAGGUUACAACCAAGUAUAUAUAUACAAGCCUAGCCAUAUCUAGCCAUACCAGCCAUACUCAUGAGUCAUGACUACUGACUUCCUUACACAGUAAGGUGGAUGACUUACUGUGUAAGGUAUGGUGCAGUCAACAUGCUACACCAUACUUUACUGUAGAGUAGGUAGGGUGAUGAGCACUACACCAUACUUUCUCUAUUGACUAUAUAUUUCUAUAUAUUUCAAUAGGCCAACAACUUUUGCUUAAUUUGAUCGACAUAAGUGUUAAGAUUGGCACCUAAAUUAUCUGUAAAUUCAUUCAAGAAAUAAAACAUGCGUAAUGAACAUAGUACAUUCAAUCAUUUAUGAGCAGGAUACUUGAAGAUAAAAGUAAAUAUAGCAUCGAUCGCAUGAAACUCAAGGUUUUCUCCACCAACUUAGCCAACUCUUUCACAUAAUGUGGCUUCUUUUCUACAGUUUUACAUGAAGAAAACAAUACAAUAUCAAAGAUUAUCAAAGGUUCCACAGUCGUCAGGAGUUUAAAGAACUUUUGAAACUAGCAUACCUAAAUAGUUUCGCAAACAAUACAAUCUCGAUAAGUUUUUGCUUAUAUAUUUUUGGGCUGAAAACUAAUGAAAUGAUCGAACUGGUUUGAGUAUCCUAUGAGAUUAUGGCAUUCGAACAAAACGUAGUAGUAUACUAGUGUUAGCAAAGGUUCAACCGUUCAACAUACUAGUAGUAGUAGUACUUACGAACGAGAUGGGAAGCACCCAAACAGACCCUUUCUUCUACUGGGCUCAUCGGUUUCAUUGAUCUUUCGCUAAAACGAAAACGUUCAAUGUCACACAUAUUCUUCUUUCAAUUCAUGACCUUCUGGGCGUCCUUAGCAGUUCCGUUGACGAAUACCUUCUGUUUUCUCCAUAUCCCUGUCUCUCCAAGUUUGGGCCUUUUCUGUUUUCUUUUGGGCUCUAUCCCUUGAGAUAUAUGCUUUUUUGGUACUGCCUAUGUUCUCUGUUCCUUUCCCAUGGGCCAGGACUAUAUGUUAGUAGGCAUUGUUAAAAUGGGCAGCAAGUGCACCACUUCAACCGGUGAAUCGUGUUAAUUAAGUGAUUUUCGGAUCCCUUAGAGUAUAUGCACCCCUUCAACUCCAUCAAACUAUCAAACCGUCAAUUCAAUUGGUUCCAUCAGUUACUAUUCAUUGUAAAUUGUUUUUCUGGACCUAUUUUUAUGCAACGUUGUAGCUCCGUCAAUUUAGCAAUUACUAUUCAUCAAUUUAAUAUUUUAUUUUUUAGAUUUUAUAUAUGAUAAUCAAUCAAUCACUAAAUGACACGUGUCAUUGUCAGAUGUUGUGAUCACCUAAAUAAUGUUAUAGGAUUUCCGACCAACAAAAAGGUGACACAUAUGUGUUUGUCGGCCAAAUAAUGUCAUUUGAUUUUCNNNNNNNNNNNNNNNNNNNNGGUACAAAUGAUAAAAUAGUCUUCAAAUAUUCCAUAUGAUAAAAAAAAGUCAUCAUUAAAACAUGUUACAAGAUAAGAUGGUUACCUCAAAACAUCUUACAUGAUAAAAAUGUAUAUUUUCACUCUUUUUACAUGACAAUUCUACCCUCCUCACUAAUUUAACCCUAAACCUGUUUUUAUCGAGAUCUUAGUUUUGUCGUCUCUCUCUCUCUCUCUCACCCUAGAUUCGCUCUCGUCGUCAUCAUGAUGUAACAGGCUCCGGCGGCAAUGGUCCAGCAAUACGGCCAGCAGCAGCAGCAGCCGCCCCCCGUCGUCCAGCCCUACAUGAUGAUGUCGUCGCCGUUGCCCACCGUGCAGCCUCCUCCGAUGAUGUGGGCCCCUCAGUCGCACGUGGCCCCACCUCCACCUCAGGCCUAGCCCGCCAACGCCGACGAGGUCCGCACUCUCUGGAUCGGCGACUUGCAGUACUAAAUGGAAGAGACCUAUCUUUUCAAUAUCUUCGCCAGCAUUGGCGAGGUUUGAUUCUUCUUCUUCUUUUGCUUCAAUUUCGUUCAAAGAUUCAAUUUCGUUCAGUUGUGAUUUUAUAAGGUUGACACAUUAACUCUUGGAUUGAGUAGAAGUAUGAGAUGAGUUCGUAAUGCUUUGACGACAAUACGAUGGUAUUUCUAGUUGUUAGUUAAUGGCUUAGAUUGUUUGUAACUCAAUGCAAUGGCGUAUCUGAGGUUUUACUUGGUGGUGCACCAUUGAGAAUAUAGGGUUGAGCAGAGAAAAAUCCAACUACAAUUUUACAUGUAUCUUGGAUAAUUUUCAAAUUUUGAUUUUCAGAUGCAUGUUUUGUGUGUUGAUUUUAGUGAUGAUGAUGAGUGUUCUGAAUUAGUUUGUUUGUGAAUUUUCUGAAAGAAUUGAGGUGCCUCUAUGGCUUGGUUCUGUGUGUGUACAAAAGAAUAGUAGCUUGGUCUGCUUAAUUUAGCUACUAUGAUCAUUUGCUAGUGGAGCUGCUUGUGUUUGUUUUUGAAUUUCGGGUAAGCCGCUGACCUGCUAACUUUCGGUUGAGUUCAGGUUUGCCUUAUGAUCUCGAUCAAAUGUUAUGUUAUGUGCUUGCUUGUAUUGUAAUUUUGAAAGCAGUAAAGCAAUAGUUUUAAGAAAGAUCCCCCACCUGACUUGUUUGUAAUGUCUACAUUCGGUUUAUUGGAGGAUGUGGUCGUUCUUUGAUGCUUGAAAUUAGUCAUAUAUAUGUAGAGAGGUGGUGAGAGGAAAUAAUGCUAUUGCAAGAGUUUUAUUAUGUAUUCUUUGAACAUAUCAAGCUCUAUGUGAUGUUUACCUAAUUUUAUUGUUCUGCUAUAAGUUGUUUCUCUGCUAAAGGACAACAAUACGUUUAUUCAGGAAUUGUUUGCUAGGUUAAGGUCACCAUCGACCUCCGCAGAAUCUAAAAAGAAUUUGGUAAUCCUUUAUUCCUGUCACUCUUUCAUUUGGUUCCAUGAAACUUUCAAUAUAUUCAUGGAAUGAAAUCAAAUUUUAACUAGUUGUCUUGUGAAUCAACUGUUUGUGAAGUUACUGUUUUAAUCUCAGUAUCUGUAAUUUAUCAAAUUUAGUAGGCAGAAUUUUGAUGUGGUCAACAUAAUUUUGGUGAUGAUAGUGACAUGGAGUUUAGUAGGGAUCUGUGGCUGUAGUUCUUUUGUUACUUUUCUAUCUGUACCUGGCCAACUCUCACAUUUUUCUCUCUUCUUUUUCAGUGUGCAGCUAUAUUUCUUGCAUGAGUUUUGUAGUCUGAGCAAGAGUCUACGGAUGGUUUAGCAGCUUCGGCUAUUUAGGUAUUUAGUUCUCAAAUCGUGUUUAAUGAUCAAUCAUUAUCUUUCAGAGCCCUGUCUUUAUUUUUGGCUACUUAUCUUAUUUAGCAAACUAAAACGAUUUUCUUGAGGAAUGUUUUUGCAUCUAACAGCUGGAACACAACAAGAAAGUAACCAUACCCCAAGCCUCUCAAAAUUAUCGUUUUGAUAUCUUUCACUGAAUGGACAUUAAAUUUCUGAUAACUAGCAUACGAGCUGGGUAAUGGAACUUCUUAUAUUGUUGUUGAAUACAUGGUUACUUUUAGAGUAAUAAAAGUAUGCAGACGAUGAAAACACUGGCUGGGAAGGAAGCUGCCCUCUCAAAUUGAUGCUCUUGAUUUCUUUCGCCUAUUGGAAUUGUAGAGUGGAGGACCGAGGCUUGAAGACUCAUCAUGGGCUUGUGAGUUUCUUAAUGCUUUAAGUAAUUUGCAUUUGUAAUUUUUGCUUAUAGAAGCAUUAUCUCUAUAAUCUUGCUGAGUGAUAAUGAUCAAUGCAUUUGUAAGCUUGAUGAUCUGUUUUAUUUUUAAUGGUUUCCAGCUUCACUUUGAUUCUGAUGGCAUUAUGAAGCUGGGUUCAACCUAUAAAACUGAAGAACAAAAGGAUUUGAUUUUUAUGGUAUUAUGUGAACUGGGUUCACUCCAUAAAGCUUAAGAACCUGAAGGCUUUGACAAUGAAGCUUAUAUAGUUAAGCACGCAUAUGGAACUUCUUAAGCAACUUGUCAUCAUGAUGCUAUAACCGAUUCAUAAAUCUCAUUGUACUUGUCAACCAUGUUGUUGCAGCUUUACUUAAACAGAGAGGUUUGGCAAAUCCAGCAAGAAGGAGCUUAAAUCAAAUAGGAUGCUGCUAUGGGUUGUUUUGAUAUGAUGUAGAGAAAGUGGGGUUGGCAUCUCUUUAGUGUAGGAUGUACUUUCUUUUUUGUUUGGUAAACUACUGUUAUUGUAUUAAGUAUCUACUGAAAUCAUAUGAAUGAAGAUGAAAAUGUCUUAUUUCUUUAUUACGUUUUCCAGAUUACACUCUUAAUUGAGUAAUAACAUCAUAGUUACAUGGCAAGUUACUUAAGUAGUUACAUAGUGAAUCACAUGACCAAUUAUUUAAGUAGUUACAUAUGGUAGUUACUUACCUAAGUAGGUAGUUACAUAGUCAGUCUAUUGAUGCGAUACAGCGGCACGCUGUAAAUAUUUAGUUACUUGAGUAGUUACACGGUCAGUUAUAUGACUAGUUACUCAUGUAGUUACAUGAUCAUUUAUAUGAAAAUUUACAUGACUGCUUAGUUACAUUGCCAGUUACUUCAGUUGCCACUAACUAAACAAGUUACAUAAAUAGUUACUUAAUUAGUCAGUUACAAGACCGCUUUGUUUCAUUGAUAGUUGCAUUGCCGGUUAUAUAGAUAGUUACAUUAUCGGUAACUAUCCAUGUAACUAUCCAUCUAUGUAACUAUCCAUGUAACUACAGAUUGAUAGCUACCUGGGUAGUUACAUACAUAAUGGGCACAAGAAGGUAACUAUCCAUGUAACUACCAAUGUAACUAUCCAUCUAUGUAACUAUCCAUGUAACUAUGUAUGUAACUAUCCAUGAAACUAUCUAUGUAAUUAUCUAUCUAUGUAACUAUGUAUGUAACUAUCUAUCUAUGUAACUAUGCAUGUAACUAUCCAUCUAUGUAACUAUCCAUGUAACUACCAAUGUAACUAUCUAUGUAACUAUCUAUGUAACUAUCCAUCUAUGUAACUACCAAUGUAACUAUCCAUGUAACUAUCUAUCUAUGUAACUAUCCAUCUAUGUAACUACCAAUGUAACUAUCUAUCUAACUAUCCAUAUAUGUAACUAUCUAUCUAUGUAACUAUCCAUGUAACUAUCUAUGUACGUAACUAUCUAUCUAUGUAACUAUGCAUGUAACGUACAUGCAUGUAACUAUCCAUAUAACUAUCCAUGUAUCUAGUAUCCAUGUAACUAUAGAUUGAUAGUUAUCUAGGUAGUUACAUACAUACUACAUUUUUGCAAUUACAUUAACCUGCAUAUGUAACUAUCCAUGAGACUGACCAUGUAACUUGUCAUAUAACCACCAGUUACAUUACCAGUUACAUAGCUUGUUGCAUUCCAGUCACUUCUAUUAUCAAUUACAUCACUAGUUACAUCACUAGUUCUUGCCAACUUGAAUAUGCCAAAACAAAAAUAAAGAAGGCUGUUAUCAAUUGUAAAACUCAAACAUGAUAAAUUUGAUUCACAACAACAGUCACGAUUCCAAUCCUCUAAGGCUGUGCUUGACAAAAAGCAAGCAUGAUUCAUGUAUCAAGAAUACAACAAUACACAUGAACUACUUAGCCUUAUCGUUAGUUUGGCUAAGUAGCUAAACUUUUCCUCAUCUCUUCAAUGCUCUUGUUCAACAACCCAGAGAAGAAGUCCCAGCUGCUUAUCCUACACCCAACCCAAUUCUAACCUGGGCACCCAGCUAGCAACAUUCCCUUCAAAGUCCCAUCUUUUCUCCUAUUCCCAAGCCCGUCCUCAUAAUAGCAAGCAUCAUAAGUUCACAAUGAAAAUCCCAUCUCAGAACACACUAUAUAUGCAAUCAUGUAUCUCCAUUCCCGAGUCCUAAUGAGCCUCACUUAGACAUGUCUAUUGUGGUCGGAAACCCUAUGGAUAAUCAAGGAUUAAUAUUACCAAAAUUUGGCUUGAAAGAAGAUACAUUAUAGUUUUACUAGUAUAAGAUGGAUAUUUGGGUCGGCUAGAGGUCAUACCACCACUCAAAUGUAGUAAUGAGCCCUGAACUACUCCUCAAGCUCAAACUGGGAAUGGGAUGUUAUAUCCAAAAAAUGGUGUUAUUAAGAAUUUGAAAUUUCUCUCCACAUGAAACAAGAUGGCAUCACAUAGCAUCACUGCAAGUCACAUCUACACCUACCACAUACAGAGAUGACUUUUCCUCAUCUCUUCAACUCUCUUGUUCAACAACCCAAAGACGAAGUCCCAGCUGCUUAUCCUACACCCAACCCAAUUCUAACCUGCGCACCCAGCUAGCAGCAUUCCCUUCAAAGUCCCAUCUUUUCUCCUAUUCCAAAACUCGUUCUCAUACACAGGUUUCGUCGUCGUAGGUGGACAGAUCGGAACUGGGAGUGCAACAAGAUGGAUGCGACACCUCAUGGAGGUUGGUGGUUCGACGGGUUGGAUAACCGGUGUGCCGAGAAAGCUUGGGUUUUGCCGGAUCUUGCUUUGGACUCCGAUCUAGUUAUUUGUUGGGUGAGUGGUUUGAAGUGGUGCAAGGCGGUACUCCUGCAGCGGUGGUGGUUUGGCGGUGUAGUCCUGCGCUGGUGGUGGAAGCCGGAUCUCUAAGGUGCUGCUCGCCCGUGCCGGCGGAGGUCAUCAGCUCUCAAAAGAUUGAUUGAGAUCUCGUCGGCGAGUUGAGAGAGAGAGAGAGAGAGAGAGAGAGAGAGAGAGAGUAGUGAGNGNANNNGNNNGNNGANGAGAGAGAGAGAGAGUAGUGCUGUGUGAGUGAUACAGGUAGUGUAGUUUGUUAUAGUAAGAANAACAAGACAAUUAUUAGUUUAAGUUUUUAAGUUUAAAAGUAAAGUAUAAGUAAGUAAACGAAACCUUAAUUUUAGUUUAANGUAACGUUUUUACUUUUUUUANCAUGUAUUAGAAACUAAAUUUAACGUUUUAAACCCUUUUUUAACCUUAUUUCUAUUAACUUUAACCAAAAAGUAACUUAUUUUUAUCUAGUCGGACCAAUAUACACACACACANAAGUAUUCUAACUUAAUUANCAUNUGUNAANAAAUAAUAUUUAAUUUAGUAGUUUUUUUUUGAAUAUUUUGCUAAAGUAAAUUGUUCUAUUUGUAUUUGAUAACCUCAAAAAAUAUAUUAUUUUGUUAAAAUAAAUGUAAAAAAUGAUAUAUUUAUUGAAAUGACAAAAAUGCCCUAAAAAAUUAACGGUGUUAGUGGUCAGGGUAUCAAAAUGUUAACGGAAUGAAACUUCGGGUAUGAAAAUAUAAGUUUUGAUAGUUAGGUAUAAAAAUGAAAAUAACAAUAUAGUUUUAGUGGUGUUUUGUAAUUAAUCUUACAUAGUACUGAAUAAGAGUAAUAAACCUUGACCAACUUUGUUAUGGAAAUUUGUAAUUUGUUUCUUAGUAUUAUACAUACUAGUCUCUUACAUGUGCAUCUGCACGCGAAUACAAAAAAAAAAUAACAACAACAACAAUUUGGCACUUCAUACCUCAGUCGAUAUGUGUUCAAAUCUAUAACCCCUCUUUCCAAAGCAAAUUGAUUCCCUUGCAUGUGUUUUCCCCUCCUUCAAGUGCAAAUUUGCACUACUGAUAAUAGAAAAGAGCUUCAAAUUUAGAAAAAAAAAAAAAAUAAAUAAAUAAAUCUUGGUCAAACCUGCUGCAAAUUGUAAACACCUUAUCUCUAUCGUUUCCACGCUGGUUCUAACGCUAAAUUCCAUGUAUCGACUUAUAUUUGCAAAUGGGAGCGGUUAAAUAGCAGUUCUAAUUGAACUACUCCACUAUUUAUGAGAUCAAACUGCCACUAUUAUAUCUGAUAUCACCAUAUUCCUUAUUUUUCUCCAUCAUAAUCCCAUAUAUUUCUGAUUUUGGUUUAUUUUUUCUGUUUGUUUUACCGUAAUACCCUUCCAACAUAUUUUACUUCUUUUUUCUAUUUACUGUGUUUCUACAACAAAUGAGUUAUUUGGGGAAUUCAAAAAAUUAGUGAAGUCUUUAACACCAAAAAGGUCUAGCUUUCUAAUACAGGAGAGAUGUGCAGCAUGAGCAAAAGAGAGGAAAUGAUUUUUCAGCUAUACAAUGCUACAUGAAAGAACACUGUUACAGAAGAAGAAGCGCUGAUCGAACUGAAUAAACAAGUGAAUGAUGCAUGGAAGGAUGUAAACGAAGUAUUGCUCCAGCCUCCCACAACUGUGCCCAGGCCAAUACUGUUGCUGUGUCUCAAUCUUCUACGAGUAACUGAUGUUAUAUACAAGUACGACGAUGGUUAUACUAAUGGUGGAGUUGUGCUUAAGGAUUAUAUAACUUCUCUGCUCAGGCCCGGAUUUGAAUAGAGGCACAAGAGGCUUGGGACUCAGGGCCCAAAAAUAUUUUUUUAUAGUUGUCUAAAUUUUUUUUUUAAUAGUUUUUUGGCUGUGCAAUCUGACAUGAAUUAAAGACAACUAUCUUAAAACAAAGACAAUUACACGUGAUGAGGGGCCAAACCAUCAAUUACUACUUUAAAUUUGUACCCAUAAAAAAGUUAAAAUAUUAAAUAGAAGCAGCCAAACAGGAAAGAUAUUUGUUGUAUAGAUAGGAUUUAUAAUACAAUUAAGAUUACUAAACCAUCAAAGUUUUGGAAUCCUAUUUGCAUAAUAAGUAUUUUGCAUAAAAAUCCUAUAUAUUUUUGGAUGUUAUAUGCUAUUUUAUAUAUAUAAAAAAAAAUUAGGUGCCAAACUCUGAGAGUUCGACUCAGGCCUCAAAAUCUCAGGUCCGGGCCUGUCUCGAUCUUCUUGUCGAACCUGCUCCAAUGUAGGUUAUAGACCAACACUCGACAUGUUAUCUUCCACGUUAAUUAUGACAAAUAAGGACUCGGUCUUAAACCCUAAGGCUGAGUUAUAACAAAUAAAAGAUCUUUGGUGUUUUAAGGAUUACUGUAUUUCUGCACGGGGCUUUGGUUCAUGUCCUCUCCGUUGUUUUCUCAUUUACGGUUUAAUAAUAUGUACAAGCAUGGGAAUGAGCAUCCCAACUAAGCUGAGUUGAGUGAUCAGUCCUAAACCCUUAGGAUAGUGAAUAGUAAUACUUUUUGCCGGUCUCAAGGCUAUUAAUUUAUUUUGUGCUUGUGAACUUUAAUUACUUGCUUAAGAACUUGUUAUGCCUAUGCGUGAUAAAUGUACAGAUUGAUGACAUGCAUACUUGGCCUAGUUUAGGGCAACUCUGAGAAACUACUACCUUUCUAUCUAGGUUUGACGAUCAGAAUCGAUGAAGCAACUUUCUCAUUGUUUGUCAAACAGUUGUUUGAUGCUGCUCCCCUUUGCCAUGUGAAAUCAGUGGUCUGCCAUUAUUCAAAUCUUGCUUAACUAAGCAAAUUAGAACUUACGUCAAGGAAUCCAAAUGGUUCUACGUACAAAAGUUACACGCCGGAAACCCUUAAUUGAUGAAUACAUGUCGGUGGCGCGUGUUACAGCUGCCAUGCAAAUGCUGGAAACUACAUUCAUUUCUGCCAUAGCCGGUGACAUUGUCACGAAAGCUUCAUUGGAUUGGUUAUUCAGCGACCCUAAAAUUGUAAAGGCUUCGCAGAUCAUUGGGAGAAUCUUGGAUGACAUCCGAAGCCAUAAGGUACAAAUACACAUAUGCAUAUUAUUAGCAUAUAUACUAGCUACUAAUUAAUUAAUUUAUCAUGUAUCCUCAGCAGUGCAGUGCUACAUGAAAUAACACUCUGCAAACAGAAGAAGAAGCAGUGAUCGAACUAUUUAAACUAGUGGAUGACGCCUGGAAGGAUGUAAACGAAGUAUUGCUCCACCGGUCCAGCCCAUCGCUGAUGUCCCUAGGCCACUAUUGUUGGUGAUUUUCAAUCUUUUACGCAUAACUGAUGUGAUAUACAAGUUUGUGGAUGGUUUUACUCAUGGAGUUGUGCUUAAGGAUUAUAUUACUUCUGUGCUUGUUGAACCUGUUCCAAUAUAGGUUAUAAAUCAACAUUCGAUUUAUUCCCCUCCAUUUUAUGACAAAUAAAGACUCGGCCUUAAACCCUAAGGCCGAGUCCUAUUAUGUUUUAAAGAUUAUUGUGUUUCUGUAUCCGGUUUUGGUUUCAUGUCCUCCCUGUUGUUUUCUCAUUUAUUGUUAAUUAUCACUUUGGUCAGGCAAUUACUUCUUUGAUGAACACACACCAUGAUCCAAACACAGGCCAUUUUAUUUAUCAAACGUACUGUGCAUUGAAACCAGUGGCCAAUAUUCAAACACUGGCCAUUUUUUUCCCAUGUUAUGCUAAUCAAUAUUCGAUCACAGACUUCUGUAUUUAUAGUUGAACCAGUAACAGGAUAACAUACAAGUUUCAUAAAAGGAUUAAAUUCAGUGUGCUAUCCAAAACUUUAGGUCACUCAUCAGUUGUGUCCCUCAUUCUUUUUUUUUCUUCACGUGUAGCCUUUUGAACUCUCUAAAUCCAUCAGGCUAAGACAAAAAUUCAAAUUCGAUCCAAACAUGACGUCAGCGUCUUAUGUGGAGGAGAUAGGAUGACCCACAGUUCAACUUCUAAGGGCACAAACGUCAUUCUAACCCUCAUUUUCAUUUUGCUUUGCCUUUUUUUUCUUGUUCUCCUGCACUGUCUCUGGCAGUCCUUCCGCCACCGAAAACGUGGUCGUCAUCGAGCUCAUGCCGCGGGAGCAUAUCUCCUCUUCCCAACCCUCGUUGUCGUCAUCUACCACGUAUGUUAGCAAGAUCAUCGAGGUUCCUGCGUCGCUGCAUCAUUAAUGCCUUGGACAACACCGGUACCUUCGUCGGCGGCGUGUGUUGCUAGAACCUUCUGGAAGGCACCGAUUGGGUCUGACCUUGCCGCCGUCGGAGGAGGGUUGACUAUGUGCAGAUGGCCUUGGAAUCGAAGGGAUGGGUUUGGUGGGGGAGGAGAGUGAGGGUUUGCGGUAGAGGUCUUGGGCCAAGCGAUCGGACUUGGGUAUGACUGCAAGGAUUCCGGAUUUCUGGGGGCGGGUGAAGCUGACGCGGUGGUUGGUGAUGGUGAUUGAAGGAGACAUUGCCGCACUCCACCCACAACUAGCAGCGUACACUAGGUUGAAAUUAGCGUUGCAUAGAGAAUGAGGAUUUUGAUUUUGGGGGUGGUGCCAAUGGAUGUAUUGUGAGAGAGUGGGUGUGAGUUUGGCGAAUUUGGUGAGACUUGAGGGAGAGCUUGGAGGGCUGGCCAUGGGCGGAGGUGCAGAGAUGCACACGAGGGAAGAUAGUGAGAGGUAAUGAAGAAGAAAAAGAGAAAAAGAGAAAAAAAGAUAGAGAAAAAAAAUUAUUGUGAUAAGAGGUAGUUUAGAGUUUUUCUCUAAAUUAAUAAUUAAAAAUUAGACGUGGGUCUUUGUGUCUUCUUCAAAUCGGAUCAUGACGUCAUUCUUGAGCAAAUUUGAAUUUUUUUUUCUGUUUUGAUGGAUUUAGAGAGUUCAAGGUACACGUGAUGAAAAACAAAAGAUGAGGAACACAACUGAUGAGUGACCCAAAGUUCAGGCUACAACACUGAAUUUAAUCCUUCAUAAAACAUACAAGAGUUUCAUGAUCUUAUUGCCUUCUACUUUUAGCCUUUCUGCUGUGAAAUGUCUGAGAGUAGACUGCUAGAGUAAAAGAUUUGCUAGCACAAGCUUAUUGGUGGUCAUGGCAAACAGAAACAAAACAUGCAAAAACAAGAAAGAACUUGACUAAGAGCACAUAUGAAGUUUAACAACAUGGAACUUCUGGAUGGAGGGAUCAAGGGGAGUAUGGUACCGGGAGAAGAUAAAGAGGAGCUUUCUUACACACCGUGAUUCCAUAAACUUCACUCACGUCUAAGGCCUCAACCAAUGCAUUACCACUCGGCAACUUCCAAUCAAACCAAUAUAGAAGGUUGGCAAGAACACAUUCAAGUGAAGCAACCGCAAAGGCCUGCCCCGGGCAUCUUCUUCUACCACCUCCAAAUGGGACAAAUUGGAAGUCCUCGCCUUUGAAGUCGACUGAGUUGCCCUCAAAUCUAUCUGGGAGAAACUCAUCCGGCCUUUCCCAGAACUUAGGGUCCCUUUGGAUUGCAAAUGCAUUGACAAAUACUGUUGUUUUGGCAGGGAUAUGGUAACCUCCCAACUCUACUGCCUCGCUUGUUUCUCGAGGAACUAAAAGAGGUGCUACAGGAUGUAGUCUCAGAGUUUCUUUGAUGACACAUUUCAAGUAGUCCAUUUGAGUUAUGUCAUUCUCAUCUACCCUUCCCUUGUUCCCCACCACACUUCUUAUCUCCUUUUGGACUUUCUCCAUCGUGCUUGGAUUUCUAGCCAGCUCUGUCAUCAACCACUCCAUUGUUGUUGAUGUCGUAACAGUUCCUGCAACGAACAUAUCCUACAACCAAUGUACCAUAGUGAGACCACUUUCAGGCGCCAUGUAUAUCAUGCAGAAUGUGUUGAAUUCGAAUAAACUAGAGAAGUAGAGAGUACUAUCAGAGAGAUACCUGUAGGAUUGCUUUCAGGUUAUCUCGAGUAAGCUCAAACUCGACGGUGGCUUUGUUUUGACGUUGCAGGAGAAUGUCCAAAAAAUCCUUCUUAUCAGGCUCACCUUCUUUCUUAUGUUCUUCAAUCAACUGAUCAAAAAAUCCAUCUAAUUCAGCAAAAAUUGCUUUCAACCGUGCAAUGAAGCCUGAAAGAGUGUCAAUCCAUUUCAAAGAAGGGAAGAAAUCUCCGAAACAGAAUGACAUUAGUUCCACCAUGAACCUUCUUGAUGUCUUUCCAUACCAAUCACCAUCUUCUACGAACUUCUCUCCAAGAAUACACCUAGACAUGAUGUUGCUGGCGGUUGUAAUCAGCAUUUCACUUAGAUUAGUAGGAGACUCACAGAGACAUGUUUUGCGAAUCCUGUUGAUCAAUUCCGAAACUUCUUCUUCCCUUGCAUACUGAAAUUGUUGCACUCUUUUAAGGCUUAGAAGUUCAACAACAGAAAUUUUCCGAAGUUGCUUCCAGAAUUCCCCAUAAGGAGCAAAAGCUAUGUCUUGGCAGCCAUAAAGUAAUAUGUUUGCUGCAGUCGUUUCUGGCCUCCCGGAGAAAACCUCAUCAUGGUUCUGCACGAUUUGCUUGGUCAUCUCCGCAGAUGAAACUACUAGUGUUGGAACUUGGCCCAAGCGCAGCAGCAUUAGAGGGCCAUACGUCUUUGAAAGAGCUUGAAGAGAGCGGUGCGGGAGUUUUCCUAGCUGGUGAAGGUUUCCAAUCACUGGUAACCUUGCCGGGGAUGGCGGCAAAUUGAGCGUCUCACCUGAUUUAGAAAGUGAAAACACAACAAAAAUAGACAGCAAGAGAAGAGAAACCAGGAAAAGAUUUAAGAGUGUAGUACUCCUUUGUAGUUCUUGCACCAAUUGAUUAAACAAUGCCACUAAAGCCAUUGCCAAACUCUUAGCUAUCUCUGCUCACUUCUCUCAAAUGCACUGAUGCUUAAUUUCCUAGCAACUCUAUCAUUGCUAGAACAUAUAUACGUAUAGAGAGUUCUAACUUCCAGCAGCUAUGCUUCUUCCUUAUCAUAUAAUGCAGGAGAUAAUAUAAUAUAAUGCAGGAGCAACAUGGCAUUUUAAUAUAAUGCAGGAGCAACAUGGCAUUUUAGAAAGUAGACAAUGCAAACAAAUGCGAAUCGUUUUUCAUGUUUCUUGAACAAAGUUGACAGCAACAGGCCAACAGCUUUUGCUUAUUUUGAUCGACAUAAGUGUUAUGAUUGGCACCUAAAUUAUCUGUAAAUUCAUUAUAAUUUAGGAUUAAAUUUAGUUUGCCCCCUCGUACUUUAGGUCAAUAAUCAGUUUGGUCUCAUAUCUUUUUUUUUUUUAAUAACGUUAGUCUUUGAAGUUCUAUUUCACAUCAGUUUAGUCUAAUUUUUGAAUUGCCCUCCUUACCAUGACGUCAUGCGCUGAGUUGUCUGCGACACAAUGGCCCAGUUUCUGACUUAAAAGGGCAAAAUAGUCAUUUUAUCAUAUAUUGCCCUCAUCAAUAUAACGAACUCUCCACUCUUCGUUGGAUUGGAGUAUAUAGGGGUCGGAGUCCCAGACCCCGUCUCGAGCUGCGAUGGAGCUCAGCGCUCCCUUCUGUCGUCCGGCCGUCUCUCGGCGUCCCAUCAGUGGCCAGGGCUUCUUCUCGCCGUACUCGACAUCUCUGUUGUGUCAGAUUUCAUGGAGGAGCGCUGUUGAAAGAGAAUUGGAGGAGAGAAGGUGACUGCCUCUCCGAUCGGGUUUCCGAUUCCGGUCAAGGCGGCGAGCGUGACUGGUAUGGAUAGCUUAGUCUCGCCAUCCCCGUUCUGUAUGUGGUCUCGAUUUCUUCAGAGGAGCCUCCAUGACUGAGAAUCAAUUAAUUGAAGCUCAAACAGUUUUCUAAUGAGUUUAUGUGUUUUCCGGCCACCGUCGAAGGCAAUCGAGGUAUGAACCUUGAUCUUUUCUUCGAGUUCUACCUCUGUAUAUAAUUGGAAUUGAGUUUGGUGAUAUUUGGGAGAAUUUGGGUUUUAGGCAGAGGAGGACCGCCAUGAGUGACGCUGUUCACGACGGCGGUGGGGGUUGAAGGAAUUGGUUUUCGGCUUUGUUAGUAAACUGAAUUUGUAUGAGAUAGUCAAUUUUGAUUUUGGGAUGAGAUUGAAGAAGUUGGAGUUCUGGGAUUUUGGUAGUGUUCAAUUAUUAUUGUGCAGGGUGGUUUAAUUAAAAAUGGAGGAGUUGGGAUUUUCUGGGUUUGGUUGAGCUUGACAGUAGCAUUGGAAUAGAGUUAAGUUAUUAUGUUGCUUAAAUUCCAGAAAUUGAGGGAGUUGAAAGAUUGAUGAUGAACUGUAUGUUGUUCUUUUCAUUUUGGUAUAUGAUAAAAUGAUUAUUUUGCCCUUUUAAGUCAGAAACUAGGCCUUUGUGUCGCGGACAACUCAUCGCAUGACAUCAUGGUAAGGAGGGCAAUUCAAAAAUUGGACCAAACUGAUGUGAUAUAGAACUUCAAGGACCAACGUUAUUAAAAAAAAAGAUAUGAGACCAAACUGAUUAUUGACCUAAAGUACGGGGCAAACUGAAUUUAAUCCUAUAAUUUAUGAGUAGGAUACUUGAAGACAAAAGUAUAUAUCGACUGCAUGAAACUCAAGGUUUUCUCCACCGACUUAGCCAACUCUUUCACAUAAUGUGGCUUCUUUUCUACAGUUUUACAUGAAGAAAACAAUACAAUAUCAAAAAUUAUCAAAGGUUCCACAGUCGUCAGGAUUUUAAAAAACUUUUGAAACUAGCAUACCUAAAUAGUUUCGCAAACAAUACAAUCUCGAUAAGUCUUUGCUUAUAUAUUUUUGGGCUGAAAACUAAUGAAACGAUCGAACUGGUUUGAGUAUCCUAUGAGAUUAUGGCAUUCGAACAAAACGUAGUAGUAUACUAGUGUUAGCAAAGGUUCAACAUACUAGUAGUCGUAGUACUUACGAACGAGAUGGGAAGUACCCAAACAGACCCUUUCUUCGACUGGGCUCAUCGAUCUGCCUUGGACUAACCAAUUCCGACGAUCGGUCAUUGAUCUUUCGCUAAAACGAAAACGUUCAAUGUCGCACAUAUUCUUCUUUCAAUUCAUUACCUUCUGGGCGUCCUUAGCAGUUCCAUUGACGAAUACCUUCUGUUUUCUCCAUAAUCCCUAUAACUCUCCAAGUUUGGGCCUUUCUGUUUUGUUUUGGGCUCUAUCCCUUGAGAUAUAUGCUCUUUUGGGCUAAGCCUUUCUUGAAGUUGAAACUUGAAACUAGGGCACCAACUUCUCCGUCACUAAAUGGAGUUGUCCACUCUGCUCUGGCCUUGUGGAAUAGUCAAUUGUACAGAUCAUGUACGUUCUGCUUUUCCUCCAAGUCUCCAGGUACUGCCUAUGUUCUCUGUUCCUUAUUCCCAUAGGCCAGGAGUCUCUGUUAGCAGGCAUUGUUAAAAUGGGCAGUAGGUGCACCACUUCGAGGAGCAGUGAAUCGUGAUAAUCAAGUGAUUUUCGGAUCCCUUAGUUCGACCGAGCAAGAUCUUGUAUAAUCUUUCUGAUCAAUUUUUUUUACCUAAUUCCCUUGAAAAGAAAAGAAAAAAAAAGGGUUAUGUUAAUAAUAUAGAUGUGUAUAUCAAAUUGUGUUUUGGGGGCUUUAAACAGUAUGUUUUGGGAUUUCCACAAUCAUACUGGUUGAAAAAUGGCAUGACAUCAAUUAAAAGCCAUUAUUUUCGAAACCAAUCAUGUGGUAACUAAAAUUUAUCAAGGUAAUUUAUCAUGUGGCAUGACUCAUUUUACUAAUUUAAGGUAAUUUUAUGCAUGUUCAACGUUAACACACAUAUGAAAGUUUUUGAAAGUUUUAUAUAAAGUUGUUGCAAAGUCAUUAAAUUCCUUGUGCACUCAAAGAUAUUUUAGAACGCAAGAAUUUUCGAUUGACAGAGACAUGCGCUAGGAUAACAUGGAUUAAUUGAAACAAUGAGAUGUUUGAGUUAGGAAUUCUAUAUAGCAUGGUACGAACUACGACGUAGCCAUAAAUUAAUAGUGCAACAAUUAAUCAGACUUAAGUUCAUCAGUCUGAUAUUGACUGAGAAUAUGUAAAUUGAUUUUCUUCGAUCGAUCUCUGUUGUUUAGAGUACUUUUCCUACCGACACAGUACUAAAAUGAAAUGGAGGAGCACAUGCACAAGAAAAUGAUCGCAGUUUUUGCAAUUGAGUUGACCUAUUUGCAUGAACGUAUUCAAGGCCGGUUCUGGCCCAGUGCACCCAGUGCGAUAGCACUAGUCCCUAAACAAAAUGGGCAUAAACCAAGUCUUAAUUACACUUCAGUUCUCCUAAUCUUUGCCAAAUUCUGCUUCAAUGAAUAAUUAAGUCUGUCUUUUAUGGAUUGGGGUUUAGGAGCCAGUAACAAUAGGAGACUAACGUUUUUAUUAAAAAAUUAGUGGCUCACAUGUUUGCUAUUUGUAGUUUCUCAUUAUUCUUUCUAUUAUAAUAACUUUUUCUUUUGCAUGGAUUAGAAAUUUAGAACAACUCUGUCUUUCACUCUUAAAAAAAAAAAAANNNNNNNNNNNNNNNNNNNNAAUAUUAAGAUUAAGAGUAUAUUAAUAGGUUUAAAACCAACAAAAAAGAUAGUUUUAUUAUAAAAUUUUUAGCAUAAGGGGCACAAUUUUUUUUUCCGCGCACCGAGCCUUUAAUUAUUCAGGACCGGCCCUGAACGUACUCAUGCCUCUCUCUUUCUACAGGGAGAAGUUGAAUAGUGCGGGAUCCAUCAAAACACCAAUAGUCGCCAGUCGCCACUGUAUGUAUGAAAAUUAUGCAUAGAAAAAGGUGCAAAUUGUUGGACUAUGGUGCUUGACUUCUCCGACUGAUGACAACCUGGAUGAUCGUAUCGAGUGAAUAUUGUCAUUUGCUCAGCCCUAGCUAGCUCCACAAUGCAACUUAUUUCUUCUAAGUAUAGUAAAAUCUCAAUACAGACUGGCAAAAUUUAUUAAUUUAACGAGAUAUUAAUUAAUCUGAUAAAUUAAUAAAUUAUUAAUUUAUUGAUUAUUCAAUAACUUAUUAAUUUAUCAAAAUAUUAUUUAGUUUUUUUAAAUAUGACUUUUUUAUUUUUUCAACAAAAAUAAUAUUGUAGUGCAUUGUUCAAUGCAAUGUCUAUAUUCUCGAAUUUGUUAUUAUGUUAUAUUAUUUAAUAUGCUACUUUAUUCGAUGUACAACAUUUUCAACGUAUAAUAAUAUUAGUUCGUAAGUACAAUAUAAUUAGUUCAUUGGAUGAACAUUAGAUAAGCAAAACCAUAUAAUCACACAUCACAUAAAUAAAAAAAACAAAAAUGGUUUCUCACAUCAAAGGAGUAAACAAAAUCGACGAUAACGGAUGAAAUGCGUAAAACAUUGUGCGAGUACAUCAAAGAUAAUCCAUGCAUGUAGCACUCAAAAGCAUUUGCAAUAGUACGUUUUAGAAAAGUUCGACUUGCAAGCGAGUCAAAUGACGAUAUCGAAUACGAUCAAGCGAUCAAAAGUGACCUCAAUUUUCAAGAAAAAACAAGUCACAAUUGAGUCAUUCUUUAUUAAGUCUCAUAUUUGUAUUAUUUUAUAAAUUUAGCACUCGACUAUUGGAACCGGCAAAAAUUAUUAUUAUUUACAACUAAGUCUCCUCACAUAGUCACAUAAUGAUCGGUUUGUUAGCAAGCUGUACCGCCUGUACGUAUCAGUGUAUCACUAUAAAUAUCAAGGCACCGCGAUAGUUCAACUCACACCAGCAAGCUAGCUCUCCCUUAGUUGUUUAACUAUAUCAGAGUCUCAGCUUUUAUUUGUCGAGUGCGUGCUUCCCUAGCUAUAAUGGAUCCUCAGUUGGUUUCAGCAUCUCAAGCUCAAACCCAAAAUGGCAGUAGCACUCCAGAUGUUGAACGACGUUCAGCUAAUUUUUCUCCCAGCGUUUGGGGGGAUUAUUUUCUGAAAUAUGCAUCUGUGGUAUAUGGUUAUUUUUAAAGUAAUUAAUUUGCAGCACCAUACAUGCACACAUGAGUGUCAUAAUUAUCUUACCCUCUUCAAAAUUUGCAUCCAUGUAGGAAACUGAUGAUAUUGAAGCCGACAAAAGUAUCAAAGAACUGAAGGAAGAAGUCAAGGGGGUGCUACGACUUAGUUCUCCACAGAGACUAGACUUGAUUGAUUACAUUCAGCGUUUGGGGGUAGCACACCAUUUUGAGGAUGAGAUUCACCAACUUUUGCAGCAAAUUCACAACCAGUACUCUUCUUCUUAUGAUGAUGAUGACCUUCACACUGUUGCCUUACGUUUUCGGUUGCUUAGGCAACAAGGAUUUAAGGUUUCAUGCGGUGAGAAUCAUAUUUUUCUUUUCCAACUUUUCUAUAUAUAUUUUACAUUGGAUUAUUUCCUCUUAUUUCUUCUCUUGGUUGAUGAUCCUUAAGCAGACAUGUUCAAUAAGUUCAUCGAUGUUGAUGGGAAUCUCAAGGAAUCAAGCGUCGCUGACGUACCAGGACUGCUAAGUUUGUAUGAAGCAGCACAUCUAAGGACAUAUGGAGAUGAUAUCCUAGAUCGAGCAAUGUCCUUCACCACCACUCAUCUUGAGUCUGCAGUGGCAGCACAAGGCCGUUUAAUCCCCCCACUUUCAAAUCAAGUAGCUCGAUCAUGCCUUAUAUCAACCACUCUGGAUGGGAAACCCUAGGAUAGAAGCUAGGCAUUACCUCUCUAGCUACCAGGAACUAAACAGUGCUCCACAUUUUAGCCAAAGUCUCUUGACUUUUGCGAAGUUGGAUUUCAAUCAAUUGCAGCGUAUCCAUCAGAAAGAACUAAGUGAAAUCACAAGGUCAGAGUGAUCGAUCAGCUCCCAUUACUCCAUCAAUAUAUAUACCGAAAAUUGGUGCUAAUUUAAUUAUAUGGAUCUAUGCACGUAUACUAAUAGGUAUUAUUUUCUACUUUAGCUGGUGGAAGGAGUUAGACUUUGUAAACAAACUACCUUUUGCAAGGAACCGAAUAGUAGAGGCUUACUUUUGGUCUUUGGGAGUCUGCUUUGAACCCAAGUAUCGUCUUCCGAGGGAAACAAUAUGCAAAGCUCUUGGCUUACUUACCAUGAUUGAUGACACUUUCGAUACGUAUGGCAAAUUUGAUGAACUAGAGCUCUUUGCUGAAGCUGUCGAGAGGUACUUAUAAAUUAAAACCAAUACUAGUAGCUGCAUGCCCAUUUCUUUUGUUUUUCAGUCAUAUAUUAACCUCUUUUAUUUCAUAAGAAUAUUGCGACAUGCUUGGUUGACACGCAUCUAUAUAUGUUGUUUUUGAUUAUCAAUCAGGUGGGAUCUCUCUGCCAUGGAUUCACUGCCUGACUAUAUGAAAAUUAUCUAUGAGGCAGUGCUGAAUACCUACACUGAGAUUGAAGCCGAGCUUGCCAAGGAGGGAAACUCGUAUCGCAUUGAAUAUUUAGUAGAAGGAGUAAGUCUCAUUAUCUCUCAAGAGAGCUGACUGAUAAUUUUUUGGGGGAUUUUCAUAUACACCCAAUUUUGAAGAGUGGUUUUAAAUAAAACCCACAUAAUAUUCUUUUCUGCUAUACAUCUAAAAUGUAUCAAUUAUGAUACAUAUUAUGUCCUAUUUUUUCUAAAUUUUACACAAUUGCCACCAUUCAACUAUAACAUAUAAACAUAAUAAAUAAGCUUAAUUGAUGUUUUCUUAAAUACCUUGAUUAUGAGUUUUUCUUUUAACACUAACAUUUUUCAAUCAAUUUGCAUGAAUCAUGCUGUUUUCUUUAUUUUUAUGAAAAAAUAUAGGUGAAAUGAAUACAUUCUAUGAUCUAUACAUAAGGUAAAAUAUAAUAUAAAUAAGAUAUCUGAUUAUUAGAGUAAAAAGAAGAAAUUUUAUAGUGUUACCGUAAGCCCUAAGCCCUAAACCCUAUACCCUAAACCCUAAACCCUAAACCCUAUACCCUAUACUCUAAACCUAUACCCUAACCCUAUACCCUAAACCCUAUUAACUUAACCUUAUACCCUAAACCCAAUUUUGGGUUUCUUCUUUUUAGGUAUAUUAUCAUAUCAUGUCUUACUUAAUAGGUACAUUAGAAAUGUAAAUGUUAUUUCGAUCAGGAUGAAAAAUGAUAUAAUAAUAUACCUAAAAGGAAGAAAAAUUAAUCAAAGAACAAGAACAUGUACCUUACAAUUAGACAUUUUUCGACUAUGUAGAGAGACAUCAAAUGUGAUCUUAAGAAUGAAAAGAAUCAUUCUAUUACAAAUGACAUACUUCUAUAUAUAACAUAUAUAUACACUCAAGUUAGUAAUAACAAGGUAAGAAAUUAAAGAAUGUAAUUGAUUAUGAUAAAGUUAAAUUCAACUAAAUUUUAGCUCAAUAUUUGAGUUUCAAAUUGAUGCUAAAAUUGAGAAAGAUACCAAAUUUAGCUUUAUAUUGUCUGAAGGGCAAAUCAGAGAAACUAAAAAAUGAAGAAAACUAUUAAUUAUAGACAUAUGCUCUAUAUAGUAAGUUUACUUAUGUGGAGUGGGUGUAAAAAUAAAAAAAAAAAAAUGUAUGGGUUUAUCUUAAAAGAGGUCUAGUAUUUUGGAUUUUUAUCUAAUUUUCUCUAAUUUUUUAUGGUUCAAUUUCAACAUAUUCGUUUUUCAUCUGCCUCUAUAAACUUCAGUACGUAGAGCAAUGACAGAAUGAUUAUGUAUUUUGUUCUCUGAUGAUCAGAUGCAAUGUCAAGUUAGAGCUUACUUGAAGGAAGCCAAAUGGUACCACCUAAAGUGCACACCGAAAACCUAUGAUGAAUACAUGAGGGUGGGACUUAUUACAUCCGGCAUGUUUUUGGUAGAAGCAGCAGUCAUUGUUCCAUUAGCCGGUGAAAUUUCGACAAGAGAUUCCUUGGAAUCGUUGUUCAGAGACCCUAACAACAAAAUUGUAUAUGCUUCAAACAUACUUGGGAGACUUCUGAAUGACAUCCGAAGCCACAAGGUACAAAUACAUGCAUAUAUAGUACUGAAUAAGAGUAAUAAACCUUGACCAACUUUGUUAUGGAAGUUUGUAAUUUGUUUCUGAUCGAGUAUUAUACAUAUGUGCAGCAUGAGCAAAAGAGAGGAAAUGAUUUUUCAGCUAUACAAUGCUACAUGAAAGAACACUGUGUUACAGAAGAAGAAGCGCUGAUCGAACUGAAUAAACAAGUGAAUGAUGCAUGGAAGGAUGUAAACGAAGUAUUGCUCCAGCCUCCCACAACUGUGCCCAGGCCAAUACUGUUGCUGUGUCUCAAUCUUCUACGAGUAACUGAUGUUAUAUACAAGAACGACGAUGGUUAUACUAAUGGUGGAGUUGUGCUUAAGGAUUAUAUAACUUCUCUGCUUGUCGAACGUGCUCCAAUGUAGGUUAUCAUCAAUCAACAUUCGACAUGUUAUCUUCCACGCGUUAUGACAAAUAAAGACUCGGUCUAAACCCUAAGGCUGGGUUAUUACAAAUAAAAGAUUUUAUGCUCUUUAUGGAUUAUUGUAUUUCUGCACGGGGCUUUGGUUCAUGUCCUCCCCGUUGUUUUCUCAGUCAUAAACCUCUUCUACAGUAAUAUAUUUUGCCGGUGUCAAGGUAUUAAUUUAUUUUGUUUGUGAACUUUACUUUCUUAAGAACUUGUACGUUAUGCCAAUAAAAGAUUAAAAGUAUAGAUUGAUGACAUGCAUACUUGGCCUAGUUUAGGGCAGCUCUGAGGAACUACUACCUAUCUGUGUUUGAUGAUCAGAUUCGAUGAAGCAACUUUCUCAUUGUUUGUCGAACAGUUGUUUGAGAUUCUGCUCCCGUUUGCCAAGUGAAAUCAGUGGCCGGCCAUUAUUAUUCAAAUCUUGCUUAACUAAAAUGGCAUGCAUGACAUCAUUUGAAAGCCGUAUUUUUGAAACCAAUCAUGUACGCGGUAAACUGGUAACUAAAAUUUAUCAAGGGCUCAUGGACUAAAAUUACUACUUAUUUUUUUAUUAAUUUAUGGUAAUUGUAUGCAUGUCAUACAUUAACACGUUGUAGAAUUUUUAAACAUUUUGUAUAAAGUUGUAAAUUCAUCGUAUUACUUACACACCGAGUAUCAAAGAUAUUUUAAAACAAACAAAUUGAUGACAUAUUAAUUUUCUUUGACGAAUACACUAUAUUGGUAAAAUGAUUGACAAAUACAUUAGGAUAACGUGGAUUGCAAUACUUGAGCAAACAUGAGAUGUUUGAGUUUAGGGUUUCUCUUAUAGCAUGGUACGUAGCUAUAUAUAUAAAGGCGUACCUACAUACAGGUUACGGUAGGCCAGAUUUUGAGAAAACAUUGUUUUGUUGCAUAUUUAUAAUUAAAAAAAAUUUGAAUUAUGAAAACUAGCCCACCCCAAAUUUCUUUAUGUAAUUGAACUUAGUCCAUAUGAUUUUUUUUUAUCUGAUUACAUAUAUAUUGUUUAUUUUAUUAAAAGCAGUUGCUCGUUUAGUAUAUUUUAUGUCAACUUUCUUCUCUUUAUUUCUUUUUCUUUGUCGUUGUAUACGUCUCCAUUCUCUUCUGCCGAAGCAGCUAAGCCAAGUGUUAAGUUUUUUCUCUUUAAUCUGCAGGUAUGAUUCUUAGUUAUAUUGGUUAUCCUCUUGGAGGGUCUUGUACGUGUCAUAUGACCUAGUUCUCAAAUCUCAACUGAUUAAUGUCUUGAUCAAAUUUAGUCCCAAUAUCUCAUCAUCUCAAAUCUCAAUUGAUUAAUGCUUUGAUAGUCUCAAUAUCCCAUCAUCCCAUCGCACUGUAUUUCUAUUGAUAUUCUAAUUCUAAUCUCAAUUGCUUGCUUACUAAUUCUAAGCCACGUGCCAAGCUUUCUCUCUUUAAUCUAUAAGUAUGAUUCUUAGUUAUAUCGGUCAUCCUCUUGGAGUCUUGUAUGUGUCAUAUGACCUAGUUCUCAAAUGUCAAUUGAUUAAUGCCUUGAUCAAAUUUAGUCCCAAUAUCUUAUCAUCUUAAAUCUCAAUUGAUUAAUGCCUUAAUAGUCUCAAUAUCCCGUCAUCCCGUCACACUGUAUUUGUAUUGAUAUUCUAAUUCUAAUCUUAAUUGCUUGCUUACUUUAUUAUAGAUGACUAAUGCUAAUGAUAUGUGUGUGUGUGUGUGUGUGUGUGUGUGUGUGUGUAUAGUUGUAAUAAUACCAACGUUUGAUUCAUAGUUAUGAGAUUGUGUUUUUCCGUCCUGUUAGGUUUAAAGAUUAUACACUCGUUUACUGUAUUGUUAGAGCGGUGAUUGUGUGCUUAAUUAUUAGAUUUUACUUCUAUUCAAGAGCGUAUGGUUCAAUUUGAGUAUGUAUGUUCUUUUAUCUUUAGCUUUUGUUAUUUAAUUUCUAUAAAAUGUUAUAAUAUUGAUUGCUUAAUGAUCAGUUAACUACGUGAUUAUUUGAUAUAUUUUUAAUCUAAAAUGUGAUAUGUAAAAUAUAGAAGAAAAAAAAUUAAAAAACUUUAUUUAAAAAAAAAUUUCAGCCCACCCUAACCUAAAAUCCUAGGUCCGUCAUUGCAUAUACAGAGUGCAACAAUGAGACUAGUUCAUUAGUCUGAUAUUGACUGAGAAUACUGAUCUUCUUCUCUCUCUUUAUACAUUUCCUAUCGUGACACCAAAAUGAAAUGGAUGAGCUCAUGCGCAAGAAAAUGAUCGGAGUAGUUAUCGGAAUCAAAACCAAUUUGCAUGAAUUCAUGCCUCGCUCUUACAUGGGUGAAGUUGAAUUAAUAAUCCGGGAUUAUCAAACACCAGACGCCACUACGUACUCGAGAAGGUAUGAAAAUUAUACAUGGAAAUUAAGUUUGAAAUAACAGAUGAAGCAAAACGGAAAACGGUGGAAAUGGUUGGACUUCGUUGCUUUCAUACCUUGACUUCUCGACUGAUGAUGACACCAUGGAUGAUUAUUGUAUCGAGUCGAUAUUGUCAUUUGCUCAUCAGGCGCUCUCAGCCGUAGCUAGCUCCACAAUGCAACUUAUUUCUUGUACGUAUCUACGUACGUACGGCUUGUCCUCACACAACAGUCGCUUUGUUAUCAGUGUAUCACUAUAAAUAUCGAGGCACCGUGGUAGUUUAACUCACACCAGCAAGCUAGCUCUCCCGGCCUUAGUUGUUUAACUACAUCAGAGUCUCAGCUUUCAUUUUUCGAGUGCUUCGAUUCCCCUAGCUAUAAUGGAUCCUCUGUUGGUUUCAGCAUCUCAAGCUCAAACCCAAAAUGGCAGUAGCACUGCAGAUGUUGAACGACGUUCAGCAAAUUUUUCUCCCAGCGUUUGGGGGGAAUAUUUUCUGGCAUAUGCAUCUGUGGUAGGUUAUUUUUGAAGUAAUUAGCAGCAUCAUAUGAAUGUCAUAUUUAUCUUAUUACCCCCUUCAAAAUUUUCAUCUACUGUAGGAAACUGCUGAUAUUCAAGCCGACAAACGUGUCAAAGAACUGAAGGAAGAAGUGAAGAGGGUGCUACUUAGUUCUCCGCCUUCACAGAGAUUAGACUUGAUUGAUUACAUUCAGCGCUUGGGGUUGUCACACCAUUUUGAGGAUGAGAUUCACCAAUUUUUGCAGCAAAUUCACAACCAAUACUCAUCUGCUUCUUCAGAUGAUGAUGACCUUCACACUGUUGCUCUACGUUUUCGGCUGCUUAGGCAAGAAGGAUUUAAUAAGGUUUCAUGCGGUGAGAAUCAUUCUUUUUUUCCAACUUUUCUAUAUAUUUAACAAUGGAUUAUUUCCUCUUAUUUCUUCUCUUGGUUGAUGAUCAUUAAGCAGACAUGUUCAACAAGUUCAUCGAUGUUGAUGGGAAUCUUAAGGAAUCAUGCGUCGCUGACGUACCAGGACUGCUAAGUUUGUAUGAAACAGCACAUCUAAGGAAACAUGGAGAAGAUUUCCUAGAUCGAGCAGUGUCCUUCACUACCACUCAUCUUGAGUCUGCAGUAGCAGCACCCGGCCGUUUAAGCCCCCCACUUUCAAAUCAAGUAGCUCAUGCCUUGUAUCAACCACUCUGGAAAGGAAACCCGAGGAUAGAAGCUAGGCAUUACCUCUCUAGCUACCAGGAACUCAACAGUGGUCCACAUUUUAGCCAAAGUCUCUUGACUUUUGCAAAGUUGGAUUUUAAUUUUUUCCAGCGUAUCCAUCAGAAAGAACUAAGUGAAAUCACAAGGUCAAUGAUCAGCUCCCCUUACUCGAUCAAUAUUUACAUACCGAAAAUUAGUGCUAACACAAUUAUACGGAUAUCUAUGCAUGUACUUAUAAAUUGGUAGGUAUUUUCAGGUGGUGGAAGGAGUUGGACUUUGUAAACAAACUACCGUUUGCAAGGGAUCGAAUAGUAGAGUGUUACUUUUGGUCUUUGGGAGUCUGCUUUGAGCCCAAGUAUCGUCUUCCGAGGGAAACAUUAUGCAAAAUUCUUGGCUUACUUACCAUGAUUGAUGACACUUUCGAUACGUAUGGCAAACUUGAUGAACUAGAGCUCUUUACUGAAGCUAUUCAGAGGUAUAAAACCAAUCCUAGUAGCUGCAUGACCAUUUCUUUUGUUUUUCAGUUAUAUAUUAACCUCUUUUAUUUCAUAAGAAUAUUGCGACAUGCUUGGUUGACACGCAUCUAUAUAUGUUGUUUUUGAUUAUCAAUCAGGUGGGAUCUCUCUGCCAUGGAUUCACUGCCUGACUAUAUGAAAAUUAUCUAUGAGGCAGUGCUGAAUGCCUACACUGAGAUUGAAGCCGAGCUUGCCAAGGAGGGAAACUCGUAUCGCAUUGCCUAUUUAGUAGAAGGAGUAAGUCUCAUUAUCUCUCAAGAGAGCUGACUGAUAAUUUUUUAUGGUUCAAUUUCAACACAUUCGGUUUUCAUCUGCCUCUAUAUACUUCAGUACGUAGAGCAAUGACAGAAUGAUUAUGUAUUUUUUUUCUCUGAUGAUCAGACGCAAUGUCUAGUUAGAGCUUACAUGAAGGAAGCCAAAUGGUACCACCUAAAGUGCACACCGAAAACCUAUGAUGAAUACAUGAGGGUGGGACUUAUUACAUCCGGCAUGUUUUUGGUAGAAGCAGCAGUCAUUGUUCCAUUAGCCGGUGAAAUUUCGACAAGAGAUUCCUUGGAAUCGUUGUUCAGAGACCCUAACAACAAAAUUGUAUAUGCUUCAAACAUACUUGGGAGACUUCUGAAUGACAUCCGAAGCCACAAGGUACAAAUACAGCAUAUAUAGUACUGAAUAGGAGUAAUAAACCUUGACCAACUUUGUUAUGGAAGUUUGUAAUUUGUUUCUGAGUAUUACACAUAUGUGCAGCAUGCGCAAAAGAGAGGAAAUGAUUUUUCAGCUAUACAAUGCUACAUGAAAGAACACUAUGUUACAGAAGAAGAAGCGCUGAUCGAACUGAAUAAACAAGUGAAUGACGCAUGGAAGGAUGUAAACGAAGUAUUGCUCCAGCCUCCCACGACUGUGCCCAGGCCAAUACUGUUGCUGUGUCUCAAUCUUCUACGAGUAACUGAUGUUAUAUACAAGAACGACGAUGGUUAUACUAAUGGUGGAGUUGUGCUUAAGGAUUAUAUAACUUCUCUGCUUGUCGAACCUGCUCCAAUGUAGGUUAUCAUCAAUCAACAUUCGACAUGUUAUCUUCCACGCGUUAUGACAAAUAAAGACUCGGUCUAAACCCUAAGGCUGGGUUAUUACAAAUAAAAGAUUUUAUGUUCUUUAUGGAUUAUUGUAUUUCUGCACGGGGCUUUGGUUCAUGUCCUCCCCGUUGUUUUCUCAGUCAUAAACCUCUUCUACGUACAGUAAUAUAUUUUGCCGGUGUCAAGGCUAUUAAUUUAUUUUGUUUGUGAACUUUACUUUCUUAAGAACUUGUUAUGCCAAUACAAUAUUAAAAGUAUAGAUUGAUGACAUGCAUACUUGGCCUAGUUUAGGGCAGCUCUGAGGAACUACUACCUAUCUGUGCUUGAUGAUCAGAUUCGAUGAAGCAACUUUCUCAUUGUUUGUCGAACAGUUGUUUGAGAUUCUGCUCCCCUUUGCCAAGUGAAAUCAGUGGCCGGCCAUUAUUAUUCAAAUCAUGCUUAACUAAAAUGGCAUGCAUGACAUCAUUUGAAAGCCGUAUUUUUGAAACCAAUCAUGUACGCGGUAAACUGGUAACUAAAAUUUAUCAAGGGCUCAUGGACUAAAAUUAUGACUACUUAUUUUUUUUUACCAAUUUAAGAUAAUUGUAUGCAUGUCAUACAUUAAUACGCCGUAAAAUUUUUAAAAUUUUUGUAUAAAGUUAUAAAUUCAUCGUAUUACUCACACCGAGUAUCAAAGAUAUUUUAAAACAAACAAAUUGAUGACAUAUUAAUUUUCUUUGACGAAUACACUGUAUUGGUAAAAUGAUUGACAAAUACAUUAGGAUAACUUGGAUUGCAAUACUUGAGCAAACAUGAGAUGUUUGAGUUUAAGGUUUCUCUUAUAGCAUGGUACUAGAUGAUGCCCGCGCGCUGCUGUGGUUUGCAAUGACGGAUAUUAACUACCGUAAUUGCUUUUGUUUGAAUCAAUGUUGCUGUUGUUGGACAAAAUUAUAAACACAAUAAUAUAAAAUGGAUAUUGCACAAUGACAUUGGUCACAAAAAGGAAAUGUAUAGCAUUUUUUGACUUGCAAUUCAUGAUGGUAAACAAAAUGGAAAUGUAUGACAAAAUAGAAAUACACAUGGUGAUGCUAUCGAUAUACAUAACAUAUAAAACAAUAGUACAUAGUAUUGUGUUAUAGACACCAAAAUAACUGGGCACAAAAAAUAGCUACAUCUAUUGUCUCUUUGGAUAGCAAAAUGCUUCCCACUGCCAGGCAACACCGGAUUGUAUCUGCAGUUAGAACCAACUAUGUCUAACUUGUUAGCAUCAAAAGGAUCACAUAUACAAAAACACAUGUUUCUUACUCCUGCUUUGAUUUGACCUUACAUUCGCUUCCUUGAGCUCUGGUAUAUGAACAUUUAAAUUCAGGCAAUGGAUACAAAGCUGUGAAAAGAUAAACAAAACAAAUGCAAAGCAUACCAUUGCAACAUAAACACUGAAAGAAAACAAAUGCAUGGAUAUGGAUAUAAGGGAUGCUUACUUUGAUAUCCCAUUGCUUUCUUCUCCUCUACAAAAAAUGCAUGGAUAUGGAUAUAAGGGAUGCGUACUUUGAUGUCCCAUUGCUUCCUUCUCCUCUACAAAGUGAAGAGGUAUGUGUUAGUUACUGGAUAAAUUUAGUUGUACAUGAAAAUGCCAACAAUCGUUAACAAUACAUGAAUAUCAGAAUGUAAUACAGACCAUCCCAUUUUAAUCAUACUACUGUAAUGUAAAUAGAUACUGAGAUAGAAACGAAAUGCAUAUAUAUGGAUAUAAGCAAUGCUUACUUUGACGUCCCUUUGCUUCCUUCUCCUCUGCAAAGUGAAAUGUUUUCAGUAGGGGAUCAAUUUGAAAGCUCAAGCAAAGAGAUUGAGAGAAUUCAGAGAAUCAAAGAAAAUAUCUUGCAUCUAUUAUCUUGUGUUACACAGAGGAAGAGAGAGACUUCAGCUAUUAUACCUAUAGCUAUUAGAGAGAUACAAUACAACUGUAAAAGGCUUAUAGAUAAACAGUAAAACUAGACUACGUUUUACUGUUUUACAACAAUUACUCUUAACACCCUCCCUCAAGCUGAUGGGAGAGAAGCUACCAUCAGAUUGCAUUAGCAAAGAGCCAAAGAACUGAGCAAUACAGUGACCAAAAAUAUUGGUUUCAACCCGGAUUAAUGAGCGGCAGUGACUGGCAUAGCUGCAUAGGAUAAGAGGCACGCCUACAAUUUAAUGUAGUUUGAUCCGAAGUAGAUAACAGUCGCCAAUUGCCUUGCACCGGUAAAGCUUCAAUUUCCUUAAGCACUUCUUGCUGCCAUUUAGAGAGAACUGGACUGGCAGUGCCAAUAUGCAAGGGAUGAGUUUGACUAGCAUCAAGGAUAUGAGUUGGUUGCUGAGAAGAAUAUGUAUGCCUGUAUAAGCAUUCAGCUGCACUAUGACCUGACUUCAUGCAAAUUUGACACUGCAUAUAAGAUCUAGAGGCAACAACUUGUCAAGGAGCAGAUCUUUGAGAACAUACUUGAGUAGUAUGACACUUGCUAUUGCAUAUUUGACAGGCUUCGGGAGUGUUACUAAUUCCAUUUGAGAAAUCAUUGACUUUGAGACUUCCAACCUUCUUAUUCCUUAACCCACUUGAAGUAUCAUAUAAGCUAGAAGCGCCAACAUGAGUGCUGUUGUGAAUUCUGUAGUUGUUCCACCCACUAUUCUGAUAACAAACUCUAGUUCUUCCUCUUCGGUCAAAACCCUUGCAAGCAUUAACAAUGGAGCUGAAAUACCAAGUUCGCUGACCCACUUGAGUAGAAGGAUGUGCACCAGAUUGUAAGAUAUUUCCAUUGUUAGUAAAGCUCAUUUUAUGUGAAGGGUCACAAUGUUGUUGUGGAGAAUCACUGCAUUGUUGCAAAGGCUCACCAUUUUGCAGAAUAUGACUAGUGUUUGGCUGAGAAAUUGUGCCAUUGCACAGAGCUUCACUUGUUGGAACAACACUUGAACCAAGAGGAUAAUCAAUAGAAUCAAUAUUCCCAACAAUCGAACCAGCAGAUAAAUUGGGAGUAGAUGUCACCAUAUGACCAUUAUUUGACAUAAGAGGUACCCCAAAGUUUCCAUUUUGCAUCAUGGCAUUAACAACAUAUGUAGGAUUCAUAGUAAAACCAGAUGCAACAUGGUUCAUAUUGUUAGGCAGAACAGUAUGCUGAGGUACAUAAGUAACUUGAGUGGUAAGAUGUGUCCCAAGACAUUGGUUCUCAAGAGAUGUCGUCACAGGAGUAGAAACAAGAGAAACAAGAGAACCCGAAUCCGUACCAGAAGAUUGGUUCUCAACAGAUAUAGGCACGGGAGUAGAGUUGACAAAUUGAGUAACAAGUUCUGAAGAGCUGCUGGUAAGAGCAUUGUUGUUUGAAAUAACAGCAGCAAACUCCAUUUCGGAACUAGGUAAAUAGGUAUUAUUCAAAGAAUAAGACUGAACAUUACCUCUGGAAGUAUCACCAAUUGCAGCCAUAGCUGUCUCCAAAGACAAUGAAAUAGACUUCAAAGUUUGUUCAAUCUCAUCUUCACCAAUCAACAAAAGAGACCUUUAAGUCUUUCAUUGAAACAGAGGAGCUCAGUGCUUUGAUUCUUAUAACAGUUUUUAUGGUAGCAAACUCUGAAGGCAAACCAUUAAGAACUGAGACUACAAUAUCUUCAUCAUCCAUAUAAACUCCCAUUGUAGCAAGUUGAUCACAUAUUGACUUCACUCUAAACAAGUACCUGUCAAUAGAGUCUGAGCCUUUUUUGAUGUUGUUUAAGGAGUUUUUGAGAUUCAUUAUGUUAUACCUUGAAUCAUCAACAUAUUUCUCCUUAAGCCGACACCAAAUUUUCUCAGAAAACUUGCUUCCAAUAAUGAAGGAGAGAGCAUCAUUGGACAAAGUAGCAGCAAGUAUAGACAUAAUGGCAGAGUCAUUUUGCAUCCAAUUCAUGUACUCUGUCAUAUCAGUGGCAACCUCAUUUUCUUCCAUAUUCAGGUACUCUGGAGGACAAGGGAAUGAUCUGUCGAUAUAUCUCAUCAAGCCACAACCCUUUAACAAUGUUUCUACUAAAAACUUCCAUGUGACAUAGUUAGAUUUGUCUAAGCGGAUAGGAAUGAGAUUGCAAAAAUUGGAAAGCAGACACUUGCUUAACUCAACACUGUUAUCCAUGAUGGCAGGCAACACAGAAUAAUGUCUUGACUGAGUGAAAUGCCAACACAACUCAACUAUCACCACUAUAGAACUCCAAUGAGUAACUUAUGAACAACACUGUGCUCCAGCAAUGUCUAGCUUUAUGCAAUUUCUUUCGAAAUACUACCAAUGCAUUUCAGUUCACUGGUUCCAUAAGAUCAAGUAGAUGAUAAGAAGCCAAUGACAAGGACUGCACGGUGACAAAGCUCUUCCAAAAAUAUGUAGUAUGCCUAACUUGUAACAAAUGUCUAAGCAACUUGAAGCAGCAAAUUCGAAUCUUCACUAUAGCCAAAACUUCUUGCAAACAGAGUGCUUCAAUAAUCAACAAAUCCUAUUGCAUGAAUCUAAGAAAAAGUUCAAUUGUAGCUUGUUUCACCAAUCUUUCAUCGUUCAACAACUAGAAGAAACACCAAAACAUAACAAAGAGAGAAUUUGGAGUAAAAUCCCCAAAUUCUAAGGUUUCAAUUUCUGGCAUAUAUCAACGAACUUCACACUGUUCCAAUUCAGCAACUAAAACUUGUAGAAAUCUGUAAUCGAACAGAUAUUAUGCAAAUCAAAUACUUCAAUCAAACUAUGAAUCUAGCUUUCUUCUUCUUCAAAAUUCUAGAAAACUUAUCUGGGAGAUGAAUCUUAUCUGGAGAUGAAUCGAACACCGAAGCAAGCAAGAACAACAAGUAUGAAUAUCGAUGAAGAGUGAAACUCUAGGUCGCCGGCGAAAAUCUUCGAUCCCGAUCGAACCUGGCUCUUGAUACCAUGAAAGCUCUUGAAUACCAGAAUGUAAUGAAAGAUCAUUCCAUUUAAAAGAGGAGCAUAGUUACUGUUCUCUGAUAAGUAUUCUGAGUAACACAUGCAUUGAACACACAACACAUAUAUGUAUAUAUAAUGAUAUAUAUAUAUAUGUAUAUAUUCACACAUGCAAUAUGGUAAUACCUUUUCUGCUUCUUUAUUUCAAUGUUCAAAAGCUCCUUAAGUGUUAAUUCUUUUCGGGGCUGCAUAGUUCUUUUUGCUGGAGUACUUGGCUCUGCUACUGUGUCAUGGACAGUGAAUAAAAUAGAUAUGCAUUGAUAAAGGUGAAACACCUUUACAAUGAAUUAAGGUAUGAUAUGUGAAACAUGGGAAAAAAAAAAAGUUUAAGCAGAAUGACAAAUACAAAGAGAUUUGGCAAAUGAAUUACAUGCACUUAUACAUUUCAUAAAUAAGAGUCAAAAAUACAGUGAACAUGUAAUUUUAAAAAUUUCAAAGGUGGGAAAUAGUGUUUAUUCAAGUAGCUGACAUUGGAUGCCCAAUCUGCUCUCCAUGGUGUCCACAACAAAGUUUUCUAGAAUUAUGAUCGAACCUAAAGGUCUUGCUACAGGUGGGGCAAGCUAGAUAAUACCAAUCCUCUCGAAUGAUAAAUUUUGUAAUCUUGCCUUACAAGUGAAGAUAAGACUCCUGUAGCAAGGUCAUCAGCAUAAAUUCAAAAACAUUAACUUGUAAUUCAAAACAUUUAAACCCAAACAUUAACAGCAGUUAGACAUUAAAUAAAAGUAUUAACAGGAGAUCGUCGCAACUGGUAUCAAAAUUGCUUUGGAUAAAGGAUCAAAUAAGGAAGGCCUGCAACUACCAUAUCAAUAAUAAUGAAAUAUAAAACAUGAGUGCCAGCUUGAGAAAGGAAACAUAUUGCAAUGUAUUGAUAAGUGUUAUGUUUCAUGAAAAAGUUAAUGAGCUACUUAGUUGCAUCCACACAAAAAAAAAGAUGGUUUUUUCCUUAUAUUUUGCAUAUGCUUCUUUUAUGAAAUCUGAUAACAUAAUUUUCAAGUGUUUUCAUUUUUGUUCAACCUAUUGAUAAUCAGUGUGUAAAUACUACCAUCAAGAAUGGACAACAAAUGUUUUAAAACUGAUUGAGAGAUUAUGUAGAUGAACUUGUAUAAGCCAAGCACCGGUCAACCACAGUUCAAAAAUAGGAAACAUAAAAGUACUUGUGAAUCAUAGACAACAUAUCAUAUUUAAUCAAAUUAUUUUACCUUGUCUUUCUUUCCAGCUUGCAUGUUCAAGGCACUAACAGUGAUCAUAUUCUGAUCUUGAAGAUCAGGAGCAGGUUGAUGACGUGCAGAUGAUAUUGUAAUUAUCUUUGGGGUGAGAAAAGGUUUGUUGACGCUGCAAAAGCAAACAAAAUAGCUUCAAUUGCUUUCAUAAGUUGAAACAAUAAACCUUAUGUUGUUCAACCUAUAAGAGCUUACCUUGCCCUAUAUACACAUAUUUCAGGAAUGGGUGGAUUGAUGAACGUACAUGUACUCAUCCCAGUAACGAAAUAUUGAAAGCACCAAAAACAGUUAAUAGCCAUUAUACAGUAACAACAUGUAGCAGGACAAAAUAACUCUCAUACCAAAGUGCCGGUGUUUUGUGCUUGUGAUGGCCAUCACAACUGGAGGUGUGGCAAAUUCUUAUUGUCUCAACAUCAAAUUCAGCUGCAAGUGUUCCCCACAAAGUGACUUUCAAAUUCAGCUGCAAGUGUUCCCCACGAUGUGUUGAAGGACGUGUUGCUUCCGAUGCGGGCGGAGGGUCAGGAGUACAAUGAGCCUCAAGGUUUGGCUCUCUUUGAUUGCUUUGAAAUGUGAAAGUUUGAAUCCAUUAGGAAUAUCACAUUUGUUGCCAGAUUGUGGCGCACUUCAAAUUUGAUAGGUUUCAGUUCAAAGUUUCAUGAAUAGGCACUGAUAUGUGAUGCUUAUGAAUUGGUUUUAUGAGAAGGACCACAUUGAAUUUGGUUAUGCACACCAGGUGCUUGAUGAAAUAUAUGUGAAUGAAUUUUGAUGUUUUUUCUUGAUGAGACCACAGUGGACCUUGAUGUGCUACCGAGGGCUGACAUUCUCAAGUUCUUGAGCAAGGAAUGUGAGGAAAGAGAUCCUACACGCUACAAAGAGAUGCGCAUUAAAGAUGAAACCUUAAGAAAUACAGAAUUCUGCCCAGAUUUUCAGUCAAAUUCGGCGGCAAAUUGCGAGCAGCUCAGAGCGAUCCAAGAACCUUGCCUUAUAUCAACGGAAAGCUAGAAGAGUCUAGUUUCCAGAACUUUUCACGGAUCGUUGAUAGCUAUUUUGUAGAGGAAGUUAUGGCCGUUGGAAGGAGGGAAUGUCAUUCUGCCGAAAACUGGAAAAGGAAGGAGAAAAGUCUAUCAAGCAAGUGUUCAUAUAACUGGCAAUGUAGCCGUUAAAUGUGGAUGAUGAUUUUGGAGGUUAAUUUCGCGGGAACUAGCAGUGCCCACCUGUCAGGUAAGCUUCACUUUCGACAUGAAGCUCUUAAUGUUUGAUUGAAUUUUUGCUUAUUGAUUUGUUCAUAUCUGAAAAUUUAGGAAAUAAGAGAAGCUUAGGGGAGAUUAAUUAAAAAUGAAGAUGACUUCUAUAUUCGUUCACAUGGGAAGUUUGAACAAAUUGCAAAUGAAUUAAAUGAAUCCAUUGUUUCUAUUGAUAUAUAAGGUGAAGCUCUAUGAAACAAUGUUAGAGUUGAAAUCUUAUUCGAUCUAUGAUUUACAACAAGAUUGGUGACAUUUAGCAAAUGAAGAUUUGGACAGGGUUUUAAAGAGUAUAUGUAUUUGGUGUAUAUCACACUUUAAUUAGGGUUUAUAUCCAAAAGAAAGGCAUUGUGUGUGUAUGAAAGUAUUUGUCAUAUUUUGUUUCUUGGCCAUACAUUUUAUUCCCUCUUGCUUGACAUGGAAUUUGGUUUCUGUUUUUUGUUUUUGUUUUUUUUUUUUUGUCCAGAAUUCUACAUUAUAAACUACCAAGCCUCUGAUUUGUGUGAUUGUGAUAACUUACUGCAUCACUUAUAUUGUAAUGGCAGUGGUUCUAACUUAGCUGCAAUUCGAGAGAAGUGGCCAAGAAGUACUGUCGUCCAUCAACUAGAAGCUCACAUUUUGAUAUAUGUUGUUCUAUGUUAAGUUGGUGAGGCUCAUCCCUAUUACACCCUCUACGCAUAUUUGACUCAAGUUGCUGUGAUAUAUAAUCAGUUAGUUCAGAACAAGUUUGUUGGGUUGUUCAAAACAAGCCCUGAUUUGUGUUGUUCAGAACUCACCAAAAGUUGUCCUUAGCUUCUACAAAGAUAGAAUAUGGUGCAAUUGUUGUUCUUGUAUAGAUAAUUUGGUCUACAUUUAAGAGAUCAAGAUUCUCUUUACAUACUUUUCUAUAAGAUAAAUAAGAUUGAUGUCCAGUGAUAAAUCUUUUAUAUAUGUUGCGCUAGUGUUACAUGGAUAGUUACAUAUCAAUUUUAACAGUUACAUCGGAAUGCUGCGCCAUGGUGCAGCGACACGUUGCAAAUAUCACAAAAUAGUCAUGGAAUAUAAAUGGUAGUUACAUGGGUAGUAACAUGGAUAGUUACAUAGAUGCAUAGUUACAUGGAUAGUUACAUGCAUAGUUACAUAGAUGGAUAGUUACAUGCAUAGCUUACAUAGAUAGUUACAUAGAUUAAGAGUGUAAUCUGGAAAACGUAAUAAAGAAAUAAGAGUGUAAUCUUGCUAUGUAACUACGAUGUUAUUACUCAAUUAAGAGUGUAAUCUGGAAAACAUAGUAAAGAAAUAAGACAUUUUCACCUUCAUUCAUAUGAUUUCAGUGGAUACUUGAUACAAUAACAGUAGUUUCCAGACCAAAAAAGAAAGUACAUCCUAGACUAAAGAGGUGCUAACCCCACUUUCUCUGCAUCAUAUCAAAACAACCCAGAGCUGCAUCCUAUUUGAUAUAAGCUCCUUCUUGCUGAUUUUGCCAAACCUCUCUGUUUAAGUAAAGCUGCAACAACAUGGCUGACAAGUACAAUGAGAUUUGUAAAUAAGUUAUAGCAUCAUGAUGACAAGUUGCUGAAGAAGUUCCAUAUGUGUGCGUAACUACAUAAGCUUCAUUGUCAAAGCCUUCUUCUGGAGUGAACCAAGCUUUAUGGAAUGAACCUAGUUCAGAAUACCAUAAAAAUCAAAUCCUUCUGUUCUUCAGUCACUACCAGAAGAAAGGCUUUAGCCGACGAAAAUAAAAAAACCAGGCAGACGAAUUAUUUUUUCGUCGGUUAACGUGGACUUUAGCCGACGAAAUUUUCCUUCGUUGGCUUAUUUAAAUUUUCGUCGGCUAAAGAAAUUUUUUCAUCGGCUUUAGUCUGUGAACUUUAGCCGACGUCUAUAUAAAAGUUUAGCCGACGAAUACCCUAAUAUUUCGUCGGCUAAACCCUAAACCCUAAACCCUAAACCUUAGCCGACGAAUACCCUAAUAUACGACUUGUUGCGUCUCAUCGAUUUGAAACUAUUUUCAGUUGAAGGUCCAGCCAAAAUACGUAAUUUAGACGGUCCAAUGACCUUUUCCGUGCGUUUAGGGGUUUGACUUAAGGGAUUGACCGUCCGGAUCGAGCCCUUAACCUUGUCGGAUCAAGUUGAAUUUUUUCCCAUAUAUGUAUUUUAUCAUGAUGGUCAGAUCUGAUGGUCGGAUUUUCGUUUCUCAAGUUUGAUCAUCACAAUCACAAUUUGACAUCAGAAUUAAACAAACACUCUUCAAAACAAAUUGAAGGACGAUCCCGUAACUUCCCUCAAAUACAUAGAGUCCGAAACCCUAACUUCCCCUCUGCCAUGUCACCGAUCCGCGUGACUCCUAUCAACUCAUUUUCCACCUUCAGAUUGCACACAUAACCGCCGUCCCUGACCGUCGGAUCGCACUCCGGAGGUCAUCCUCCUCCUUUAGAAAACCCACCUUUUAAAUUCUUGCUCUCUUUCAUUUCCUUCUCUGCAUCUCACUCUCUCCCAGACUCAAGUCUUCGUUUACAAAGAGAGCUCUCAUGGCCACCACUAAGUCCUCCAACGACGCACCGGCACCGGCGAAUCCAGCUCCACCGGCAAAUCCAGCUCCUUUUGGCGCAGCACCUCGAGAAGAUUAAGCAGAGCAGUGAGCUCGCUUUUGUGAAGAACAACUACAUGAAGCCUGACCCCAACGCGCCGCCUAAGCACGGCCGUGGCCGUCCUCCCAAGCCGAAGGUCCCGAGGGCUGAAGGAGCUGCUGCCAUGGUUUCCUCGCCUCUGAGGCCACAUGGCAGGCCUCCCAAGGCUAAGGAUCUGUUUUUCCCGACUCCGAUUGUCCAGAGCUCGACCUCGGGAGGAGGGUCAGGCAGGCCACGUGGCCGUCCUUUGAAGAAGGCCAAGACUGCUCCGGCUAACGCUCCUGCUGCUCUGACGAGUGGUGGUGGUAGUGGUGCUCCUAGAGGGAGAGGCAGGCCACCGAAAGUGAAGCCCUCCGUGGCUCCGGUGGGUUGCUGAGCUCACACUGAGAGUGAAAGUCGUUUAUGUUUUUUUUUCCUUUUUUAAUUUGGGUUAAUUUUAGGGUGCGUUGGAAUUUAGUGUUGGGCUAAUUGAUGGUCUAGCUUUCAUUAUCGCAGUGUUUGUUUAAUUUUCAUGUGUUGUGAGUGGUGUUGGCUUCUGUAUUUUGCAGGUUGCUUGGAAUGGUAAUUUAGAAAUAUCGGGUUUUUUUUUUACUGUAAUGGACUUAUAGCCGACAAAACAUUUAAGAUAUUCGUCGGCUAUAGUAUUUUAAUUUUUUUAUAAGGUUCAGCCGACGAAUUAUGGUAUGUUUCGUCGGCAAUAGUUAUUUUUUUAAUUUUUAAUUCGUCGGCUAUAGUUAUUUUUUAAUUUUUAUUAUAUACUUUAGCCGACGAAUAUCUUAAAUGUUUCGUCGGCUAAAGUCUUAUCUCAGACUAUGGUCGACGAAAUAUUUAAGAUAUUCGUCGGCUAAAUUCUGGGACAAUAGCCGACGACGUCUUCUAGUUUCGUCGGCUAAAGUAAUCGCUGACGACUUUUUCCCGACGAAACCAUAGCCGACGAAUUAAGCUAACAGGCCAACGAAACUUUUUCUUCGUCGGCUAAAGUGCUUGUCCUGGUAGUGAGUUUAAUGGGGUGAACCCAGCUUCAUAAUGCCAUCAGAAUCAAAGUAAAGCUGGAAACCAUCAAAAAAUGAAACUGAUCAGCAAGCUUACAAAUGCAUUGAUCAUUAUCACUAAGCAAGAUUAUAGAGAUAUAAUGCUUCUAUAAGCAAGAAUUACAAAUGCAAAUUACUUAAAGCAUUAAGAAACUCACAAGCCCAUGGUGAGUCUUGUAUCAAUGCCACUCUCUAUCUAGAAAGAAAAACAGUACCUUGGAGAACUUUUUAUCACGAUCAUAAUCAAGUCCAGGAGGGGCAUUCUGUAUGGUGGCUAGGGCUAACUAAGAUUAGACCAAGAUCGGAUUAUUUACAACUAACUGAGAUUAAACCAAGAUCGGAUUAUUUCCAACUAUUGAGAUUUAGCACUUCCAAUAGGGAAAUCAAUUUCACAUAGAUCAAAGAAUACAAAACCAAAUUCAUCAACAUGCUAAUAUGGUCCAAAACAGAUCGUAGUAUUCAUGCAACUAACUGAGAAUAUAAUUGCAUCUACAACUAUUCAAAAGAACAAAUCAUAUAACAUGGCAUAUGAGAUAAUAAGAUCGGUGUCCAAUUGAACAAAUGUCAGAUGGGAGAAUACUACGCCUUGUGCCUGAAAGAGAUGGAAGACUAGAGCUCAAGCAAUUUGAUCUUCACAAAUCUGUGUGAGGUGUGCUGAAGAACAUAAACAAGAAUAAUAUAGACUUAAAGAGAGAAAGUGAAUAUAUGUACAUGAUAAGACGUAUUUGCACACGCAUCAAUUAACCCUGUCAACAAAUCAAUCGUAGUAUAAAGCAAGCAGGGAUCGUUCUAAACCGGGGAUCCAACUACAGGGUAGAUCCAUCUAACCUAAUAUAAAUGUCGAAAUAAGCAUAUAGGGUUUAAAGGUUUGAUGAUUUCGAAAUAGACAUUGGAAAUAAAUCCUAAAUUACCUCUAUACAUAUUUACAUGUGAUCAACCAACAAUCAUGCAAACACAACCAAACAACCAUGCAAGAACAAAGAAGACGAUCUCUAAUCUCAUUUAAGUCCACAUCGUGAGCAAAUACACAACCUAAAUUUGAUAUGCACAUAAGUUCCUACGUGGUUCCUAUGACAUAGACAUACUUAGAAUUAGACUACGGGUUUCAUUCAACAUCGUGACACAAACAAGCACGGCUACGUGCUCUACUUAUAGGUCACACACAUAAACUAAUCAUGCAAUUACGUAUCACAUAAAGAAUCGAUGUGUUUAAGCACAAGUCCAAAUCAAACAUAGGUAGAAAAUCGGUGAAAUAACAAAAACAAUGCGACUUAUCAACUUCUUGUAUCAAAGUCGAACUUUGGAUGAUUAACACAUGCAAUAUCAACUACUUGUAUCAAUUACACAUGAAAAUAGAAGAAUGCACCGAAAAUCUUAAAGUAUAUAGACAUAAAACUCACGGCAUAAAACUUAAAAUCAUUGAUUAUAAAUUGUAAACUUUAAUUCAAAACAUGGCUCAAAAGUACCUCUAUCUCAUAGACAAGAAUCGAAACAUACUUAAGCAAAAACCUAAAACAAACAUAAACAAGAACAAACACAUUAUAAUCCGAAAGUAAAAGAUGACGCGGCUCGUUACCGGGCGCGUAAUUUAAAAACCCUUUUUUAUCAGAAUGUAGUAUUGGCAAAUAGGGUUCGAUCAAUCCGGGGACCUAAAGGGCGCUCCUGCAGUCAUGGUUACACUAAAGAAUUAGUAACAGAAAGUAAUUACAAGUAUUCAGUUACAAAUAUACACAUGGUACAAUAGAUAAAAAGGGGGGGUUUGAAGGUUUGUUUACUAAAUUCCUACGAAAACAGUAGGGAAAAGAAAUAAACUACUAUUUACAAGUGAUCGACUUCCACACUUUCGAAACCAGAUUCCAGAAAACAUAAUCGUAAUCUAAUGAACUUUAAUCACACAAUUGAGUUAUCACCAAAGAGAAACACAGAAGGGUUCUAAAUACAAGCCUACGAGGUCAUGCAUUUAAUCGGUUCUUCUAAAUAGUCAUCCAAGCUAAAACGUCUGAACUUAGAACAUUUUACAUGCUGCUGCUAUCAAUACUGUAAGUAUCUGUCUACAAACAUGCAAAUCAUUAAGUAAAAGAACGAACCCUAACAUGCAAAGAGUUUACGUACGACGCUUAACCAUUCACAUGCAAAACAUGUUCCUAACCAUACAGGAUAUGGCCUCCACUACUGGUGAUCUAUACUUACCAACGAGGCUUAGCACAGAUCAUAGCAUUAGUUAGCAUGCAUUCUAACGUAGGUAAAUCAAACACAAACAUGCUUCCAACGAAUUUCUAAGGCAACUGACUCAAUCGCAUAAUAUCAUUAGAACAAUGAAAUCAUAACUAUUAUUAUCUGAAAAUCACUUAGUUCUCAACAAAGAUUCCAUCCAAUUCGGAAAAUAAAACACAUGGUUCUUAAAUGAAACCUAAAAACAAAAGAAGAUGGCCAGAAAGUACUAGACAUAGAUUUACACUUUUCAAUGGACUGAUUGGCCGAUCAAGAACUUGAGGUCGUGCAAGGCUGUGCUAGGGCUUUAGUACUCCCUAGAACGUCCGAGGCAGCAAGGGCUUCUCUUCUUCUUCUUCUAGGGACUCACGGCAAUGAGAGAAACUAAGAGAACGUUUCUGAAUUUCUAAAGCGUAGGAAGUGAUGCUGAAAACGUUCCUCUCUGCUCCUUUAUAUAGUGGUCAUGUCGACAUAGGGUUUUACUCCACACCAUUGAUUAAAAUCUGAUCCAAGGGCCAUAAAUAAUAGCACAAUAUUUUCAGAGAAUAUUCCUUAGAAUUCUCUAGAAUAUCUUGCACAUUAAGAGUUUGAAUCCGGCUGGAAUUGUGGUUGAAUACAUUGCUUGUUUUCCAAAUUGAAAUCGGCUUGAAUCUCUCCUUGUUAAUUACCGAUUUGCUGCUGAUAAUUCUUCCCAUAUUUGUGCCAUUUAAUGUCCCUAGAAAAGGAAUAUAAAUCAGAUAUAAACUCUAGGAAUAUUAGGAAUUUAUAUGGAGAAAUAAAAGGUAAGAAUUUCCCUUAAUUUCCUUGAUGUUUGCUGCAUUAGCUCCAUAUAAAUUCGGCUGGAAACCCUAAAAAGAUGGUGCCAUUCUCCUCCUUUUAUGUGACAGAAUUUCGGCCUAAUCCAUGUAGGAUUUGGUUUCCUUGCUUCAUGUGGAAUCCCUGUCUCAAGAGGAAAGAAAGUUUCCAAAAGAAUUCAGGAAAGUCAAAAUAGGAAAGAUUCAAAGUUAGUAAGUUUCCCCAAUCAAAAUAGGAAAGUUUCCCAAAAUGAAAUAGGAAAGUUUCUCCUUAUCAAAACAGGAAAAUUUCCUAAACGACUUAUCCUUCUUAAUCCGCCGGUUUUAACUUCCUUUUUCACUUUUCCGCUCUUUUAUCUUUACAAUCAUAAAACAUGUUUAAAAUGACAAUGUUCAGAGAAUAACAUAACUAAAUAAGGUAGGAAAUACGUUAAUAUCGUAGCACUUUGUGCUCCUAUCAAAAGAUGAAAUACACUCUCAGAAUAUCCCUACUUGUUCUAUUCUUCGAGUGAGCGGAACCCUAGGCUACUUGCUUUGGAUCAAGGAUGAUGGUGGGUUUGGAUUAUGGUGUUUGGAGAAUGAUGAAGUUUUGGCAAAGCUUUGGUGUUAUUUUGCACGGGUUGAUGAUAAUUAAUUGCUGCCAUACUGUGCCCUAUUUAUAGAGUAACAAGACUUGAUCUCCAAGAAUUCCUCAAGCACAAGGAAUCCUAUUGAAUCGGCAAAACCAAGUCCAAGUUGGAUUUAACUUCCUCUCUUGUUCUUCAAGUAAUCCUCAUGCAUUAAGGAAUGACAAAACCAUCUUGAACUUGGAAAACCUUCUCUUAGGCCGCACGGUUUCUCUCUCCUUGGUGACUUGGGAAAUCUUCACGGCAUCUCCAUACAUAUCUCGGAUUGUACUUCUCCUAGCUCAAGCAGGAACUCCUAGCUGCUGGCCACAUUUCCCUCAUAAGUCAGGAAAACAUUUCCUAAUCAACACGGGUUUAGACUUUCCUGAAAUAGAAAUAAGAAAAUUAGAAACUAGGAAAGAGGAAAGAUGGAAUCCUGAUCAAGACAGGAAUCCUGAGUAAACAAGGAUUUCCAACACUUAGCACAAUUUCAACACCAAAUUAUUCAAAUCCGAAAAUUCUAUGAAUUCUAAUACUAAAACACAAAUAUAAAGCUAAAACAACUAAAUAGGAGUUAACAAAGGGUAAAUAAAGGGUAUAAACAUAUUAAGAACGUCACACUUUGUGCUCCUAUCAGUACGCUUUCGCUUUGUGCCUGUUAUUCCACCUCAUAGAGAAGGAGAUGGGAGAACCAGGGCUCAAACAAUUUGAUCUUCACAAAUUUGUGUGAGGUGUGCUGAAGAACAUAAACAAGAACAAUACAUACUUACAAAGAGAAAGUGAAUAUAAUAUAUGUAAGCUUUGUGCCUGUUGUUCCAUCUCAUAAUCAUGUUUGUGUUGUCUUAAGCUGCAAUUGUGGCCAACUCAAACAAUUAUACCAUAAACCCGUCAAAAAAUUUGGGGAAAAUCUAUAUAAAAAAAAACCCUAAAAUCCAGAGGAAAAUGGUGAGUGAGUACAUACCUUCUUCGGAUCUCCGAGUCGGGUCCAUGUUCUUAAACUCCUUGUGGAUUCAAGACUAGAGCGCGCCUUCAUCGGAUCUAUCGUCAACAUCCAGUCCAUUUUAUCGGAUCCAUCGAAUUCUAGCGUCGGAACGUUAUCGAUUUCGACCAAUUCUUCGACAACAACCAGAUCUGAUUCUUCGACAACUCCGAGCCCAAUCCCGUCCUUCUUCUUCACCGCCAACAACUUGGCCAGGAUGAAGAUUAUGGUCCUCACGUCUGGUAGGCAGGAGAGAGAGAGAGAGAGAGAGAGAGAGAGAGAGAGAGAGAGAGAGAGAGUAGAAGUGCAUAGAUCCUGUAAUGUGAAGUAGAUGGAGAUAGGAUAUUAGAGGAGUAAUUUUAUUACUGAAGAGUGUUUCAAGCACUAUUAUUUCACAGUCUUACAGCAACCAAAGCAGCCUAGACUCAACAGCCCUAACCGUGCUCAAGAGUCCUAGCUACAUAUAUAGUUCACAAAAUGAUACAAACAAGUUUAUUUUAAAUACAUACCACAACCACAGAUGGUUUUAGUUCUUAGGGAAGUAGCUCCACUACACAACUCAUAAGUAGUAGCAUAACAGGUCUGGGAUGGUUUGUCACAAUGAAACAGCAGAUGACAACUAGAUAUCAAUCGGUGCAGCAGCGAAACAUGAAGAACUUCUCCAUCUCACGACCACACUCGGUACACACCACUUUGUCCGGAAUGUCUGGACCGAACCCAGGAAUGAUCAAACGAGUACAAUGAUGUGGCUCGUGAAGCUGUUUGAGCUGGUUUUUGAGUUCAGGCAAAAAGCCUAACUCAGCAGCUGCAGGUUUCCAGGCCUCAAAGUCGUCAAGCGUGAUAGUAGUCAGGUGUCCAUUAGCUCUAACAGUAUCAGCUGAGCCCAACCACAACAUAACCCAACCAUGGUCACUUCCAUCAUAGCUAAAUAAACUCAUGACCUCUCUCAGUAUAGUAUCAUCGUCUAUAGUCUUGUGGUGCUUAGCCUUUGAGCACCUCAUGCUGUCAAGUCGAGACCAAAAGAACCAGGUGGAUGUGUAAUCAGACCAGUUGCGACUGAGAUUCUCAGCAUCAAUAAUUCUGUUAAGUUUCCAGAGUUUCUCUUUUGAGGCGGUGCUUCUUCCUGCAUAAACCAAUUCCAAGGGAAUACCUGUACGUUUUGCCAUUGUUUGUCAAACAGUUGGUUCGACUGUUCGAACUAAGACUUCUAGCGAUGAAGCCGAUAAUGUCAAGAGUUUAUCCGAUGUGCAAGGUGAAUGGCGUGCAAUUUAUAUGUGAACAGAGAGAUAGCAGACGGAGAACACAGAAUUCUGGGGUGAUGGCGCAUGGCGGGCGGAAUGGAGUUGACUAUUACGGUGUUCUUGAUUCAGUGGUGGAACUCGUUUACGGUGAAAGCAUGACAGUGCACCUCUUCAAGUGUAGAUGGUUUGAUACUAGCCCGCAGAGCAUGAAGACCGAUCAGUACGGAAUAUUAUCGGUGAACACUGCUACAAGUUCUUACGAAGAUGACCCGUUCGUUUUUGCCACAUCGGUAAAACAAGUGUUUUAUCUUGAUGACCUUGCUAAGGGUGACGCGUGGAAAGUAGUCAACCUUGUGCACCCUCGAAACAUUUACCGGGCGGCUACACUUGGAGAGGCCGAAGACCAGGAAGAAGAUGUUGCGUAUCAAGAGCCCAACGCAAUAGGUAUUCCUAACUCCUCUACCGUUCGCCUUAAUAAUUUUAAAGCGGGUCGUUCGGUGCGAAUUCGUGAUGAAGAGCCAAGGCUUAUUGAUGUUGAUCCAAAUCAAGAAACAGACGAAGACUCUGGCGAUGAGGAAAUACAUUGAUUACCAGAAAUUAAUUCUGACACCGAAGAAGACUCAUCGGAUGAUUCCGAUUACGAGCCUUAGUUUUAAUUUAGAAGACGUAAUACAUUAAUUUGUAAUAAAAAAGAUUGUAUUACCUUAUACGACUUGUUGUGUCUCAUCGAUUUGAAAAUAUUUUUAGUUGAAGGUCUGGCCAAAAUACGAAAUUUAGUCGGUCCAACGACCUUUUCCGUGCAUUUAGGGGUUUGACUUACGGGAUUGACCGUCCGGAUCGAGCAGUUAACCUUGUCAGAUCAAGUUGAAUUUUUUCCCAUACAUGUAUCUUAUCAUGAUGGUCAGAUCUGACCGUCGGAUUUCAUUUUCUCAAGUUUGAUCAUCACAAUCACAACAUGCCUACUAAUGUUGUAUAACUUGUUUACCGAGUGUUAAGUAAAUGUUCCGUUUCAAAAACAAACUAUACAUAGAACCUUCAAACGUAAAAAAGUCAUGAAAUAAGACAUGACCAGAAUGGUGAAAUACGUCUACGGUUGAAAAAUCACGGUAUUCUGGUAAAGUAUCGGUGCCGAUAGUUGCGGUCAAUGCAAUUUUCCAUUCUUUCUCCCUAUGGGUAGCCCUAUCUUCGGUGGUUAUUUUGCGUAAAAUUUUUAUAGGACUUGUUGCGUCUCAUCGGUUUGAAACUAUUUUCAGUUGAAGGUCCAGCCAAAAUACGUAAUUUAGACAGUCCAAUGACAUUUUCCGUGCGUUUAGGGGUUUGACUUAACGGAUUGACCGUUCGGAUCGAGCCCUUAACCUUAUCGGAUCAAGUUGAAUUUUUUCCCAUACAUGUAUUUUAUCAUGGUGGUCAGAUCUGACGGUCGGAUUUUCGUUCUCAAGUUUGAUCAUCACAAUCACAAUCACAGUUUGACGAAUGGUUAAUUGUUUUAAAGCAGACGAAUUUCAAAGGUUUAGCCGACGAAUUUAUUGUUUAGCCGACGAAUUUCAAAGGUUUAGCCUCCUCCUCCUCCCUCUCCCUCUCCGGCCUCCUCCUCCGGCCCUAGCCUCCUUCUCCUCCUCCUGCUCCGGCCGGCCGGCCUCCUGCUGCUCCGGCCUCCUCCUGCUGCUGCUCCGGUCCUCCCUCCUCCUCCUCGAGUACAUUUCUAAACUUUAGUUAUAUUUUGUGUUUGCUUUUAUUUUUCGGUCAAUUGCAAUGUUGUGGUGUUGUUAGGAAGUGUAUAUUUGUAUUUAGGAAGUGUAUAUUGUUAUUUAAUAAGUGUAUAUUUGUAUUUAGUAUUUAGGAAAUGUAUAUAUUUGUUUUGUAUUUUGUGUUUGGUUUGAUUUUCCGGUUAAUUGCAAUGUUGUGGUGUUGUUAGGAAGUGUAUAUUUUUAUUUAUGAAGUAUAUAUUUAGGAAGUGUAUGUGUAAAUUUUAGGAAGUGAAAAUGUAUUUAGGAAGUGUAUAUAUUUUUUACAUUUUUUAAAUGAGUUUGCAUUUUUUGAUUUUGUGGCCUUGAUUCAAAUUUAUAUUUUAAAUAGGAUGAGCGGUAAUAUUGGAUCGACGAAGGGUUCGAAGGGCCAAAAGUCCGUAUCGUCUGAGGGAACCUCUAGCAACCCUCAGACAUCGUUUCAGGGUCUCAUGACAGCUAGACAUGAGAGCCUUCUGCAGACGGCGCAGAGGUAGCCGGAGAUGGGCCCUUCAUCAAGGCAGCGGGGCGUCCCUCAUAUCUCGAGGCAGUUGUUUACUCAGACCCAGACGGAGGUGUCUGCACCCCGUAUGCCUGAGAUACACCGGGCGCCCACUCCAGGUCCUACUUCUUCGGAUAGUGGGUCAUCUGGGGUACAGAUGCCGCCGCCUCAUCUAUAUCUUCCGCGGAUGAUACCGGCCAUACCUGUAGUCGAUGACUCAGGGACGCCGAUUUAUCCACUGCCCCCGCCAGUGGCUCCAUCAGCGGCGUACUGGUUCGUGCCUUUUGAUACGCCUCUUAUUUCCGCGAGGGUAUCAUCAUCGGAGACGGAAUCCGUCGCGUCCGCCUCCUCGCCCUUAGGUAAUGAAAGAUGAAUGAUUUGUUUUCUUAUAAUUCUUCGAUUUUAAUAAUCAAUUUGGUUUAUCAUGUGAUAGGCACCGUCGGAGCGAAGCCGACAAAAAAGAAGAGAGGCCCCGUCACAGGGAAGGCUCUCGAGAAGAUCGUCGGUACCUCAGGGAGGAUUGUCAUCGGUACUGAUGGGGAUGGCGACGUAGUAUCGGGCGGGAAGUCGAGGACGUACUCCGGCCGUGUGGGAGCGCUCAUUAGGGAUAGAGUCCCCAUGUUGUGGUCAGACUGGGGCGAGGUCCCGCAAGAGGUUAAGGACAUUGUCCACAACGCGAUGUCGGUGAGUUUACAAAAUGCCUUAAUAAUAUUAUGUAUUAUAGUUUAGAUUUCUCGAAAAACUAAACUAAUAAACGGUUAAAUGCAGGUGUGGUUUGAGGUUCCCGAGCCCUUGAAGAGCAGCUGGGCGGACAUUGUGCAUGGGGGAAGGUACAUUGGGAUUAAUGAAAAAACAAAAUUGUAUGUCAUAUUAAUAAUAUUUCUAAUAUUUUUGUUGUAUAUGUAGGUACAAGGAGUGGAAGAACGAGUUGCGAACCCAUUGGACUACGCACGGGAACGCACGUUCUGCUACCCCUGCUGAGUUCCAGUACAGAGAGUAUGAGUGGCGUUGGCUUCUGACAUCAGAAUUCAACAACCCUCGUAAACAGGUAUUUAAAUAAAUUAAUUAGUGAAUUUGUCAUUAAGCACGUGCGUUUUUAAAUAUUUUACUAAUAGUUUUGUUUUUUCUUUGAAGGCGGUUUCCCGGGCGAACGCUCAGAACCGGCAACGCAACACAAGGAACCAUCAUGCCGGUUCUAGACCGUUCGCUGUCUUCAUGGACAAGGCGGCCAGGGAACAUCCAGAGGUCAACCAGUACGUCUAUACGUACGAGAAGGCAUAUCCUGACUCCCAGGAGGAUAUAGUAAGUAAUCUUUCCUUUUUACAAAAUUUUUAAUUUUACUUAUAUAUAUGUCAAAAUGUUAAUUAAUAAUUUUUUUUCUAUCCAAUUAGGCAAAGGUGAUGGAGGCUAGUGACGAGGUGAUGAGUGCUAUAGUGAGGGAGACAUGGCCGGACACGCAAGAGGAAGAGAUGUCCGAAGCCAUUUCCCGGAUCGACACUUCAGAUCCGAGGGUUGGGGCGAGGAUCAUGGGCACAGCCUUCCCACCGCGAGAAAACAACUUCUACUGCCGGGGUCUAGGAAAGAAGGGUCAGGGGGUCUUGAAGACCACUCCAGGAUUUUAACGAAAGGCAGCCUCGACCAGCAGCAGGACGACUCAGCUAGAGUCGGACGUUGAGAGACUACGGGAACAGCAAGCCUCUCAGGCUGCUGCUCAGGCUGACGCUCAUGCUGCUCAGGCUGCCGCUCAUGCCGCCCAGAUCGCCGAAUAUAGAGCCUAUGCUAGAGCCCUACAUGCCGCCCAGCAGGCCCAGCAUCAGCAGAUGUUCUAGUACUUCUAGGAUUUUACAGCUGCCCAGCUUCAGGGACUUCCACCUCCGCCCAUGCUUGCGCCUAUACAGUUACCUCUACCGCCGCAAUCUCCUCACCAGCAGGCCCCAGAAUCGGAUCUUGAUUUAGACCAUUUAGAUUUUGUGUAGUUGAUACCUUAUAUAGUUUUAUAUGCUUCUUGUUGGUUAUAUAUAUGGAAUUGUUUUGGUGUAUUUUGCAGCUUGCUUGGAAUGGUAAUUUAGAAAUUUCGAGUAUUUUUUUUUACUGGAAUGAAGUUAUAGCCGACGAAACAUGCCACAAUUCGUCGGCUAUAGUUUUUUAAUUUUUUUUCCAUAGGGUUUAGCCUACGAAUUAUGGCAUGUUUCGUCGGCUAAACCCCACUAAAGCCAACGAAACAGACUCUAUUUCGUCGGCUAUAGUUUUUUUGAAUUUUUUCAUUAAAUACUUUAGCCGACGAAUUCUGUCGGCUAAAGUCUGGAACAAUAGCCGACGAAUAUUUCUGUUUCGUCGGCUUAAGUUUGGGAGUAUAGCCGACGACGUCGUAUUUCGUUGGCUAAAGUCUGGAACAAUAGCCGACGAAAUAUAGUGUCUGUUUCGUCGGCUUAAAUGCAUGAAUAAAAGCCGACGACAAAAUAGUUCGUCGGCUAAAGUCUGGACAAUAGCCGAUGACAGUCUCUAGGUUCGUCGGCUAAAGCCAUCACCGACGAGCCUUUCCCGACGACACUAUAGCUGACGAAUUUGGAUAACAAGCCGACGAAAAUUUUUCGUCGGCUAAAGUGCUUGUCCUGGUAGUGAACCUAACUCUGGGCUCAUUAUGCUGGGAGACUUUCUCCCGUUACAUUAGGAGACGUAAUUGAAGAGGGACCCAUGGAUCCCAGCUUAACCAUAUUUAAGGUAUUGGGUUUUAAUCACAAAAGACAUCAGUACAAUUAAGUGUGAUCCAUCCACUUAUAAGUUGUAUUUUAUUUAUCUCUUUUCUGAUGUGGCAUGGGAUCUUUCCUCUCCAACAGAGAAGUUUAUCAAUAACUGUUAAUCUUGGUUUGGUAGAAAAUGAAAGAUGAGAUCAUUUGUUUUCAUGAUCUCAUAAGCAGCAUCUGCAGAUGAAACUAUGAUCACAUGUCGGGAACCAAAAUGAAGCAUCAUGAGUUCACCAUGGUACUUGAUGUAUCCAUUAUAUGCUAUGUUUUUAUACCUUUAAAUCUCGGAUUUGUAUUAUACUUUCUGUCACAUCCUGGUUCUUAAAUUAUUUUUAUCGUUGGGUUACUUUGAUCUUUUACUGUUUUGAGUAACCGUUUACUAUUUAAGGACCCUAGAGUUGACUUUUCGUAAGAAAAUUAUUUUGGAAGAAUUUUUAAAGGACGUCGAUCGUAGAAGACGUUAAUACGAAUAUCCGUAGACAUGCUAUACGUUAAAAUCGGAGUUGGUAUGAAAAAGAUAUGGUGUAAAGACUAAAGUUACUAUUUUUGGUCAGUGGUAUAAAAUGGUCCAAAGGUGGAAAGUCAAAAAAGUAAAAAAUCAGAACUCACCUUCUCUCUCUCUCUCCUCCUUCUUGUGUCUCUCUCCCACAACAGAUUCUUCAUCGCCGUUCGCUACCGUCCGACCGAGUUGGGCGGCAAGGUUGGUAUCAAAUCGAAGCUUGGACAUCCCUUUUCAUGUUUAGGUAGGUUGUUGGCCGUGUCGUGUUGCCUUGAGGGAGAAAUCAUGCCGAGAAGACGAGGCUGUGCGUGGUGGAGUUCAGCUUGAAACUCCCUCCUUCGGCCACCAUCGUCAGAGAUCCUUGUAUUAACUUGAAGCUCUCCUUUCAGGUAGCAAACCCUCAAAAGGAUUCGAUCCAAUUCAGGCUAGGUAAGGAGAAUCAAAGCUUUGAAAUUCUAGGGUUCUUGAUUUUGGGAUUUUCUGUUUUGGCUCGAUUCGCAUUUUUAGACUUAAAAUUGAUCUUCGGGCUAGUUAUGAAAGUUGUUUAAAAUGUUGAGACGAUGAUUGUGUUAAAUUUUGGUGAGCAUUGGAGGUGGCCGGAAUUCGGGCUGGCCGGCCGCCGUUGCCUGCGAAGCAGACGGCAGCGCUGCCUCUUUUGGGUUGUUUUUCAUGUUAUUUAAUUUGUUAUGAUGAGAGGAGUCCAAUGGUGUAAAGUUUAUAAUUUUUAAAGGAGUUUUGGUUAUGUUUGAGAUUUUUCAAAAUUGGUGAACUUAGCGGUUGAUAGGAUAGAAUCCGAUCAUUGGAUUAGUGUUAAUUAAACUUCAGAAAGUUGUUUUAAGGAUUUUGAUGCUUGUGGUGAAGUUUGAGUCUUAUUGGUCUACGGAUGGAGAAGUUGGGCAAGGGUGAAGGAUUUAUAGGCUCACUUUUAUUCUUGCACUUUUUUUUAAAGUAUCGAGUUAGUCUUGAGACAUAAUAAUAUCUAUUGUUCAAGACGUGAGGAGGAUCGUGUUGGGAGACCUCGGAUCGAUGGCAGACAUAGUCGUAUACUGUGAGUGGACAUUUCGGUUUUUAUUAAAUAUGUACGCAUGACUUUAUAAGUUAUCGUUAUUAUUUUUACCGAGCUUAUAUAUUAUAAUUUUGGCUUAUGACUUGGAUCAUAAAUUAUUUGAGAUCGUUAAUAAUUUAUGGAUUUGAGCUUGAGUUAUUAAUUUGGUAUUUGAGUUUUGUUAUUCUUUAUGAUUCCCGGAUUUAAUUAUUAUCGUCAUUAUUUGUUGACCUUGAGAUUUAUAAAAGAUUACCGAAGAUGAGAUUUCCGAUAGGUCUCAAUUUAUAAUUUCCUCGUUUAUUGUGGAUGUUCGAUUUUGACAUUGAGAAUAUUUUAGUGAGUAUUUCGGGUUGAGAAAUUCUUUAAUUUACGAUUUAUACUUGAUAAUUAAGUCUCGCUGAUAAAUAUAGAUUUGAGAAUAUUUUGACAUGCGAGACAUGUCAUUGAAUAUUAUUUUAAUUUCAUAUAAUAAUCUCCAAGUACGGUUGGGAAUCGUACCAUUUGCAUGAUUUUGGGGAAGCUUUAUGGAUUUAAGUGAUUUUGUAUGUUUUUAGUCACCAUACUAGGGUCACUCUUAUUCAUUACUAGCUAUCUUUUAUUAGCGGUCCUCACCAUAGGUGAGUCGAGUGCUUAACGUGGGAUGUUAUUGUAACCUGGGAGGCUCUGAUUGGUUUUAUUCAUUGUUAGCUAGCCAUUAUUAGCGAUUCUCACCAUAGGUGAGUUGAGCAUUUAGAGUGGGACGUUACUAUCUUAUUCAUUGUUAGCUAGCCUUUAUUAGCGGUCCUCACCAUAAGUGAGUCGAACCUUUAACAUGAGACGCUACUAGAGCCUAGGAGGCCCCAAUCGGUUUUUAUUCAUUGCUAGCUAACCAUUAUUAGCCGUCCUCACCAUUGGUGAGUCAAGCCCUUAGCGUAAGAUGCUAGUAGAGCCUGGGAGGCUCCGACCAGAGCCUGGGAGACUCCUCUUAUAUGGUGAUAUCUCUUUCCCUUGUGUAAUUUUUCUCAAGUUGUGUAUUUGAUUAAUCAACGGGGCUGGUUUGUCUAUUCUUAUGUGGUUGCGGACAAUAAGCCGAAUGUUUGAUCAAGGUUGCUUGCAUCAAAGAGGUUUUAAAGUUUAAACAUGGGAAAGUAUCUGAAUAAGAUUUUGUUAAAUUAUUUAAUUUUAUUUUUGUCCACUCACUCUAACUUCUUUUAAUUACUUUCCUCUGGGCCAUUCGGUUUCAGAUGCCCAGUUUGCAGGUUAGCUUAGAAGAGGUUAGGUGUACACGGAGUUCAGCUAUAGUCAAUAACAUAGCUUUCGCUGGCUUCCUUAUCUAUGUUUUCUUUUCUUAUUAGAAUUGCUCUGAUUACCUUUGAGAUUGUUGUGUUCUGGGUGUUGAUGCAGUGCUGGGAGCAGGGUGACUCUAGGAGUUGAGGGUGAUUUUUUUUUAUUAUAAAAGUGUAUGUUUGGAUUUGGCAUGUAGGGUUGUACAUUUUCAAAGGAGGUUAUGGACCCCGCAGGGUUUACUCCGGAUUUCAAGAGGAAAUUCAGGAUGGGUCCUGACACUUUCAAGUAAUUUAGUUCAAUUUUACUUAGUUUGUCGUUUUUCAGGUUCAAAGAGCAAGGAGAAGCAAUUGGAGCAGGAAGGAUUGAAAGCGACAUAGCAAUCCCGAAUUCUGGGCAGUGAGGCUAUGCAGAUCAGCCAACUUCGCCAAAUCACUGAGAGCAACUCAAAUCGAAUCAGAUGAUGAGCCUUAUAGCAUUACAAAGCUACAAAUGUCUUCUUUCUAUAGCAUUUUACGAAUCUCUAUUUUGAUACUUCUAGAGUCAGUUACGGUCAUUUGAAUGAAGAUAGGUCAUAUCAGGAAAUCUGCACGGGUUUGCAUACAUUCAUGGAGAACUCAAGUUCCAUGGCACAAGAUCUCCAAUCCUUAUGCUUCAAUGAAGUUAAUUCAGACGAGGAUGCAAAGAAUACAUGUAUUCCUAGUUCUACAAGAGAUAUUUCAAAUUCCAUAUCAAGAAAGGAGUCUGAUUUCAAGUCUUACAAGGAAACUUGAAGCCAAAGAUGAGCAGGAAAUCUCCCUUAUAUAAGGAGCACGAAUUUCACAAAGAAAGAGCUUCCAGGACGUGACAUACUUGGAGACAGCCAUCAUCACCUAUCUUUCAUCCAUUUUCCCUUUUAGUCUUUUUAUGUGUUUCAUUGUUUUCGUUAUGACUUUUAGUAGCUAAAUCUUUUGUUAGGGCCAUAAUGGAUCCUUAGCAUGACUAUUCGAUGUUUAUAGUUAGAUGAUUACUUUAUUAUUGGAUUGGUGUUGAGUUUUUAAUCUCUAUAAGAAUUGUUGCUUAUUUCAAAAUACUAGAGUCUCACGACCCUUAGGGUUUUGUUUUAAGCUAUUCAAUGCAAGAGUAGGUAGAUGCCAAUGCUGAAUCUUGAAUGCUUCUUGUGAUUAAAAACCAUAGAUUGAUAAGAUAGAUACCAUGUUUUAUUGGUUUAUGUGAGUCCUUUUGUUCUCAUUGAACUUCAUUGACCCUUAGAGAGUAUAUGUCAUACUUAUAAGAAUAGUUGAAUACUGUACUCUGCCAUAAGGUAGUAUUCAUGCUUUGGAGAACUCUCAUAUGAUGGAUUCUUCAACACCGGUUUAGUAGUUAGUAAUCGGUAGACUAGGAACUCGAAUAGGAUUGUGACGGUGAAGUUGGAAGCCCUAGCGUUUGUCCAUCGUUGUUUUCAAAACCCUUUCAAAACAUCUUCUCAAUCAAUUUGCUUGUUUUACUCUUUUCUCAUUGUUUACAAAAAUUACAAAAAUAUCUUCUUAUUUUCUUGUCAGUUGUUAGACUAAUUUGAUCAAUUAGUUAGAAUUGAAAGUUAGUUAUCCAUACCUAGUUGGAACGACCUCGUACUUGCAUAAGCUAUACUGUAAACGAUUCGUGCACUUAUGAAGUUAUUAAAAUUUGACAACAAGUUUUUGGCGUCGUAGCCAUAGUUUCUUUUUUAUUAGCCUUUUAGUUUCGUUUGUUUUUAGUCAUUGUUUUGUUUUAUGUGUAUUGAUUGAACAGUUAACUAUUCAAUUUUGAUUAAGCUAUUGUCCCCAGUGUUCAACAAGCAUUCUAAUUAUCUUCUGUUGAGCAGAUACUAGAGUAUUAUAUGUCAUUGGAAAGCUCUUCGAGUCUAGUUUCCAACUGGAGAAGCAUAUCAUGAAUCCGAUACUCAAGCAAAAAGUUAUUCACAGAAAAGUGGGCAGAGGUCAAAGCUAAGAAGUUCCUAGAAACCUGUUGUUCAAUCACUUGAAUUCAUAAUGGGUGAUCGUGCGUUGGUAAACAAUGAUCCACCAAAGAAGUUGUGCGAGUAUACUGCACCAACAACCUAUGAUGCACCUUUGUGUAUUGUUUUGGCACCUAUUGCGCAGCAAUUUGAGAUAUGCCCUACAACAAUCCAACUUCUACCUAUAUUCUAUAGGAAGGAGAAUGAGAAUCCCUAUAACCAUCUCAAAGGCUUCUUUGCUAUAUGUUCCACAUUCAAUUAUCAAGGAGUCACCAAGGAGCAGAUUCGACUUCGCUUGUUCCCGUUUUCUUUGAAAAAUAAAGCACAAAACUGGCUUAACUCUCUUAUGGAAGGCUCUAUCACCACCUGGGUGGAAUUGUCUAAAAAGUUUCUUAGCAAGUUCUAUCCGGCUCACAAGACGAAUGCAUUAAUCUCUGAGAUCAUGUCCUUAAUUUGCUCAACAUAUAUUGGACUUGUUCCCCUCCAUUUUAUGAGAAAUAAAGACUCGACCUUAAACCCUAAGGCCGAGUCCUGUUGUGCUUUAAAGAUUAUUGUGUUUUUGCACGGGUCUUUGGUUUCAUGUCCUCCCUGUUGUUUUCUCAUUUAUUGUUAAUUAUCACUUUGGUCACGCCUGAUUUUGGCAUGUGUUUUAUAUUUUAUAAUCUUGGCAAAAUCACUUCUUUGACGAACACACACCAUUUCAUUUAUCAAACGUACUGUGCAUUGAAACCAGUGGCCAAUAUUCAAACACUGGCCAUUUUUUUUCCAUGUUACACUAAUCAAUAUUCAAUCACAGACUUCUGUGUUUGAUACUUUUGAGUUAUUUAAAGAUAAAAUUAGAUAAAGAGUGCGGCUAUUGGGACCUCCAAAUUUGCUCAGUAUACCUCUCAUUCUCUCUACACCUCCCUUUUACUUUUCAAUAUAAACAUUUUCUCACUAGACCUCAUUUCAAAUUCCUAACAUAACCUUAGUUAUUUAUUGACAUAUAUUUCAAUUAAUUACCUACUUUAACUCUUAUUCACUCAAUAGACCUCUCAUUCAUUUUUUUUUUACCUUUUUGUUUUUGAACAUCCAUUAUCCCUACGGACCCUACCUUCAUUUUUUGAUUAUUUUUUUCAUGCAAGAAAACGUUUUAUCAUGAACUAUUCUAUAUAUCUUUUUAACUUUUGUUUUUCUCUUCUGUACGUGUUGUUUUUUUUUUUCUGUUUUUUUAUUUUGAAUAGUUUGAUCUAUAUUUUAUACCUCAUAAUAAAUUAUUUUAAUAAAUAUAUAUUUUCUAUAAUCAAUAGAGAUAUAUAUAUAUAUUUUUUUUNNNNNNNNNNNNNNNNNNNNUCACAUAAUCGAUAUUUGAUCAUUGUUUUAGCUCUUAUAAACUAUAUAUAUAUAUAUAUAUUUAUAUAUAUGCUUUAAUAAAAAGAAAUUAGAAAACAAAAAUAUAUAAGGAAAAUAAUAAAUAAUGUAAUCAAUUAUUAUUGAAUUGGAAAGUCUAAAGAGAAUAAAUAUAAUAUUUCCUUUUGUAUAAUUAUUGUCCUUAAUAGUCAUUGUGUAUGAGGAUAUAUAUGUCAUUUAAUAAUUCAUAAUAAAGUGAGGUCUAGUGAGCAAAUUUGGAGGUCCCAAUAGUCGCACUCUUAGAUAAAAACCUAAAAUACUAGACCUCUUUUAAGAUAAAUCCAGACAUAUUUUUCUUUCAUUUUACACUCACUCCACAUAAGCAAACUUACAAUAUAGAGCAAAUGUCUAUAAUUAAUAGUUUUAUUCAUUUUUCGGUUUAUCUGAUUUGUCUUUCAGACGGUAUAAAUCUAAAUUUGGUAUCUUUCUCAAUUUUAGCAUCAAUUUGAAACUCAAUACUGAGCUAAAAUUUAGUUGGAUUUAACUUUGUUAUAAUCAAUUAUAUUCUUUAAUUUCUUACCUUGUUAUUACUAACUUGAGUGUAUAUAUAUGCUAUUAUGUCAUUUGUAAUAGAAUGAUUUUUUUCAUUCAUAAGCUCACAUUUGGUGUCUCUCUACAUAGUUGAAAAAUGUAUAAUUGUAAGGUACACGUUCUUGUUCUUUGAUUAAUUUUCUUCUUUUUAGAUAUAUUAUUAUAUUAUUUCCAAUCCUGAUCGAGAGAACAUUUUACUCUCAACUACUUACAUUUUUAAUGUACCUAUUAAGUAGGACAUGAUAUGAUAAUAUACCUAAAAAGAAGAAACCCAAAAUUGGGUUUAGGGUAUAGGACUAAGGUAUAGGGUUAGGGUAUAGGGUUUAGGGUUUAAAGAUCAAAAUAGCUAAAAUGGUUUUUCAUCAUAGAAAUCCACAUGUCAGAAUUUGAAUGGAAUACACGUCAGAUUUCACAUGUUCAUACGCUAACAAUGUAAAAUUUAUUCAUUUUACUAUAAUAAUCAAAUAUCUUAUUUAUAUUAUAUUUUACCUUAUGUAUAGAUCAGGUAAUGAAUUCCUUUCACCUAAAUUUUUUCAUAAAAAAUAAAGAAAACUGCAUGAUUCUGGUAAAUUGAUUGAAAAAUUUUAGUGUUAGAAGAAAAACUCACAAUGAAGGUAUUUAAGACAACAUCAAUUAAGUUUAUUUAUUAUGUUUAUAUGUUAUAGUUGAAUGGUGGUAAUUGUGUAAAAUUUAGAAAAAAUAGGACAUAAUAUGUAUCAUAAUUGAUACAUUUUAGAUGUCUAUUAAAUAUGAAUAUUAGGUGGGUUUUAUUUAAAAUCACUCUUUAAAAUUGAGUGUAUAUGAAAAUCCCCCUUAUUUAAAUCUACUAUAUAUAGUUGAACCAAUAACAUGAUGAACAUACAAGUCUCAUAAAACAUACAAGAGUUUCAUGAUCUUAUUGCCUUCUACUUUUAGACUUUCUGCUGUGAAAUGGCUGAGACUAGACUACUAGAGUAAAAGAUUUGCUAGCACAAGCUUAUCGGUGGUCAUGGCAAACAGAAAGAAAACAUGCAAAAACAAGAAAGAACUUGACUAAGAGCACAUAUGAAGUUUAACAGCAUGGAGUUUCUGGAUGGAGGGAUCAAGGGAAGUAUGGUACCAGGAGAAGAUAAAGAGGAGCUUUCUUACACACCGUGCAAUGAAGCCUGAAAGAGGGUCAAUCCAUUUCAAAGAAGGGAAGAAAUCUCCGAAACUGAAUGACAUUAGUUCCACCAUGAACCUUCUUGAUGUCUUUCCAUACCAAUCACCAUCUUCUACGAACUUCAUACCCAAAUAGUUUCACAAACGAUACAAUAUCGAUAAGUUUUUGCUAAUAUUUUUGGGCUGAAAACUUAUGAAACGACCGAACUGGUUUGAGUAUCCUAUGAGAUUAUGGCAUCCGAACAAAACGUAGUAGUACACUAGUGUUACUGUGUUAGGCUGUUAGCGAAGGUUCAAGUAGUAGUAGUACUUACGAACGAGAUGGGAAGCACCCAAACAGACACUUUCUUCUACUGGGCUCAUCGAUCUGCCUUGGACUAACCAAUUCCGACGAUCGGUCAUUGAUCUUUCGCUAAAAUGAAAAUGUUCCAUGUCACACGUAUUCUUCUUUCAAUUCAUGACCUUCUGGGCGUCCUUAGCAGUUCCAUUGUGACGAAUACCUUCUGUUUUCUCCAUAUCCCUACCUAUCUCUCCAAGUUUGGGCCUUUCUGUUUUGUUUUGGGCUGUAUCCCUUGAGAUAUAUGCUUUUUUGGGCUAAGCCUUUCUUAAAGUUGAAACUUGAAACUAGGGCACCAACUUCUCCGUCACUAAAUGGAGCUGUCCACUCUGCUCUGGCCUUGUGGAAUAGUCAAUUGUACAGAUCAUGUACGUUCUGCUUUUCCUCCAAGUCUCCAGGUACUGCCUAUGUUCUCUGUUCCAUUCCCAUUGGCCAGGAGUCUCUGUUAGCAGGCAUUGUUAAAAUGGGCAGUAAGUGCACCACUUCGUGCAGUGAAUCGUGAUAAUUAAGUGAUUUUUGGAUCCCUUAGUUUGACUGAGCAAGAUCUUGUUAAAAUGGGCAGUAAGUGCACCACUUCGUGCAGUGAAUCGUGAUAAUUAAGUGAUUUUCGGAUCCCUUAGUUUGACCGAGCAAGAUCUUGUAUAAUCUUUCUGAUCAAAUUUUUUUUUAUCUAUUCCCUUGAAAAGAAAAAAAGAAAAAAGAAAAAGGGGGGGGUAUGUUAAUAAUAUAGAUGUGUAUAUCAAAUAGUGUUUUGGGGGCUUUGAACAGAAUGUUUUGGGAUUUCCACAAUCAUACUGGUUGAAAAAUGACAUAACAUCAAUUAAAAGCCAUUAUUUUCGAAACCAAUCAUGUGGUAACUAAAAUUUAUCAAGGACUCAUGGACUAAUAAUUACUACUUUAAUGACUCAAUUUACCGAUUUAAGGUAAUUUUAUACAUGUUCUACAGGAAAAUUCUAGGGUGAGUUGAUGCAUUGGAUAUAAUAAAACUUUGAAUAUAUUAACGGCUUAGAUUAUUCAAUAUUGAUGACUUGUUUACCAGGUAGCAUGUAAUUUUAUAACUUAUAUAUGAAAAAUAUAAUCAAAAACAAAAACAGAAUUUAAAAAACCCUAGCUUAUUAGAAACAGAAAAAAUGAACAAGUCCGUUCCGUUUCGUUCCUCUACCGAUUUGCACUGAUUUGCUAAGAUAAAACCUAAAGUGAAGGAAAAGAAGAGGAGAUGAAGGAGAAAGAGGUUGGCUUCAUAUUCGUUCUGUGAGAAGAGGAGAGGAAGUAAGAGGAGAGGAAGGAGAAAGAGGUUGAUAAAACCUAAGGUAAUUUGCUCUCUCAAAUUCAUUCGUUCUGUGAUGUAUAUGAGUUUAUCAAAUGCCACAAAUGGCUUCACAUUUGUUUUAUGAAUCAUCAUCAUGUAUAUAUCUGUGGCCUGCAUCAUUGAAUGAGAUUUUUCAUAACAUGGGUGCUCCAGCUCUUCAAGCUGAUUUGGAGAAACUGAUUUAUAUUGAGAUUUGAGAUUAGAAUAAUAGAGAGGAGCCCUAGCCAUGUCGAAGCGAGGGCGCAGAGGUUCCGCUGGGAACAAGUUCCGGAUGUCGUUGGGUCUGCCGGUGGGGGCGACGGUGAACUGCGCGAACAACGCCGGCGCCAAGAAUCUGUACAUCAUCUCAGUGAAGGGAAUCAAGGGGCGGCUGAACCGGCUGUUGUCGGCGACAUGGUGAUGGCCACCGUGAAAAAAAGGGAGCCGGACCUGAGGAAGAAGGUGAUGCCAGCUGUCAUUGUGAGGCAGCGCAAGCCGUGGCGCUGAAAGGAUGGUGUUUUCAUGUACUUUGAAGACAAUGCUGGUGUCAUUGUGAAUCCAAAGGGUGAAAUGAAAGGAUCUACUAUCACAGGGCCUAUUGGAAAGGAAUGCGCUGAUCUGUGGCCAAGAAUUACGAGUGCAGCUAAUGCCAUAGUUUGACUGUCUCAACUCACUUUAGAUUGGUUUUUUUUAGUUGUCCUUUGAACUCUAGAUGAGUAUGCCCAUGUGGUGUUUGAACUUACUAUCCUACAAUCAUGUAGACUCUGAUAGUUAAAGAGUUUUUGUUCUAAAAAAAAUAGGGAGGAACAAUGGCCUUAAACUGUAAGCGUCUUAAGUUGGUAUGCAUUUUGACAGAUGGAGCUUUAAACUUCAAUUGAAAGCUGGAAGUCUAGAACCUUGUAUGAUUGAAACCAGCAAGAAGAAUGCUUGCGAGUGAAAUUAACAUCUUUUUGGGCUUUUCAACCUUGGAUUGACGUCAUACUUGAUUGGGGAGAUGAUGUGAUACUCUGAAAAUGUAGAAAGUAAAUUAUAUAUAUAUAUAUAUAUGAACACACAAAAUUUGAGGAUUUGGUCAAAUUCAUAUCGACACGUUAUAAAUGAGGGUUGGCAAGAAAUAUUUUCGAAAUCGAUGAAUAAUAAGAAUGCUCAAAAUGUUAUUCGAAUUUUCUAUGACAAGAUAAAGUCAGUAUUUAUGAUGGUUUAUGAGAAGUUCUUGUAUUCAUAAGAAUAACUAUUUAUCGGGACUUUCCAAAGCUUAGAGAUUAUGAAAAUUCAUUUAAAUAUCGUGAUAACCCGUAUUUUAGGUAUAAAAUUAAUAGCAAUUUGAGUAACCAUAUGUGGAAUUAGUGUUCAAUUAUGCCACAUAUAACUUUUGUAUCAACUUUAUGAAUAUGAUCGUUGGUGACAUCAUAUGAGUAUAUAUGAGACAAUAAAUAUAUUUUUUGUAAUAAAAUAGAUAUUAUUAAUAUAAAUAACAAAAUAGAAAAGAGAAGAGAGGUCUAGAAAGGUCGGUGUCAAAACUGACAUAAGCCACCGACAUCAGCCCUCUCUCGAGAUAAGAGUGGAAAGGGACUGGAUCAAGGGCGAUCCUUCGGGAAGGAUCGAGCAUCCUCAACCUGAGAGAAGAGGAAGGCUUCUGAGGCUUAUAUAGCUUGAGACCCUUUAACAAGACAGGGAGAAGAGGGACGAGGGGGAUCUGAUUGGGAGGUCCAACAAUUGUAGACUGGUCUUGGCGGUGAGCUCUUAUAUAUGUAUUUGCUAGAGUUUAAUAGGGUAUUUGAAUUCGGUAGGUAGCAGAUAUGAUAAUUGGGUUGGGGUUGUGUGCUUGAUUUUGGCUCAAAAUCGUACAUGGUUGUUUUCUGGAAAUUUGAAAAUGGAUUCACUUUUGAUAUAAUGAUUGUUUGUGUUGGCAUAUCUAGGAAGAAGAAAGGUGUUAAUUUGAUGAAUGGGAAACUAGGGUAUGAUUGCUGAGAAAAUAUGGAUUAUGUUCCAUGAAAAUAUCGAUUAUUUUCGAUUUAUUUGGGGUCAGGCUGUUACAGAUGAGUUGCUUUUCAACUGGGGAGAUGAGUUUUUUCCUUCGAUAGAAUUGGGGAGAUGAGUUGGAGAGAGAGAAGACAUCAGGGAUGGCAAGCCAAAUUGAUUUUCUUAAAAGAAACAAAGAAAAAAAAAAUACAAAGUCAGUCAAAUUUCAUCUUACAAGUUAGACAAAUAUGUAUACCCAUAAAAUAGUAGAUGUGUUGUUAUACAAGUAAAAUGUUAUUAAUAUGAGUAAAUUGUCGUUGAGACCAUUUUGAUGUAAUGAGGAUGUUUAUAUUGUAAAUCAUGUCUUUUAAGAAGUUUUAAGCUAUGUGACGACAUUUUUACAUCGUUUAUCGAUAAUUAAGGUGAAAAUAGUAAUUAAUGUCGAUUUCAUGGUAGUUUUUUGUAUGAGAACCAUUAGAUUCAUAAGUCAACGAAUUGUUUAAAAAGUAGUAAUUAAGCUUUUAUUUGUAGUAAUUUUUUCAAUUACAAGUUCGAGAAUUAUUUUACCAAUCUGACAAUAAAUUGUCAUAAUUGUGGUAAAACUGAUGUACAUACGAUAAAUAAGUUGUUUAUGUAAUAUUGUCUUUUAUCUAGUAAUUAAUACCUUACUUUAUGUAAAUUUUGUUGUGAUUGAUAUAAUUACUUGUAAUACAACGUGUUUUACUAUAAAUUACAACAACCAAGGUAUAGCUGGUAAAUAUAGUCGUAUUCUUGAUAUUACUUAGAAUACAAUCCAUUUUAUGAAAAUAACGAUAAUUUUAUCUCUAGUGAUAACAAAUAUUGUAAAUAUUAAUAAUCAAGCCUAAAUUAUCUAAAGUUGUUAAUCUUGUAAAAUAGUUAUUUUUUAUGUAAUUAUGGUCCUUUUUUAAGUAAAUUACACCAUUCAUGAUAUCUUUAUUACAAAUACCACAUUUAGCGUAUUUAGUGAUAAUUACAGUGGUAAACCAAGUAAUUACAGCAUUUACGACCCUCAUUAUAAGUUUUUGAACAAUUCAUGUAUAACAUAAUUAAAAAGUCCUUAAAAUUGUAAUUUUUUCUACACAUAUCACAAUAUUACUGGAUGACAUGUUUACCUGUACAACAAAUUGUUUAUUUUUAUAUAUUAUUAUAAAAUAGUUGAUGCAUACUACGUAUCAACUCACCCUAACCUUCCCAUAUUCUACAUUAACACGCAUAUGAAAGUUUUGUAUAAAGUUGUUGCAAAGUCAUUGCAUUCCUUGUGCACUCAAAGAUAUUUUAGAACGGAAGAAUUUUCAACAUAUCCUCUUUGACUAUCUCUGUUGUUUAGAGUACUUUUCCUACGGACAUAGUACCAAAAUGAAAUGGAUGAGCACAUGCAUGCACAAGAAAAUGAUCGCAGUUUUUGCAAUUGAGUCGACCUAUUUGCAUGAACGUACUAAACAAUUGAGAAGUUGAUUAGUCCAGGCACUACUAGAAAAAUAUGUACGUAAUGGACACUUUUUGUGGAUACAUUUUUUUAACUACUAGAAAAAUAUGCACGUAGUGGACACUCUGUGGAUACAUUUUUUUAACUGUAUUAUUUGAGUAGAGCAAAUGACAAAAUACUAAAUUUAUGUUUUAUAUCAGUAGUCGCCACUCGAGAAGGUGCAAAUUGAAAAACAAAUGAAUUAACAAAGAAAAAAGGUGCAAAUUGUUGAACUUCGGUGCUUCCAUGGCUUGACUUCUCCGACGGAUGACAACAUGGAUGAGCGUAUGGAGUGAAUAUUGUCAUUUGCUCAGCCCUGGCUAGCUCCACAAUGCUAAGUACAGUAAAACCUCAAUACAGACUGGCAAAAUUUAUUAAUUUAACGAGAUAUUAAUUAAUCUGAUAAAUUAAUAAAUUAUUAAUUUAUUGAUUAUUCAAUAACUUAUUAUUUUAUCAAAAUAUUAUUUAAUUUUUUAAAUAUGACUUUUUUAUAUUUUCAACAAAAAUAAUAUUAUUGUGCAUUGUUCAAUUAAUGUCUAUAUUGUCGAAUUUGUUAUUAUGUUAUAGUGUUUAAUAUGCUACUUUAUUCGAUGUACAACAUUUUCAACAUACAAUGUUAAUUAGUUUGGAAGUACUAUAUAUAUAAUUAGUUUAUUGGAUGAACACUAAAUAAACAAAACCAUAUAAUCACACAUCACAUAAGAAAAACAAAAAUGGUUUCUCAUCUCAAAGGAGUAAAGAAAAUCAACGAUAACGGAUGAAAUGCGUAAAAUAUUGUGCGAGUACAUUAAAGACAAUCCAUGCAUGUAGCACUCAAAAGCAUUUGCAACAGUACGUUUUAGAAAAGUUUGACUUGCAAGUGAGUCUAAUGACGAUAUCAAAUACGAUCAAUGCUGACCUCAAUUUUCAAGAAGAAACAAGUCACAAUUGAGUCUUAGAAAUGAGUCAUUCUUUAUUAAGUCUUAGAAAUGAAUAAUUAAUCAUGUGUAUUAAGGAAUUUUCAACAUAUCUUCUUUGACGAAUAGACACUAUAUUACCAAAAAAAUUGACGGAUACAUGCACUAGGGACAACGUGGAUUGCAAUAUCAAUUGAAACAAUGAGAUGUUUGAGUUUGGAAUUUAAUAUAUAGCAUGGCACAAACUACGACGUAGCCAUAAAUAAUGCAACAAUUAAUCAGACUCAAGUUCAUCAGUCUGAUAUUGACUGAGAAUAUGUAAAUUGAUUUUCUUCGAUCGAUCUCUGUUGUUUAGAGUACUUUUCCUACGGACAUAGUACCAAAAUGAAAUGGAUGAGCACAUGCACAAGAAAAUGAUCGCAGUUUUUGCAAUUGAGUCGACCUAUUUGCAUGAACGUACUAAUCAAUUGAGAAGUUGAUUAGUCCGGGCACUACUAGAAAAAUAUGUAGUGGACUCUUUGUGGAUACACUUUUCUAACUGUAUUAUUUGAGUAGAGCAAAUGACACCCUUUUAUAUUUUUAGUAUUCUUUACUUUAUGGAUACUGAAAACUGUGACUAAAGAGAAAAAAAUGGGGAAGGCUAAGAUGAGUUGAUGCAUGAUAUGCGUCAAUUAUUUUACAAUAAUAUAUAAAAUUGAACAACCUGUUGUACAGGUAAACAUGUCGUCCAGUACUAUUGUGACAUGUGUAAAAAAAUUACAAUUUUAAAAAUCUUUUAAUUAUUUUAUACGUGAAUUGUUCAAAAACGUGUAAUGAGGGUCGUAAAUUUUGUAAUUACUUAGUUUACCACUGUAAUUACCACUAAAUACGUUAAAUGUGGUAUUUGUAGUAAAAAUAUCAUGAAUGGUGUAAUUUACUUAAAAAUGACCAUAAUUACAUAAAAAAUAACUAUUUUACAAGAUUAACAACUUCAGAUAAUGUAGGUAUGAUUAUUAAUAUUUGCAAUAUUUGUUGUCACUAGAGAUAAAAGUUAUUUUUGUAAAAAUGAUCGUAUUCCAAGUGAUAUCAAGAGUACAACUAUAUUUACCAAUUAUACCUUAGUUGUUGUAAUUUAUAGUAAAACACGUUGUAUUAUAAGUAAUUAUCUCGCUCAAUCACAACAAAAUUUACUUAAAGUAAGGUAUUAAUUACUAGAUAAAGGACUUUAUUACACAAACAACUUAUUUACUAUAUGUACAUCAGUUUUACUAUUAUUACGAAAAUUUGUUGUCAAAUUGGUAAAUUAGUUCUCGAACUUGUAAUUGAAAAAAUUACUACAAAUACAAGCUUGAUUACUACUUUUUUAACAAUUAGUCGACUUAUGAAUCAAAGGGUUCUCAUACAAAGAACGACCAUGAAAUCGACAUUAAUUACUACUUUCACCUCAAUUGUUGAUAAACGAUAUAAAAACGUCGUCACAUAACAUAAAACUUCUUAAAGGACAUGAUUUACAAUAUAAACAUCUUCAUUACAUCAUAAUGGUCUCAACAACAAUUUACUCAUAUUAUUAACUUUUUACUUGUAUUACAAUAGAUUGAUUGUUUUAUUGAUAUACAUGUUCUCUAAGCUCGUAACAUGAAACUUUGAAGACUUUGUAUUUGUUUUUUCUUUCUUUUUUCUUAUUUCGUUUUCAUCCCCAACUACGGAUCAAGAAGGCAUUGGAUGAGGUAGGAUUGGUACAAGAAAACACAACAAGGAUGAAAUAUUAUUCAAUGGUAUAGUCUUAAGUUAACCUUAUCUGCUUAGGACUUUGGUUUUCAUAAAAGUAGCCAUCCUAAAUUUAACCUUAUAUUUCACAGUUGUCUUUCAUGAAAUAUUAUGGAGUGCGGCUAUUGGGACCUCCAAAUUUGCUCACUUGACCUCACUCUAUUAUGAAUUAUUAAAUGACAUAUUUAUCCUCUUACACAAUGACUAUUAAAGACACUGAUUAAAUAAAAAGUAAUAUUACAUUUAUUCUCUCUAAACUUUCUAAUUCAAUAAUAAUGCCAUAAUAGAUUGCAUUUUAUUAUUUUCCUUAUUGAUUUGUAUUUUCUAGUUUUACCACAUACUUAUUAAAGUAUUUAUAUAUUUAUAUUAUCAUACAUGUCACAUGCAUAUACAAAAUGAAAUUUUUUUACAAAAAUUAUGAUCUAUCAAUUAUAAAAAAAAAUAAUAAAUAAGUAUAAUAAUAUUUUUACAAAUUAUAAUCUAUCAAUUAUUAAAAUCAUUUAUCAUCAUGGGUAUAAAAACAAAAAAUAUAAACUUACAAAAAAAAAUAGUAUGUGUAAAAUAGAAAUACAAAAAUAACAAAAAUAUAUAAUAGUUCAUGUAAGAACAUUCGUUGGAUGAUCGAUAAAUAAAAUUUGAGACACAAUCCUUGUUUUUUUUUUUAAUAUUUUAAGAGAAUAGUAUUCUACUAUUCUUCAUGAUUCGAAUGAACUUUUAUCGAAAAUUGUUGUCAUUGAAAAUAAUUUCUUACAAUUUGAUCAAAAAAUGAAUGUCUAGUGACAUUUUAUGCAAAAUAAAAAAUAGAAAAAAAAUAAAGAAAUCAACGUCGGGAAUGGAGGUUUGCAUUAAAAAGAAAAAAAAAUUAAAGAAUGGAAGUCGGAAAUGGAUGUUCAAAGGCAAAAAGAAAAAAAAAAGAAUUUGAGGGAUAAGUGAAUAAGAGGUGAUGAGUAACAUAUUAAUAUAUAUGUGAAUUACAUAAAUAAGGCUAUUUUAGGAAUUUGAAAGGAGGUCUAAUGAGAAAAUGCUUGUAUUUAAAAGUAAAAUAGAGGUGUAAAGAGAAUGAGAGGUAUACUGAGCAAAUUUGGAGGUCCCAAUAGCCGCACUCAAUAUUAUGCAAUGGUAUAGUCUUAAGUUUUUCAUGAUUAUAAUGGUAAACCAAGUAAUUACAACAUUUACGACCCUCAUUACACGUUUUUGAACAAUUCACGUAUAAAAUAAUUAAAAGGUUUUUAAAAUUGUAAUUUUUUUACGCAUGUCACAAUAGUACUGGAUGACAUAUUUACUUGUACAACAGGUUGUUCAAUUUUAUAUAUUAUUUUAAAAUAGUUAAUGCAUGGUAUGCAUCAACUCAUCCUAGCCUUCCCCUUAAUUUAUUGAUUAUUCAAUAACUUAUUAGUUUAUCAAAAUAUUAUUUAAUUUUUUAAAUAUGACUUUUUUAUUUUUUCAACAAAAAUAAUAUUGUUGUGCAUUGUUCAAUGUCUAUAUUGUCGAAUUUGUUAUUACGUUAUAUUAUUUAAUAUGCUACUCUAUUCGAUGUACAACAUUUUCAACAUACAAUGUUAGUUCAGAGGUACUAUAUAUAUUAGUUCAUUGGAUGAAUAUUAGAUAAACAAAACCAUAUAAUCACACAUCACAUAAGAAAAACAAAAAUGGUUUCUCAUCUCAAAGAUGAGUAAACAAAAUCGAUGAUAACGGAUGAAAUGCGUAAAGCAUUGUGCGAGUACAUCAAAGAUAAUCCAUGUAGCACUCAAAAGCAUUUGCAACAGUACGUUUUAGAAAAAUUUGACUUGCAAGCGAGUCAAAUGACAAUAUCAAAUACGAUCAAGCGAUCAAGGUGACCUCAAUUUUCAAGAAGAAACAAGUCACAAUUGAGUCAUUCUUUCUUAAGUCUUCAUAAAUGAAUAAUUAGUUAUGCGUAUUAAGAAAUUAUUAAUUUAUAUAUUCAUUGGGUCUAUGUGAAUUCUCGUAUUUGUAUUAUCUUAUAAAUUUAACACAUUGUCCCCAACUUGGAACCUGCAAAAAUUAUUAUUUUAGCGAGGAUAUUAAUUAAUCGAGUAUUAAAUUAUCGAAGUUUUACUGUACGUACGUAAAACUAGUCUCCUCAUACAAUGAUCGGUUUGUUAGCAAGCUGCACGUAUCAGUGUAUCACUAUAAAUAUCAAGGCACCGCGAUAGUUCAACUCACACCGUGAUAGUUCAUCGUAUUACUUAUACACCAAGUAUCGAAGAUAUUUUAAAACAAACAAGUUUAUGACGUAUUAAUUUUCUUUGACGAAUACACUAUAUUGCUAAAAUGAUUAAUUGACAAAUACGUAUACAUUAGGAUAACGUGGAUUGCAAAACUUGAGCAAACAUGAGAUGUUUGAGUUUAGGAUUUCACAUUAUAUUAGGUGUUUAAAUUUAGGAUUAAAUUCAGUUUGCCCCCUCGUGCUUUAGGUCAAUAAUCAGUUUGGUCUCAUAUCUUUUUUUUUUAAUAACGUUGGUCUUUGUACUCUCAAAUGACAUCAUCUAAGUCCAAAAUUUGAAUUUUAGUGUAAAAAUGGGUGAGUUUGGUCCUUGAAAAAUGACUUUUUUCAUUGUUAGAAUGUUUAUUUGCCUUUUUGCCUUAUUUAUAGGUUAAAAAGCUCAAAUGUGGAUCUCCAUGUCAGUUUCAAGUCAGCAAAUAAUAUUAUUUUUGAAGCCAUAUUAAAAUUAUGGACUUAGUUGAUGAUGUUUGAGAGUACAAGGACCAACGUUAUUAAAAAACAAGAUAUGGGACCAAACUGAUUAUUGACCUAAAGCACGAGGGGGCAAACUGAAUUUAAUCCUUAAAUUUAAGCAUGAACAUAAUGAAAAAAAUAAAUGGCUUCAAAAAUGUUUUUGUAUAGUAUAAAGACAAAAUAGUCUUGAGUACUAUUGGAUUUGCAAAUGAUAAGAUUGUAUUUUUACUUAAGAAUGACAUGACAUGAUUUUUUAAAUUGAUGAUGUGUUUAGGUGACAUGUCAUACUACCUAGGAUUAAGGCAAAANNNNNNNNNNNNNNNNNNNNNNNNNNNNNNNNNNNNNNNNNNNNNNNNNNNNNNNNNNNNNNNNNNNNNNNNNNNNNNNNNNNNNNNNNNNNNNNNNNNNNNNNNNNNNNNNNNNNNNNNNNNNNNNNNNNNNNNNNNNNNNNNNNNNNNNNNNNNNNNNNNNNNNNNNNNNNNNNNNNNNNNNNNNNNNNNNNNNNNNNNNNNNNNNNNNNNNNNNNNNNNNNNNNNNNNNNNNNNNNNNNNNNNNNNNNNNNNNNNNNNNNNNNNNNNNNNNNNNNNNNNNNNNNNNNNNNNNNNNNNNNNNNNNNNNNNNNNNNNNNNNNNNNNNNNNNNNNNNNNNNNNNNNNNNNNNNNNNNNNNNNNNNNNNNNNNNNNNNNNNNNNNNNNNNNNNNNNNNNNNNNNNNNNNNNNNNNNNNNNNNNNNNNNNNNNNNNNNNNNNNNNNNNNNNNNNNNNNNNNNNNNNNNNNNNNNNNNNNNNNNNNNNNNNNNNNNNNNNNNNNNNNNNNNNNNNNNNNNNNNNNNNNNNNNNNNNNNNNNNNNNNNNNNNNNNNNNNNNNNNNNNNNNNNNNNNNNNNNNNNNNNNNNNNNNNNNNNNNNNNNNNNNNNNNNNNNNNNNNNNNNNNNNNNNNNNNNNNNNNNNNNNNNNNNNNNNNNNNNNNNNNNNNNNNNNNNNNNNNNNNNNNNNNNNNNNNNNNNNNNNNNNNNNNNNNNNNNNNNNNNNNNNNNNNNNNNNNNNNNNNNNNNNNNNNNNNNNNNNNNNNNNNNNNNNNNNNNNNNNNNNNNNNNNNNNNNNNNNNNNNNNNNNNNNNNNNNNNNNNNNNNNNNNNNNNNNNNNNNNNNNNNNNNNNNNNNNNNNNNNNNNNNNNNNNNNNNNNNNNNNNNNNNNNNNNNNNNNNNNNNNNNNNNNNNNNNNNNNNNNNNNNNNNNNNNNNNNNNNNNNNNNNNNNNNNNNNNNNNNNNNNNNNNNNNNNNNNNNNNNAAUAUAUAUAUAUAUAUAUAUAUAUAUAUAUAUAGCAUGGUAGCCAUAUAUAGAGUGCAACAAUGAGACUAGUUCAUCAGUCUGAUAUUGACUGAGAAUAUUGAUCUUCUUCUCUCUCUUUAGACAUUUCCUAUCGUGACACCAAAAUGAUGAAAUAAUGGAUAAGCGCAUGUGCAAGAAAAUGAUCGGAGUAGUUAUUGGAAUCAAAACCAAUUUGCAUGAAUUCAUGCCUCGCUCUUACAUGAGUGAAGUUGAGUUAAUAGUCCGGGAUUAUCUACGUACGUACGACUUGUCCUCACACAACAGUCGCUUUGUUAUCAGUGUAUCACUAUAAAUAUCGAGGCACCGUGGUAGUUUAACUCACACCAGCAAGCUAACUCUCCCGGCUUUAGUUGUUUAACUAUACCAGAGUCUCAGCUUCCAUUUUUCGAGUGCUUCGAUUCCCCUAGCUAUAAUGGAUCCUCUGUUGGUUUCAGCAUCUCAAUCUCAAACCCAAAAUGGCAGUAGCACUGCAGAUGUUGAACGACGUUCAGCUGAUUUUUCUCCCAGCGUUUGGGGGGAAUAUUUUCUGGCAUAUGCAUAUGUGGUAGGUUAUUUUUGAAGUAAUUUGCAGCAUCAAGCACAUCAUAUGAAUAUCAUAUUUAUCUAAUUACCCCCUUCAAAAUUUUCAUCUACUGUAGGAAACUGCUGAUAUUGAAGCCGACAAACGUGUCGAAGAAGUGAAGGAAGAAGUGAAGAGGGUGCUACUUAGUUCUCCGCCUUCACAGAGAUUAGACUUGAUUGAUUACAUUCAGCGCUUGGGGGUGUCACACCAUUUUGAGGAUGAGAUUCACCAACUUUUGCAGCAAAUUCACAACCAAUACUCAUCUUCUUCUUCAGAUGAUGAUGACCUUCACACUGUUGCUCUACGUUUUCGGCUGCUUAGGCAAGAAGGAUUUAAGGUUUCAUGCGGUGAGAAUCGUUCUUUUUUUUCCAAUUUUUCUAUAUAUUUAACAAUGGAUUAUUUCCUCUUAUUUCUUCUCUUGGUUGAUGAUCAUUAAGCAGACAUGUUCAACAAGUUCAUCGAUGUUGAUGGGAAUCUUAAGGAAUCAUGCGUCGCUGACGUACCAGGACUGCUAAGUUUGUAUGAAACAGCACAUCUAAGGAAACAUGGAGAAGAUUUCCUAGAUCGAGCAGUGUCCUUCACUACCACUCAUCUUGAGUCUGCAGUAGCAGCACCCGGCCGUUUAAGCCCCCCACUUUCAAAUCAAGUAGCUCAUGCCUUGUAUCAACCACUCUGGAAAGGAAACCCGAGGAUAGAAGCUANNNNNNNNNNNNNNNNNNNNNNNNNNNNNNNNNNNNNNNNNNNNNNNNNNNNNNNNNNNNNNNNNNNNNNNNNNNNNNNNNNNNNNNNNNNNNNNNNNNNNNNNNNNNNNNNNNNNNNNNNNNNNNNNNNNNNNNNNNNNNNNNNNNNNNNNNNNNNNNNNNNNNNNNNNNNNNNNNNNNNNNNNNNNNNNNNNNNNNNNNNNNNNNNNNNNNNNNNNNNNNNNNNNNNNNNNNNNNNNNNNNNNNNNNNNNNNNNNNNNNNNNNNNNNNNNNNNNNNNNNNNNNNNNNNNNNNNNNNNNNNNNNNNNNNNNNNNNNNNNNNNNNNNNNNNNNNNNNNNNNNNNNNNNNNNNNNNNNNNNNNNNNNNNNNNNNNNNNNNNNNNNNNNNNNNNNNNNNNNNNNNNNNNNNNNNNNNNNNNNNNNNNNNNNNNNNNNNNNNNNNNNNNNNNNNNNNNNNNNNNNNNNNNNNNNNNNNNNNNNNNNNNNNNNNNNNNNNNNNNNNNNNNNNNNNNNNNNNNNNNNNNNNNNNNNNNNNNNNNNNNNNNNNNNNNNNNNNNNNNNNNNNNNNNNNNNNNNNNNNNNNNNNNNNNNNNNNNNNNNNNNNNNNNNNNNNNNNNNNNNNNNNNNNNNNNNNNNNNNNNNNNNNNNNNNNNNNNNNNNNNNNNNNNNNNNNNNNNNNNNNNNNNNNNNNNNNNNNNNNNNNNNNNNNNNNNNNNNNNNNNNNNNNNNNNNNNNNNNNNNNNNNNNNNNNNNNNNNNNNNNNNNNNNNNNNNNNNNNNNNNNNNNNNNNNNNNNNNNNNNNNNNNNNNNNNNNNNNNNNNNNNNNNNNNNNNNNNNNNNNNNNNNNNNNNNNNNNNNNNNNNNNNNNNNNNNNNNNNNNNNNNNNNNNNNNNNNNNNNNNNNNNNNNNNNNNNNNNNNNNNNNNNNNNNNNNNNNNNNNNNNNNNNNNNNNNNNNNNNNNNNNNNNNNNNNNNNNNNNNNNNNNNNNNNNNNNNNNNNNNNNNNNNNNNNNNNNNNNNNNNNNNNNNNNNNNNNNNNNNNNNNNNNNNNNNNNNNNNNNNNNNNNNNNNNNNNNNNNNNNNNNNNNNNNNNNNNNNNNNNNNNNUUAUUAUUAUAUAUAUAUAUAUAUAUAUAUAUAUAUAUAUAUAAACCUCUUUUAACAUGGAUGCUUAACAUGCAUCUAUGUUGUUUUUGAUUAUCGAUAUCAAUCAGGUGGGAUCUCUCUGCCAUGGAUCCACUGCCUAACUAUAUGAAAAUUUUCUAUGAGGCGAUCUUGAAUGCCUACACUGAAAUUGAAGCCGAUCUUGCCAAGGAGGGAAACUCGUAUCGCAUUGUCUAUUUAAUAGAAGCAGUAAGUCUCAUAAUCUCUCAAGGAGAGCUGACUGAUGAUAAUAUUUAUGGUUCAAUUGCAAACACAUAGAGAAUGAUUAUAUAUGUAUUUUGUUCUUUGAUGAUCAGAUGCAAUGUCAAGUUAGAAUGUACUUGAAGGAAGCCAAAUGGUACCACCUAAAGUGCACACCGAAAACCUAUGAUGAAUACAUGAGGGUGGCACUUAUUACAUCCGGCAUGUUUUUGGUAGAAGCAGCAUUCAUUGUUCCAUUAGCCGGUGAAAUUUCGACAAGAGAUUCCUUGGAAUCGUUGUUCAGAGACCCUGACAAUAUAAUUGUGAGGGCUUCAAACACACUUGGGAGACUCCUGAAUGACAUUCGAAGCCGCAAGGUACAAAUACAUGCAUACAUACAUAUAUAUUUACACACACACUAUAUAGUACUGAAUGAGUAAUAAACCCUGACCAAUUUUGUUAUAUAUGGAAGUUUGUAAUUUGUUGCUGAGUAUUAUACAUAUGUGCAGUAUGAGCAAAAGAGAGGAAAUGAUAUCACAGCUAUAGAAUGCUACAUGAAAGAAUACUGUGUUACAGAAGAAGAAGCGUUCGUCGAACUAAAUAAACAAGUGAAUGAUGCUUGGAAGGAUGUAAACGAAGAAUUGCUCCAGCCUCCCCCAACUGUCCCUAGGCCGAUACUGUUGCUGUGUCUCAAUCUUUUACGAGUAACUGAUGUUAUAUACAAGUAUGACGAUGGUUAUACUAAUGGUGGAGUUGUGCUUAAGGAUUAUAUAACUUCUCUGCUUGUCGAACCUGCUCCAAUGUAGGUUAUAAAUCAACACUCGACAUGUUAUCUUCCACGUUAUGACAAAUAAAGACUCGGUCUUAAACCCUAAGGCUAGCUGGGUUAUGACAAAUAAAAGCUCUAUGGUGUUUAAAGGAUUGUUGUAUUUCUGCAUGGGGUUUUGGUUCAUGUCGUCCCCGUUGUUUUCUCAUUUACGGUUUAAUAAUAUGUACAAGCAUGGGAAUGAGCAUCCCAAUUAAGCUGAGUUGAGUGAUCAGUACUACACUCGGUUAGUACAGUGAUACAUUUUGCCCGUCAAGGCUAUCAAUUGAUAUUGUGUUUGUGAACUUUACUUGCUUAAGAACUUGUUAUGCGGCUAGCUUAUGCCAAUGCAUGAUAAAAGUAGAUUGAUGACAUGCAUACUUGGCCUAUAGUUUAGGGCAGCUAUGACAAACACAGAUAGAAUAGUAGGGAUCUUGGUCUUCUAAAAUGAGGAAUAUGUGAAUUUAGUUAAAUUUCAUAAAAUUUAGGUUUUCUAUCUAAUCUAAUGGUCUUAAGAAUUGACACAUCACUAUUAUAUUAACUUUUGAUUUUUGGUCUAAAUCUUGGUUAACUAUAGAUAACUAUCGUUAACUCCAAAGCAGAGAAAAAAAGAUUUCUCGGUAAGACAUUGGUGUCUUUCUUCUAUGUUCUGGUGUUGUUUCUCUCUACUAUGUCCGUCUUUCUUUCUGCUAGCCGCGUUGAUGGUGUUGCUUAGGGCGCAUUGCUGGUCAUUGAAUGAAGGUGAAAUAAGGAAACCUACUUGGGGUUUUUUAUUUUAUUUUUGGUAGUCGAUAUGAGCCAGAUUUGAGGUGUGGAUGACCUAACAGUUAAAAGUAGGAACCCUCUUUGUAGAAAUAGAAACUGAUAUGAGCAGAACCCAGAUGAGAGUAUAGUUCCUUGAUUUUGUUAGGAUUAAUUACAAAACAUCACCCAAAUUAUGAUAUUAUUUCAUUUCAUAUCUAACUACCAAAACUUACAUUUNNNNNNNNNNNNNNNNNNNNNNNNNNNNNNNNNNNNNNNNNNNNNNNNNNNNNNNNNNNNNNNNNNNNNNNNNNNNNNNNNNNNNNNNNNNNNNNNNNNNNNNNNNNNNNNNNNNNNNNNNNNNNNNNNNNNNNNNNNNNNNNNNNNNNNNNNNNNNNNNNNNNNNNNNNNNNNNNNNNNNNNNNNNNNNNNNNNNNNNNNNNNNNNNNNNNNNNNNNNNNNNNNNNNNNNNNNNNNNNNNNNNNNNNNNNNNNNNNNNNNNNNNNNNNNNNNNNNNNNNNNNNNNNNNNNNNNNNNUAGGGCUGGGCACAAAAUCCCGUAAAUCCCGGUCCCGUCCCGGUCCCAUCCCGAUCCCGGCGGGAUUUGAAACUAAAAACACCUGUCCCGUCCCGUCCCGUCCCAUUAGAGAAACAAUGGGACGGGACGCGAGAUUGAAAUUUUGAGUCCCGUCAGGCCCGUCCCGUCCCGUCUAACUUUUAAAAUUCAUAACUAAUUGUAGAAAAAUUAUUUUUGAGAGAUCCCAACUCUCAAAUGAUCUUUAAGAUGUCAUCUAUAACUUUCAUGAAGACACUAAACUCAUAUAACGAACCAAUUUGUACAGUUUUCGAAAAUAAGCCAACUGGUUCAAAUCUCAGAAUUUACUGAUAUAGACCCUAAACUUUAAGAAACCAUAACUUAAUCUAGAAAAAUAGUUUUCACGUGAUUCAAACCCUGGAAUGAAUCUUAAGAUGUCUACUACAAAUCUUAUGAAGACACCAAGAUGAAAUUUCAAAUGCAACUGUAUGAUUUCCAGAAGAAACGAAACUGAUGCAGGAUGGCUGGGAUUGGGCUCGUCCCGUCUAACUUUCAAAAUUCAUAACUAAUUGUAGAAAACUUAUUUUUAAGAGAUUCCAACUCUCAAAUAAUCUUUAGGAUGUCUUCUGUAACUUUCAUGAGAACACUAAACUCACAUAACUAACCAAUUUCUACAGUUUUUGAAAAGAAGCCAACUGGUUCAGAAUCACAGAAUUGACAUGCAGAAUUUAUAGAUGCAGACCCUAAACUUAAAAAAAUCAUAACUUAAUCUAGAAAAAUCAUUUUCAAGUGAUUCAAAUUCUGGAAUGGACAUUAAGAUGUCUACUACAAAUCUUAUGAAGACACCUAGAUGAAAUUUCAAAUGUAACUGUACGAUUUCUAGAAGAAAAGAAACUGAUGCAGGAUGGCCGGGAUUGGGCCCGUCCCAUCCCGAUCCCGUCCCAUCCGGGAUUAGGCCCGGCGAGAUCGAGUCUGAAAAAUGUAAGGCCCGUCCCGAUCCCGUCCCAUGUGUAACAACCGGGACGUGGGAUGACCUCAAUCCCGUCCCGUCCCGUCCCAUGCCCACCCCUAUAUUUUGUUGUUGUCUAAACCCAAAGGGUUCAUUCACUGAAGAACUAAAACCUUCGAGCUAGCAUCAGAAUAAUUAGCUGGCCAGACGAAAGUUUUUAGAUGUUAAAGAUUGAAAUACAUGAACAAUAUAUGGCUUUAAAGAUGUAGAAAAUUCUACAAUGUGUUAAUGCAUGUGAAUGAUGUGAUGCAUCAUUAACUUUGUAAAUUGAGUCCUCAAACUAGUAAUAUUAAUCCUCGAAGUUGUAAUAUGAGUUCUUAAAAUUAUAAAAUUUUCUAGUUACAACAUUAGUAAUCAUGUCAUCAUGUGUCCUUAAAGUGGUAAUUGAGUCCUCAAAGUGAUUAAAGAAAAGUUAUUAUAACUUUGAGGACUCAUAUUACAACUUUGAUGGCUCAAUUACCACUUUAAGAACAAAUAAGGACUAAUGUUGUAAUUAAUUUUUUUACAACUUUAACGACUCAUAUUACAACUUUGAGGACUAAUAUUACUACUUUAAGAACUCAUUUUACAACUUGAAGACAAAGUUGAUGCAUCACAUGCAUUAACACACCCUAAACUUAGUCGAAAGAUUUUAGCUUUGGAGAUAUCUCGAUGAACAAUUAAACUCAUAGGUCAAGUAAAUAUCAAGAGAUCAUUUACAUGAGGAGCCCAUGGAAGAGUUUCCAUGGAAGCACAAAUAGGCAACAAUGCAAACAAAACCCCAAAGUUUUUUUUGGGUGCUGAAAUUCACACACCCAUAUUUACAAACCACACACCCCUUUCAUUUUUUAUUCAUACUUUUUCUCACUUCUUCUUGCACUUCCCAGAAUAGCCUCAGCUGUUUUUUUGUUUUGUUUUAAUUUCUCUUCUCUUUAUCCUCAAAACCGCACAAAACCCUUUCUAUUUUCCUGGGUAGUGGCUUAUGCUUAUCUGAAGGACGAGUUAAUAAUCUGCAAAUCUUUGUGGUGGACAAGAUGAUCUGGACACCCAAUUAUAGCAUUCAUGCGCCCCGGUCAAAUAUUUACGUCUCACGUCCUAGAGACAAAGUCUUCUACUUCUCUCAAGGCCACAUUGAACAGGUUGAGGCAUAUCUAGACACAGACGCUAAUUUGACCAUGCCAAGAUACAAUUUGCCUCCUAAGAUUCUUUGCUAUGUUGUGAAUGUUCUACUAAAGGCUGAAGUUCACACAUAUGAGAGGUCUUUGUCCAAAUAACAUUGCUUCCUGUGACUGAGCAAGAUCAGCUAAGUUUUGAGGAUGAAAAUGCUCCAUCUUUGCCUCAUAGAUAACCAAGACAUGGUUUAGCAAGAAUGCAAGAUACUCACUCCAUCUGAUACAAGCCCCAUCGAUACUGACGGCCCAACCAGCCAGACGUGGUUCACCGUCCCAAUCUUCACUUACACCUUCGCAAACAUCCGAAACGCGUUACCAGAGGCCUCUGCAGCCGUGUCCCAUACCUUAAAGGAGAGUUUUCUGGGGACGAUCGAGGUGCCGGUGUAACCACUAAGGUUGAAAGUCUUGACGGCCAUGACCCGGAGGAGGUCUUGUAGGCGAUGGACCAUUCACACGGCCUCCAUGCUGCUGCUGGUGGGGCUGAUGUCUCAAAGGCCCAGGCGACCCAUCUGGCGUGCUUGGCCGGCGGCGUGACAAAGGCAACGGCAAGGGUGUAGUUGGUGGAGUCGUAGGGACCCAAUGGAGGUAUGAUUGUCUCCAACAGAAUACCAUCCGGUCCCCAACAACUUCCAAGUGUAAAUAUCUUGCACUUCUCUCCCGAAGCGAUCGAGAUCAUGAUCAGAGAGAGAUCCCAACAGAGGUGAGGUUUGAUUUGUGAUUGACGAUGGUAUCGGAAGUAUUGGAAGUGAGGUUUUAGACUUAUGCGUGGUUAGGAGGAGGAGAAAGAGGGAAAAAGAAAAGGACAAAAAAAAAACAUGAGGGUAUUCUAGAAAGUCUAAGAAGAAGUGAGACAAAGUACUAAUAAAAAAUAAAAGGGGUGUGUGGUUUGUAAACAUGGGUGUGUGAAUUUCAGCACCCUUUUUUUUUGCUGGAGUUUAAUGAUAGUUAUUUCAAAGUUAACCAAGCUUUAGACUAAAAAUCAAAAAUUAAUGUAACAAUGAUGUGCCAAUUCUUAAAACCCUUAGAUCAAAUAGAAAGCCUAAAUUUUAUAAAAUUUAACUAAAUUCAUAGACUCCUCACUUUAGAGAAGCCGAAUCCUUACCUUUCUAUCUGUGUUUGACGAUCAGAUUCGAUGAAGCAACUUUCUCAUUGUUUGUCGAACAGUUUGUUUGAUUCUACUCCCUUUUGCCAUGUGAAAUCAGUGGCCUGCCAUUAUUCAAGUCUUGCUUCUGUUUAGUUAACUAUGUGAGAUGUGUAGUCAUUGUUCAAAUCCAGCUUGCGUCAUUAAAAACUAUGUUUAUCUAUGGCCAUGUGAGAUCAGUAGCCAUUACUCAAAUCUUGCUUACCUGCCACCCAGUUUGGACUAUAUUUCAGAGACUAAAUUAUUUCAGGUACUUGAAAGUAUUACAUGAUGACUAGAAAAAUGGUAAGGCUCAUGAAACAUGCAAGGGUUUCAGGGUUCUAUUUGGGGUCCUGCUAAUCUGCUAUUGUACAACCAAAAGUUUACAUGAAAGAUAAAAAAACAAAUUGAAUUGAAGACAUCUAAGAACACCUUGGCACUGCCAUAGCUAUGAGAGGAACUUCUCUGUGGAUGACAACACCACUGCAUUCAGUCAUGUUCAUAUCCUCAGUUCUAGCUCCAUUAGGCAAUCCCCAUUCAAACUAGUGCACAAUAUGUGCUAAAACAAGUUCAAUAGUGGUAAUGGCAAAUAAGAUUCCCGGGCACCCUCUUCUUCCAGCUCCAAAUGGGAUGAAUUGGAAGUCCUGCCCUUUGAAGUCCACACAAGAAUUCAUAAAUCUAUCCGGUUGAGACUCCUCCGGUUCAUCCCACAGAGAAUGGUCCAGGCAUUGACUAGAACCAUGGUUUUUGCCGCUAUGUCACAGCCUUUAAUUUUAGCAUCUUGAGUUGACUCUCUCAAGCUCACCAACGGUAGCGGAGGAUACAGCCUGAGUGUUUCUUUGAUCACAUCUUUCAAGUAUGGCAUUUUGUCCAAGUCACUUUCUGUUAUGUCUUGUUUUCCAUUAGCAAUUCCCAUAACCUCAUUUUGCAGUAUUUUCAUCACUCUGGGAUGCCUUAUGCGUUCACUCAUGGCCCACUCUAGGACUGUGGAGGUUGUAUCAGUUCCGCCUGAAAACAUAUCCUGCACAAAAAAAAACCAUGAAGAUAAUCUUAAAGUUCAAUGAUAUGACACAAAACCAAUUGAUACUACCAUGUAUGAAGUAAACAAAUUUCUUCUCUGUUUAUUUUGACUUACCAAGAUAACAGCUUUUAUGCCAUCUCUAUCAAUGGAAGUGCCAGAGACGUUACUUCAAGCAGGACAUCCACAAAAUCCUUUCUAUUUUCACCAUUCUCACCACAGUUAUCUCCCUUAGUGCUAAGAUUAACCGUAUGCUCCUCAACUAUUGUAUCAAGAAAUUCAUCAAAUUCUUUAGCAACUCUCUCCACUCUUGCAUCUACCCGAGUGAAGUGAUUAACCCAAGAAAGCCAUGGAAUAAAAUCUCCAACAGAGAAACCACCCAACAACUCGGUAAAAUCCCCAAGCAAGGUCUUGAACUUGAUUGCACCUUCAUUUCCACCACAAUACUUCUUCCCAAUAGCCACCCUACAAAUCACAUCAUUAGUAAGCAAAGAAAACAUUUCGCUUAGGUUGACUGGCAAUGACAACAUAGACGAGUUUCUAACAUUCUCAAUCAGCAAUGCUGUUUCUUCCUCUCUAACUCCUCCGAAAGAUUGAACACUUUCGUUACUUAAAAGAUGGAGAACACAUAUGCUUCUCAUUUUCCUCCAAUAUUCACCAUAAGGAGCUGAGGCGACAUCCUUGCCUUGGUAGAGAAGUCUAUCAAUAACUGUUAAUCUUGGUUUGCUAGAAAAGAUGAGAUCAUUUGUUUUCAUGAUCUCACAAGCAGCAUCUGCAGAUGAAACUAUGAUCACAGGUCUGGAACCAAAAUGAAGCAUCAUGAGUCCACCAUGGUACUGCUUAGCUAGUUGUUGGAGGGAUCGGUGAGGGCGUGUGUCAAGUUGGUGGAGGUUUCCUAGUAUUGGGAGCCUUGGUGGUGAUGGAGGCAAUUGAUUGUGUGCUUCUCUACUGGAAAACCAUUUGAUGAGGAAGAUUGUGAACAAGAGCAAGGGAAGAGCAAAUACAAACAGAUUUAACAUAGCUAUUAGUCAAUGCAGUAUGCCUAAUGUUGUAUUGAAUUAUUGAUUUUAUUUGCAAAUAUAUUUGGUGGGCUAAUCAUAUAAAGAGACUAUUUCACACUGGACCUAUCGUUGAGCAGUGGAUCAGUUCUCAGCAAUAAUGUUAUCAAUGUAAACUGGAUCUCAGCAAUAAAGUAUUUUCAGUGGAAACACGAAAGUUACGAAAAAUGUGCUUCUAGUACUAUUGGCUAUAUGAGAGUAACAUAGUAUUACCUCUUCACACAAUAGAUUCAACAGCGCCAUUGCCACAUAAUCGAGGUUGUAAACAAUUAUACAUGCAAAACGUAUAUAACAUACACAGUCACAGAAAUACACAUCAACAUUGUUCUUUCUAGCUUAUUCUAGCUGUAGUAACUGCAAACCUGAAAAAUAUAUCUGACAGAGUUAUACGUGAAGACAAGCCACAGGAAGUGUAUUCUGCAGCCAUCUGAGCUCGGGACAGAAACUGCCGAGCUGGGGGAACCAGAUUGUAUGAUGCGAGCUAGUAUAUGAUAUGAGCAAACUAUAUAUUGUUGUGCUCGAAUUCAUAUUAGGAGAUAAUGUCAACAGUGUAUAUCAAACCAACACAUCCGUCGGAGGCCAAAUGAGAUUGACAGCGAUGAGCUUUCUAACCUUUCUUUCACGCCUAAGAUCGCCAAUGCAUCGUAAAUAAUUCCCUUCCAUCGAAGUUACUGAAACUCCCGACGUCUUCCGAUGUAUCCAAUACUAUGUUGUUCGAGGUUGCAGGAUAUUGCCAACACAGUUCCGGAAGACGAGAACACGAAAGCCGACACCAUCAUACACAUCUUUCGACGAGGACUCUUAAGUUGAGGAUUUGUUAAAAACUUUUUGUUUUAUCUCACUUUUCGAUCUUAUAUACACAUCUUGACCGUUUAGUUUAUAGGUAUUUAUGAGUAAAUCAUUUCUCCAAAAUUUCAGUUUUAUUGAAAAUUGUUAAGAUAUUUAUAAGUGUAAUUUAUUAAUUAUAAACAUGAACGGUUCAUAUUUGACAGAUUUGGUUCGUCCAUUAAUUUGAUCUAAUUUGUUAUCUUAACGAACACCAAUUUAGGUGAAAAUUUGUAAAAAUAAUCUACUUAUCUAAACUUAAAAACUGAACGGUUAAAUUAUCAUUAUAAAAUGUAUCUUUUAAACCAUAAACCGAAAAAGUCAGUUAAAACCCUCACUAGAAACGCUAGCCUAGAUUUGGUUGGAAAGAACAUGGCUUCGUUGUAAAACUAAAAAGAGUUUUACCGUAAAAGAGCAUCAUACAAAAUACAGAGAGGCUUUUGGUGAAGGAAAAAAAACAUUCAUUUAUCUCAUUUCACAAAAUCAGUACUGUACAAUACACAAUUGCGUCAGCAGACUUCAGGGCAUUCAACAUUGACUUGAUAUCCAACCAUGAUAGCGGGUGUCAACCAAAUCUACAUUCAGAUAUCUACACAAUGGAAACAAUCCUACACCUCGGCUAACAUUCGCUCGGUAUGUAAGCAAUAAUCAUCUCCUCAGAUUGUCCCGUGUGAAAAAUGAAUGCCUAAGAGCUUCACGAGCUGUAAGUCUAUCUGAGGGGUCAUACUUCAGUAGCCCCUGCAAGAGGUGGAUAAGGUCACCAGCUGAAUGGUCUACGUGCUGCAUUAUAAGAUUCUGAAGACGAGCAAGUUUUUGAACAGCCUUUAUACUCUCCCUCGACGCAGCACCUUCAGGCCAAUCCAAUCGACCUCUCCUGACAUACUUCUCAGCAUGUCGGCUGUAAUUUCCAUUAGCAAAGUGAGACUACAUUCCUUUAUGAAAAUAAGAAGAAAAAAUUUAUGAACCAGUUAAGUCAAUCACUUACUCUGCUCUCUUCAACAUAUGCUGGGGAAGGGGACCAAGUACCCGCUCCAUCAUGGCAAGGUGCUCCAAGUUUUCAUGUGUCUGGAACAAAGCCUCACCCUGCACCAAGAAGCAAAUAUAGAAUAAAUAACUUGCUCGAUGACAAAACUACCAAGCACAAGAAUCUAGUUCAGCAGACGAACCGUGCACAACUCCACUAAGAUACAACCAAUGCUCCAUACAUCGCAAGGGUAGCUCCAGCCCAUUCCUGCACAAUCAUCAUAAUUGUUGUUAGACAUCUGCUUACAUCAUUCAUCAUAGACAUUUUAAUAAACAUUGAGAACACACUUACCAAGAAUAACCUCAGGUGCACGGUAAUGACGGGUUGACACAAUAUAGUUCUGAUCUUGACGCUCAUAAGUUGUGCUACCAAAAUCAAUAACCUUAAUAGCACUUGACUUUGGUACUCUUUUAUAGUAAGAGCUAUCUUUGGGUGAUCGAGAUGAGCUCUGUAAUUAACAAAUACAAUAGAACAUUAAAUACCGUACAAUCAAAACAUAAAUGACAUUCAAAUGAAAAAGGAUUAGAGGAACAGAACAAACCUUAUUAUAGUCAGGGACUCUAAUGUAAUCAGGAGAAACAAGAAGUAUGUUCUCUGGCUUCAAGUCGGUAUGAAUAAGAGAGAGAUCAUGCAUGACUGCAAAGAAAUGCCAAAAUCAUCAGAAUAACAAGAAAAAUCAGACCAAAUAUAAUUGGUGUAGUGAUAUGCAAGACAAUACAGCAUAGCAUGUGAAAAUGAACUUAUAGACAGACAAUACAAGAGAACAAUUCAUUGCAGCGAAAAAUAGAAAGUAUUGAAGCAAGACAUAUGGAUUGAAAGAAACUAGCUCAGGUAUUUUUACACACAUGCUACACAUUCCAACAGUUGUCUGCCAAUCUCACGGACGAGAUCAAUGGGAAAUGAGCGGUAAUUGUUUUUCUUGAGAAAAUCGUAUAAGCUUGGUCCAAGCUUCUCAAACACCUGUUAAAAACCAUUUAAAUUCACGCACGAGUUUUAACCCCCAAAUUAUUUGUGAAUCGGGGAAAUCAAUCCACCACAGAUUAAUCAUAUACUUACAAUACAGAUAUGGUUACGAUAGUCAAACCAGUUCCGUAAUUGCACACAACUGCAAGGAAUGAACCCAUUUAACAUUCUAACAACUUCAGGGAAAAAAUUCAUCAAAUGUUAUGUGGCAGUAAAAGUAGAAAAAAGAAUCAAAUACUCACCGGCUGCCACCUUUAUCGUGUUUACCAAGUUGUUGCAGCAUCUCAAUUUCAAUCAUAGCUGCUUCACGAUAUUUCUUGAUCCCGCGGACUAUUUUUAUGGCAACCAUUUCCUUUUUUUCUCUGUCCCAGCACUCCAAAACCUGACCAAAUGUACCUUCUCCCAUUUUGCUUUGGAUUUUAUCUGUAAUAGGUGACAGCAGUAUAAAAAUCCACAACUAAGUCAUUGAAACAAAUAUACAAGACUAAGAAACAUAAGCAAACCAGAGUGAUUUUUAUAAAUGGAAAACAGGAUGAUGUGUUGAUAAAAACUUCAUUAGAAGAGAAGUCUCAAAAAACUAAGAAACUGAUCAUCUGAACUUUAUAAGAUUCAGAAAAACCAAAAAAUGCAAAUGAUUUAAUGAUGGUGAGAUGUAAUUACAGCGAGCUGUUAAAUUUUCGCCAACUGAAAACAUGUAAUGCCCAUCCUUGUCAUCUUCUCUCCAUGGGGGUGAACCAUUUCGAGCUACUUCCUUAUCGAAUAGAGAACUAGUGUAGAGUGAGGGUGCCAUCAAAGGAGUAAAGCUUGUCAUAUUCCCAACCUCUUGUCCACAAUACAUUCCUACCUGAGCCUACACAGAGCCAUCCAUUCAUGUACCACUCAAAAUUAAGUCAAAUUCUGCCAACCCCUAUACCGUAACCCCAUCCAUUCCCUCAAGCCACAUCAGAAUCUCAUAACAUGACCAAACUCACAAAUCACAAGAAACAUUCUACCCCAUCAUGCAGUAUAGCGAUCCAAAACAUAAUGAUGGAAACCACAAUAAUAUCCAAACAAUGAAGUAAAGCUAAAUUAGAAUAAAACAAUAGCAUAUUUUUCAAAUACAUAAAAGGAGAGUUAACAAAUUUGAACAGAUUAUUAUCGAAAUCAAUUAUUCAUAAAAAAAAUCAAGAUUUUAGCAAUUAAAUCUACAGCUAUUUAAAAAAACAAAUCAAAACAACAAAUUCCAGGCUUUCAGCAAUUGCUACAAGAAGUUAUUUGGCAAAAAGUCCUUUGUAAAAAAAAAAACUAACGAGUAAAUCGAUCCAAAACUCAAUUUCAAUACUUACAGAACCAGAUUUAAGCAAGAUUUAAUAUAAUUAAUCGUAAAUCCAGGCUCCGAUCUAUAAAGAUCGAAUUAAAAGCUUCAAAUUAACAAAAAUCAUCAGAAACAUAUAUUACAGAUCUAAAUAAAGGAAAACAAGAGCUUUAAUCACAAACUAUAACAAAAUCAACAAGAAAAACCGAGCCUUUUACGUACGAUCUAAUACAACAACCACAAGAAAAUCGAAUCAGAACGAAAAGUCUGGGUGAAAAAGAUUAUACCUUUGGGGCCUGAGGAACGUCCCAGCCCAGACGCGCUCGCUUUCGGGGACGACGAUCCAUGUGAGUGUGAGGAAACUCCACCACGCGCUCCAUCUCCAUGAUCGCAGAUCGGUUAAUCGGAGAUUUCUAGAAGAAAAUUUUUGGGGCGAAAAAGGGAGCCAAGUCUGAAGAUUGAAGAAGAUGAUGUUUUUGUGAGAGAGAGAACCCUAAUUUUAACCUAAUAAAGUGGGGGUGGUGAGGGGUGAGAUGAAAUCGGACGGUACACGUGUCACGUUGUUGUCCGUGGGUUUUGACGGAUUCGUAUUAUCCAGCUCAACCCAGCGUUGUUUCCGUAAUGUUUUAGGUGUUGACUAUGAUUAGGGGAUUUAACCGUGGUUGAGUUUAGCAUCCUCUUUAUAAAAGCAUCGGAUAUUCGGAUAGUGUUAUUCGCAAGCAUUCAGAACCUAAUUUUUUUUUUUUUUUUUAUGUAAAUUUGAAUAAUAAUUUGUGUUUGCUGACCUCAUCCUGACAUCUAAAUAGUUGAUAAUAGAGAAAUAUUUGAAAAUUUGAAUUGUAUAGACAAAGAUUAAUAAUUAGCCAAGAUAUACAUCAAGGAUCAAAGUCCAUGUGACAUUUCUACAUCUAAAUUAAUGUAAUGUAUACAAAUAUCUUUACGUUCUAUAACAUCUCUAUUAGUAUACUUGUUUGUAAUAUGAAAUUUCACUUUCUAUAACAUCUGUAGUAGUAUACUUGCUUGUACUCAAAACUUAAAUUUCUAUAAGUUACUAUAAAUGUGUUAGUCGAGUAGUUUCUCUAUUUAGCAUCUGGUAUCAACAAAAAGAAAAAAGUUUUAUAAACAAAAGUAGUUACCCGAUUAGUUAUUGUUUGUGACUUUAUAAACCACAUGUUAACUUUUAGUUUCGUAAUUCUAAUAUUUUCAUAUUCAAGAGUGGAUUCAAAGAUGUUUUCCACAAAUAACACCUACAAAUGUUUAUCUGAUUUACAGCCUAACAUGUUUCUAUUAGAUCAAAAUAUUAGGAACAAGUAUGUGGUGUUCAGAGGAGGGGAAGUCCCAUGUUCUUGGCUGUUUCUAUUUCUUAACAUUUCAGACCAGCAAGGCAGUACUUGAUCAGAGAUUCAAAGUCAUCACUUCCACUACUACUGGAGCAACCAGACCAGCUAUGUAGAAGAAACAAAGACCCAUCCUUUGACCAUGGAGCAACCACCACCCCCACCGGUAGCAAUCUCAACUCUAUUCACAUUCGUCUUCCCCUUCACCUUCCUCACAAUCUUCCUCCUCAGAUGGCUCGUCCCCGCCGCACCACCACAAACCCGCAACAAAUGCCUCCCUCCUUCACCGCCGCGCCUCCCCAUCAUCGGCAACCUCCACCAGCUCGGCCGCCUCCCCCACCGCUCCUUAAGCCUCCUCUCCCAGCGCUACGGCCCGAUGAUGCUCCUCCACUUUGGAGUCAAACCAGUCCUCAUUGUCUCCUCCGCCGACGACGCCCGUGACGUCAUGAAAACCCACGAUCUCGUCUUCUCCAACCGGCCCAGAUUGUCAGCUUCCGAUAGGCUGCUGUACCAUGGGAAAGGUGUAGCUUCUGCUACUUACGGUGAGCAUUGGAGGAGCGCAAGAAGGGUGUGUGUUCUUCAGCUCUUGAGCGCCAACAGGGUUCAGUCUUUUCGAGCUGAAAGAGAGGAAGAGCUGGGGUUGCUUAUACAAGAAGUUAAGCGUUUAACUUCGGUGUCAUUAUCUGUGAAUUUAAGCGAGAUGUUUGCUUCGUUUACUGUGGAUGUGCUGUGUAGGGUUGCUUUUGGGAGGAAGUAUGGUGGAUUUAAGUUUAGGGAGAUGCUUGGGGAGCUGAUGAGGUUGUUGGGGGGUUUCUAUAUGAGGGAUUAUGUUCCUUGGCUUGCUUGGGUUGAUUGGAUUAAUGGGUCGGAUGCGAAAAUCGAGAGACUUGCCAAAGAGUUUGAUAGGUUUCUUGAUGAUGUGGUGGAUGAGCAUAUGGGGGUUUUGAAAAUGAGAGGAGAGAGUGGAGAUGGGAGUGGAGAGGGAGGGAAGGAUUUUGUGGAUGUACUGCUUGAAGUUCAAAGCUCUGGCAAUGAGGGCUCUUCAAUUGAUAGAGAUAGCAUUAAAGGUAUCAUCUUGGUGAGUAGCUUCUUUUGGCUUGCAAGAACUUUGUUAAUCAGUGAUUGAAUACUGUUGUCUUAGUGAUGGAAUGCUGUUAAGUAGCUUCUUUAAGAAUUUUGUUUAGCAAUUUUCUGUGCCUGCAUUUUCUAAGAACUAGGAAUAUUCAGAAUUGAGAGUUGAAACUGGAAAGGUUGAUGUUAGGUGAGAUCAAGAACAGAAAAUUUGGAAGGGGGUUCCUCUGUUUGCUUCUUAGAACUUCACCCCUUAAAAGUUUGAUUGGUUUAGUGUCCAAGACUAACAGUUUGUCUGCGUAAGUAUUUAGGGAUUGUUAACCUAUUGAGUUCCAAGUUAUUAUCUUUUUAGAUACGUAGGCAACUAGCUAAGCACCAUGAGAUUGUUAACCUAUUUAGUUCCAAGUUAUUACUUUUUAAAAGAAUUUGGUAGGCAACCAGCUAAGCACUGAAUGGUAUAUUUAGAACUGUUGUUUGGUAAUAGAAUUGUGAAUAGACUGGUUUGUUAGAUGAGUUUCAUCAAGGAAGAUCUUGAGUUUUUAUGCGUGAGUGUUUUGGACUUCAAGGAGAGAAUGUGAAGCUACUACGUACUUGAGCAAUAACUUAGUAAGGUCAGUUGAAAGCUUUAACAUCAGAACAAAAAGGCAAGAGUAGGAGGUCAUUCAGAAAUUGACAUUUUAAUGUUAAAUGUGUAGUUUGUCGACUUUUCUGUCAGUUAUCAAUAAAAUUUCAACAUUGUUUAUGAAACUGUGAAUCUCAUCAUAAUCUUAGAUCUCUCCGGUCCUUUGGUUUAGAUUGCCCAAUAUUUGUAUCAGGGCAGUCAAUUCAUUCAAGUGCUGUGUCCAAAUUACUAUAGUUGUUGUUACUUGAGUUGGUUAUCUUAUAGUUGCUGAGAAUGUCUACAUUUUCACUAUACAUGGAUUAUAAAUCAUGUUACUUGGCUUCUUGUAGGAUAUGUUUUCUGGUGGAACUGAUACAACAUACACAGUUUUAGAGUGGGCAAUGACCGAAAUCUUGAGGCAUCCCAGAGUUUGUAGAAAACUGCAAAAUGAGGCGAUGGAAAUUGCUAAUGGCAAACCAGACAUCACAGAAAGUGAUUUAGAUAACAUGCGCUACUUGAAAGCAGUGAUCAAAGAGACACUUCGGCUACAUCCGCCAAUACCAUUACUCGCCCCUCGUGAAUCAACUGAAGAUGUUAAGAUAAUGGAACAUGAUAUAGAAGCAAAAACUAUGGUCUUUAUCAAUGCUUGGGCAAUUGGAAGAGACCCAGCAGAGUGGGAUGAACCAGAAGAGUUUCGACCGGAGAGAUUCAUGAAUUCUUCAGUGGAUUUCAAAGGGCAAGACUUUCAAUUACUCCCAUUUGGAGCUGGUAGAAGGGGCUGCCCAGGAAUCUCAUUUGCCAUGACUACUAAUGAGCUUGUGUUGGCAAAUAUUUUGCACAAGUUUAACUGGGAACUGCCUGCUGGAACAAGUGCGGAGGAUAUAAACAUGACCGAAUGCAGUGGUGUUGUUGCGCAUAGGAAAAUUCCUCUUGUGGCUGUCGCAAAACCGAGGUCUUUCUAGAAUCUUUCUGCUUCUGUUUUUGUGUGGAAGGUCAGGAUAAAUGUCUUAUCUUUCUGGUAUGAACUAGGCCUAUUUGGUUACACCUUCUUGCCUUGCUCUACUUUUCUGUUUGCAUUCUCUUGUUACUUUUUCCGUAGCUGGCCAAAACUCGAGGUAUAACAAGCCUCCUUUUUACACUGUAUUCUACUAUUUUCAGUUUCUGGUAGGACACCGUCACUACUCUACCUUGAUAAGGGUCUUAUUAUGAUGAUGAUCGUAUGACACAGCAGAGAUUGCAACAAGAAGAAAGGUUCAUUUAACAAUGGUUUCCUGUGGUUAAUACUUAAUAGGAGGAGCACAACAGGCCGUCAUAUAAUCAUAGAUCGAAAAUUGGGAACAAGAUUACAUGAUCUUAAUAUUAAUCGACACAGUUAGGGAAAGAACUGCAUUGAGUACAAUUUUCAUGACUUGAUUCAGGGACAGGGAUUGCACUAUGCAUAGAGAAUGCCCUUUCCCAUUCUGGAGUCUCUAGAGAAGAUGUAAAUUACGUAAAUGCAUACGCUACAUCCACACCAACUGAUCUGCAAGAAUAUAGAGCCCUAAUCCACUGUUUCGGAAACGAAGCAGAGCACGAAGAGAAGUUGUUCACCAGAGAUUAAGAAUAUCAUCAGUCUUUUCUGUUGUCAGUGUUUCCUUAUCGUAGUAGUGAUGACAUGAUGUAAUCUGUAGGGAUCACUUCAUAAUCGGUAAAAGUGCUUAUUGAAGAAGCACUACCAAACUGCUUUCACAAACUGCACAUGAAAAUCAUGAUACCGUAUUGCAUGGAUCAGAAAGUUCAGCACAUAUGAACCAGAUCUUAUGCAUAAAUUCGAUUCAAACCGACUUGCUCGAUUACAACAGCUCAUCAUUCUCAUCCCUGAAAUGGUUACCGUAUUUGAAUCGUAUAAGAAAGCAACGGGUUUUAACCAAGGCCAAAGAACCCUGCAUGACUAGUCCAAUGAAUGAGACCCCCUUGACCACCGUUUAAAUUGUGCAUGGCUCCAAAUUAUCAACCAAAGCCGCAAUCUCAUUUAACACGGCCUAAUAAUUCCAUGGACCGACUCGAGCAUGAUAAACAUGUACCAUUACGUACUAUGUCAGCUUAGGCAAUACACAUUACAGAGGAAAAUCCAACACUUUCAUGUCUCAUGAUUAUAUGCCGGAGCGAGCUAGUCAUUGGUUCAUUACCUUGCCCGUAAUAUCUAGCUAGCUAGCUAGUGAUUAGCGUCAUAUUUGUCAACAAUAAAAAAAAUAUAGAUUUUAGGCCUCAUCAUUUGGUUCAUAAAAAUGAAAAUAAUUAGUUUGUCUUUCUCAAUAUGUACAUGAACUAUCUUUUCUGAUAUUUCUUAAAUUAAAAAAAAGGUAGUCAUAAUUGUUAUUGAAAAAUUUGUUAGUCAGAUAAUGUACUAAAUAAAUGCAACAAAAGAAAAGAGAAAACUCAUAUUUUUUCAUGAAAGUUCAUACUUUCUCGAUACUUCCAUUCCGCAAAUCAGACGUCGACGAUAUGCUUCCAUACAAUCAAGAUCUAUAGUAUUAGGACGUGUUGAUAUGGAGAGCGAGAUCGUAACCAGAAAGAAAUCGAGAACCACGAAACUCCUUUCUUACGAAGAUAAGAUGCAUCAUGCAUGAGCAGGCACUACGUACUGCUGUCAGUUUUGUUUUCUAUUUAAACACACAAGCCAGCACAGCAGUGUGAGCACGUACUCAAACUCAUUUCUGAAAGAAUAGAAGAAGAACUUGAUCCACUUGCAAAUAACAACAUGCCGGAGCUGAGUGAAACCUUGUCACUAGCACCGCUUCUAGCCAUUACUCUCCUCUUCCUAUACAAAUGGGCCUCCACCAGUAUAGAAAACUCGCCACCUUCUCCACCAAAACUCCCGAUUCGCGGAAACCUUCACCAACUAGGGUUACACCCUCAUCGCGCACUCCGAGACUUGGCUCAGAUCCAUGGCCCCCUCAUGCUCCUUCACUUUGGAAGCAACCCUGUCCUCGUUGUUUCCUCGGCUGAGGAAGCCCGUGAGAUCAUGAAAACCCAUGACCUCUCUUUCUCCAACAGACCCAAGACGUUCGUCUUUGAGAAGCUGCUCUACAAUUUCAGAGACGUAGCGUCGGCGCCUUAUGGAGAGUACUGGAGGCAGAUGAAGAGUUUAUGUGUUUUGAAUCUCCUGAGCCACAAAAGGGUUCGCUCUUUUCGCGCUGUUAGGGAGGAGGAAGUUAAUUCGAUGAUCGAAAAGAUAAAGGAAUCUUCAUCAACAUCAUCGGUUGUGAACAUGAGCGAAACGUUUGCUACGCUGACUAAUGAUGUCACCAGUAGAGUUGCUCUGGGUAGGAAGUACAAUACUGGUGGGCAGGGGCGGAGCUAUAUGUUGGCAAGCCUGGGCAAAUGCCCACCCAUCUUUUGUAUUUCUCACAAAUUGAGAUGAACUUUUCUCACAAAUUUAUUGCAAAAUUACAACUUAUUGAUGAUCUUGCCCAACCAAGAUCACCGCAGGAAGAAAACGAAGAGGUUUCAGGGAGUUCAGGCUUGCAGCAAGUCAGCAACGUACGCUGCUGCGCCGCCUGCGUGGGGAAGAGCCUUUUCAGCUAUGAAGAUCAUCAAAAGUCCACUUCGUAAUCGAAUGAGAGAUCAGUGGUUGAACGAUAGUUUGAUUGUUUACAUUGAGAAAGAUGUUUUUGCUUGUAUUGAUAAUGAAAUAUUGAUGCAACGUUUUCAAAACAUGAAAAGUCGUCGAGGACGAAUGUAGCUUGUAAAAAUUUUGUUUUCAUGAAUGAUAAUGUUGUUUUAGUCUGCCCAGGCAAGAAAACAUUUCUAGAUCCGCCCCUGCUGAUGGGAAGGUUUGAAUGAUCUGUUGGAGGAGUUUGUAAAGCUAAUAGGACACAUCAAUAUUGGGGAUUUUAUCCCAUGGCUUGCUUGGUUGAACCGUAUGAAUGGUUUGGAUGCUAGAUUGGACAGGGUGGCCAGACAGUUUGAUGAGUUCUUGGAGAGAGUGAUUCAAGAGCAUGUAAGUAGUUCCGAAAGUAGAACUAACGGCCAUGCUCGUACUGAGAAUGACAAAAAGGAUUUUGUGGACGUUUUACUUGAAAUUCAGAAAGAGAACUCACUUGGCCUUCCCCUCGAAAGAGUUAGCAUAAAGGCACUUAUCUUGGUACGGUUACCUUGGUCUCCCUCUGGCUGCAUCACUUGUUUAAUCAACAUUUUUCUAUUAUAUUAUAUACUAUAUAUGUCAUUCAAUCGUAUAUAUAUAUAUAUACACACACACAAUUUUUCAAUAACUUCUGUUCAUCAAGCUUUCAAGGAGUUAGAUUUCUCUACGUACUUAAUACGUACAUGUUCUUUUGUCUAGCUAGCUCAUCAAUCAUCAUGUCUUAUAUACUGUUGUCGUAUGAUUAUUAGUUUGAACUACAUACCAAUAUACAUGCCACGAGAGCAUGAACGCCAAUAUCAUUAGAUAAAUUUUGUUACAUGCACAAGACUACGAGUACAGUCUGUAUGUGUUUGCAUGGAACCUUGACAUAUUAGUUAUUGUUACACAGUAAUUAUCUGAAUACGUAAAUAACCGUAUAGAUCGAAUAUGAAGAGGUGGAUUUGAUCUGUAGUCUUAUGAUCUUUGAAUUGCAUUUGUAAUAUAUAGCAUCAAGUUAUAUUAGAUGCUAGAUGUCUGAAUUAAUCGACUAAUUAAUAUAUUUUUUUUCUUAUAGGAUAUGUUUGCUGCUGGAACUGAAACUACGUAUACAUUCCUGGAAUGGGCACUAAGUAAGCUUUUAAGGAAUCCAAUGGUCAUGAGCAAACUGCAGAAAGAGAUUCGGGGAAUAGUCGGAGACAAGAAAGACAUAACGGAGGAUGAUUUGACCGGAAUGCACUACUUGAAGGCAGUGAUCAAAGAGACUUUUCGCUUGCACCCUCCGGCUCCGUUACUAGUGCCCAGGUUAUCAACCCGCGAAGUGAAAAUAAAUGGUUACAACAUUAAAGCCAACACACAAGUCACAGUGAACGCAUGGCACAUUGGAAGAGAUCCCAACACAUACAAGAAUCCAGAAGAGUUUGAGCCGGAAAGGUUCCUGAUUCAGAACGAUAUAGAUUACAGGGGAAAUGACUUCCAACUUAUUCCAUUUGGAGCUGGUAGAAGGAUAUGUCCAGGUAUUCAGUUUUCCACGGCUCUUAAUGAGAUUGCUUUGGCAAACAUACUGCACCAAUUCAAUUGGGAAUUGCCUGAUGGAGCAAAAGGCCAGGAUUUGGAUAUGACGGAAUCUACUGGAAUAACCAUACAUAGAAAAAAUCCUCUUAAAGUCGUGGCUGUUCCAUAUUUUCAUUGAAAGUGUGGCCUGUGUUGAAUGUAUUUGAUAUGCAAAUGUAGUACAUGUAAUGAGAAUAAGACAUUGUUAUGACAAAGAUAUAUUGUGUUUAGUGAAGACUACAAAUUAAUGUUACGUACGAUGAGCUAUAAACUGUACAACAUACAAUUGACGAUACAAUUGAUUAUAGGGUAUUGUAGAAAUGCUCCAUAUGAUAUAUAUAUAUUAGAUCGACGUGAAUACGUAACGUGAUUAACACCGGCCUUGCUUUCAGAUCUAGUAUUGUGUUUUGUCCAAUUGAUCAAGAUGAUAGAUAUAUGAGGACCGAAUUUGUGUUGUUGUAGUUGCUUUCUUUUUUUUGUGUGGAGAAGAGUGUUUUGAUUCUUACAUACUGAUAGAAUAUGUGACCACUGACUUAUGUAUGUUAAUUGAUCAAUUGGGAUGCCGGCCGUAAAAUAGGAAAAUGAUAAUUGGUCUAAAUGAGACCUAAGAUUUAAGAUCUCAAUUCUAAGUGUCAUCCAUCACUUGCCAAAUUAAUUAAUUAAUUAUAUAUAUAAUUAAUUAAUUAAUUAUAUAUAUAUAUAUAUCAUUCAUGCAAAAUUUCAUCCAAAUUGAUGAUCGUUAAAGUACCGAAUUAAAUUAAAUCAAUGAACGGACCAUAAAUCUGUCUAACAAGAAGAACUGUCUGUGUAAAUAAUGAUUACGAAAACCAAAACGAUCUUCAAANNNNNNNNNNNNNNNNNNNNUCGUCGUCGUCGCUCUCUCUCUCUCUCUCUCUCUCUCUCUCUCUCUCUCUCUCUCUCUCUCUCUCUCUCUCUCUCUCUCUCUCUCUCUCUCUCCAGACCAUCACUCUCAUGCAGGACUCUCUCUCCAUUCUCACCGCUCCUUCCUCCACCGCCACCUUGAACUGCACCACCCCCACCAACGCCACCUCCAACUGCCACCUCCAACUGCCAUGCUCUCAUCGACUUCGUCCCCACAAACGCCACCACUCUCAACGCCGUCAAGACCCUCUUCAACAUCACCCGGCCACCUUCGCACCCUCCUCGGAGCCAACAACCUCCCCCUCUCGACCCGACUCACCCGUUUUCGCUGCCAGCAUGCUCCUCGUCCCCUUCUCUUGCACCGAGCCUCAGAUCUGGGUCUGAUCUUCGCCACCACAGACGCCACUGCCGCCACCUUUCUCUCUCUACCAAGCCUUCCCGCCAACCCACCACCGUCCCUCGAAAUUUCAAAAUGGUAAGAAAUCAAGGUAAGUUCUUCAAUUUUUCUGGUUUAAUUAGCAUUGGUGAUAGAUUUAUGUGUUUUUGUUUAAUUUGAUUUUGAUUUUGUUUUUGAUUUUAAUUUUGGUUAGGAUGUGAUUGGUAUGAUGGUGGUGACAUGAUGGUUAUUUGGUACGGUGGUGGUGGUAUAUUUGGGGCAUUGUUGGCAUGAAAUUGAUAGGGAGAUACUGUAUUGAAGUUUACUAACCCCUAGUAAAAGUUUACUGGGGGGCAGUAAACUUCCACUGGGUUUACUAGAGGACAAUGAAUUUGUUUAUUAGGGUAAGAAUGGGUAUCUGUUGUGUAUAAUUGACUUGAAAUUGAAAGGGAGAUAUUGUAUUGAAUUUUACUGAUCCCCAGUAGAAGUUUACUGGGGGGCAGUAAAUUUCUACUGGGUUCACUAUGGGCCAAUAAAGUUGUUUAUUAGGGUAAGAAUUGGUAUCUGUUGUGUGUUGUGCCUCUAAAAUUGAAAUUGAGUUAUUUUUUGCAAGUUUACUGAUCCCCAGUGGAAGUUUACUGGGGGGCAGUAAACUUUAUUUUUUCCAUACGCAGUUUAUAAAUACAAGUUUUUACUACUUAUAUAUAUGCAAGAUGAGAAGAAGUUCAAGACAUUUAGUUAUGACUUCUGAAACCUGCGGUGGUGGUGGUAUUUGGGUCGGUCGAUGUGAGUGGAUAAAAAACCUACGGUCGCGUUUUUUUUUUAAAUUUUUUUCAUCCUUUAGUGACGAAAUUCAACUAUUCCAUCUCCUAAGUGGAUAAUUAUUUUUUAUUAUAAAAUAAAAUUUGUCGCCUAAGUGUUUAGGAGAUGAAAGUAUACCGUCUCCUAAGAACCACUUAGACGACGGAAUUCUAGGUUCCGUUGCCUUAAUGUCUACCUCACCACACUUAGGUGACGGAUCUUAACCGACGGACGUUCCGUCUCCUAAAUACUUAGGCGACGAAAUCUGUCACUUAGGAGACGAAAUAAUUAUGUCUCCUAAGUGCUUUUUUCCAGUAGUUAUUGUAGUGUUUGGGAUGGAUGGGAACCUUAUUACAGUUGACCAAUAUAUAUGAGGAUCCUUAUUUCAGUUGACCAAAGAUGGGAUCCGAAUUAUAUAUAUCAAUAUCAAUAUAUGCAUGCCCGACUUUUUGUUAAGCAGAGAGUUCAUUAGCGAAGACACACAUACAUAAUUUUCCUGAUGAUGAAAAUGCUUGAGCAGUUGAUCCAUGAAAGCUUCUUUUCCCUGCAAUCUUUUCCCAUCACAUUAGUUCUAGUUUUACCCGUUUUCUUCAUUACCCUCUUUUUAUAGAGAUCAAUGGUCCUUAAUCUCACUUGCUACAAAAACUCACCACCUUCUCCGCCAAAGCUUCUUGUGCUCAGACAACUUUUGAAAAUAGGCUCAAACCCUCAUCGAUCACUUCAAAAACUAGCUCAACGUUAUGGCCCUGAUCUCAUGCUCCUCUAUUUGGGAACUGCCCCACUGGUUAUUGUCUCGUCGGCUGAGGCUGCAAGUGAGAUCAUGAAAACUAAUGAUCUAGACCCAAGUCUGUCAUCUUCCAGAAGCUUCUCUACAAUUACAAAUGGGGGUUUUGAAAAUGAGAGGCGAGAGUGGUGGAGAUGGGAGUGGAGAGGGAGGGAAGGAUUUUGUGGAUGUACUGCUUGAAGUUCGAAGCUCUGGCAAUGAGGGCUCUUCGAUUGAUAGAGAUAGCAUUAAAGGUAUCAUCUUGGUGAGUAGCUUCUUUUGGCUUGCAAGAACUUUGCUAAUCAGUGAUUGAAUACUGUUGUCUUAGUGAUGGAAUGCUGUUAAGUAGCUUCUUUAACAAGUUUGUGUGCCUGUAUUUUCUAAGAACUAGGAAUAUUCAGAAUUGAGAGUUUGAAACUGGAAAGUUUGAGGUUAGGUGAGAUCAAGAACAGAAAAUUUGGAAGUGGUUCCUCUAUUUGCUUCUUAGAACUUCUCCAGCAGUGGUUGAUAAAAUAAUUGAUAAAUUUGGAUGAAAGUUAUAUUUAUUAAUUCAUUUUGAGAGUUUUGCUCUAGCAGAGUAGCUAUUACAGAAAAUUUAGCUAUUCAUUGACAAAUUCUCUCUCUUAAAUUGAUAAAUUUGUCAAUUUUGUUUAUCAAUUUCUAAAUUUAUCAACUUCUUAAGUAUAUUGCUGGAGCAAAGAUUCAUUUAAAAAUUGAUAAAUCUCUAAUUUUUUUUUUAAAUUUAUCAAUGCUACUGGAGAUGCUUUCUUGGUUUAGUGUCCAAGACUAACAGUUACUCCACAAUCUACGUAAGUAUUUAGGACAUAGCAUCUCCAGCAAUAGAGUUAAAUUUAUUGCUAAAUUUUUCAACAUUUAGAUUUAAAAUAACAAUUUUUGAACUUUUGCUGUAGCAGUAUUGUUAAAUUAUAUACAUUAGCUAAGUUUUAGUUAAUUGUCUCCCAAAGAUUGAUAAAUUUAUCAAUUUUCUCUAUCAAUUUCUAAAUUUAUCAAUUUCUUAAGUAUACUGCUGGAGCAAAUAUUCAUUUAAAGAUUGAUAAAUCUCUAAUUUUUUUUUCAAUUUAUCAAUGCUGCUGGAGAUGUUGUGUUCCAAGUUAUUAUCUUUUUAGAUACGUAGGCAACUAGCUAAGCACCGAAAGGUAUAUUUAGAACUGUUGUUUGGUAAUAGAAAUGUGAAUAGACUGGUUUGUUAGAUGAGCUUCAUCAAGGAAGAUCUUGAGUUUUUAUGCGGGAGUGUUUUGGACUUCAAGGAGAGCAUGUGAAGCUACUACGUACUUGAGCAAUAACCUAGUAAGGUCAGUUGAAAGCUUUAACAUCAGAACAAAAAGGCAAGAGUAGGAGGUCAUUCAGAAAUUGACAUUUUAAUGUUAAAUGUGUAGUUUGUCGACUUUUCUGUCAGUUAUCAAUAAAAUUUCAACAUUGUUUAUGAAACUGUGAAUCUCAUCAUAAUCUUAGAUCUCUCCGGCCCUUUGGUUUAGAUUGCACAAUAUUUGUGUCAAAGCAGUCAAUUCAUUCAAGUACUGUGUCCAAAUUACUAUAGUUGUUGUUACUUGAGUUGGUUAUCUUAUAGUUGCUGAGAAUGUCUCCAUUUUCACCAUACAUGGAUUAUAAAUCGUGUUACUUGGCUUCUUGUAGGAUAUGUUUUCUGGUGGAACUGAUACAACAUACACAGUUUUAGAGUGGGCAAUGACCGAAAUCUUGAGGCAUCCCAGAGUUUGUGGAAAACUGCAAAUUGAGGCGUUGGAAAUUGCUAAUGGCAAACCAGACAUCACAGAAAGUGAUUUAGAUAACAUGCGCUACUUGAAAGCAGUGAUCAAAGAGACACUUCGGCUACAUCCGCCAAUACCAUUACUCGCCCCUCGUGAAUCAACUGAAGUUGUUAAGAUAAUGGAACACGAUAUAGAAGCAAAAACUAUGGUCUUUAUCAAUGCUUGGGCAAUUGGAAGAGACCCAGCAGAGUGGGAUGAACCAGAAGAGUUUCGACCGGAGAGAUUCAAGAAUUCUUCAGUGGAUUUCAAAGGGCAAGACUUUCAAUUACUCCCAUUUGUAGCUGGUAGAAGGGGCUGCCCAGGAAUCUCAUUUUCCAUGACUACUAAUGAGCUUGUGUUAGCAAAUAUUUUGCACAAGUUUGACUGGGAACUGCCUGCUGGAACAAGUGCAGAGGCUAUAAACAUGACCGAAUGCAGCGGUGUUGUUGCGCAUAGGAAAAUUCCUCUUGUGGCUGUCGCAAAACCGAGUUUUUUCUAGAAUCUUUCUGCUUCUGUUUUUGUGUGGAAGGUCAGGAUAAAUGUCUCUUAUCUUUCUGGUAUGAACUAGGCCUAUUUGGUUACACCUUCUUGCCUUGCUCUGCUUUUCUGCUUGCAUUCUCUUAUUACUCUUUCGGUAGCUGGCUAAAACUCGAGGUACUAUAACAAGCAUCAUUUUUACACUGUAUUCUACUAUUUUCAGUUCCUAGUAGACACCGUCACUACCCUACCUUGAUAAGGGUCUUAUUAUGAUGGUGAUCAUAUGACACAGCAGAGAUUGCAACAACAACAAAGGUUCAUUUAACAAUGGUUUCCUUUGGUUAAUACUUAAUAGGAGCACAACAGGCCGUCAUAUAAAUGAUAUAAUCAUAGAUCGAAAAUUGGGAACAAGAUUACAUGAACAUAAUAUUAAUCGUCACAGUUAGGGGAAGAACUGCAUUGAAUACAACUCUAGAAGCAGAGCAAGAAGAGAAGUUGUUCACCAGAGAUUAAGAAUAUCAUCAGUCUUCUCUGUUGUCAGUGUUUCCUUCUCUUAGUAAUGAUGACAUGAUGUAAUUUGUAGGAAUCACUUCUUCAUAAUCGGUAAAAGUGCUUAUUGAAGAAGCACUACCAAACUGCUUUGACAAACUGCACAUGAAAUCAUGAUACUGUCAUGCAUGGAUCAGAACUUCAUCAGAAAUUCAGCACAUAUGUACCGUAUGCUUCUUGACUAUAAAUAGUAGGCUGAGCGAGAUACUAUCCGAAUCAAAUCGUAUUGAACCAGAUCUUAUAUCAUCAAGAUAUCGUUUAGAUCGAGGAAAAUGCAUAAAUCAUUCUUAUCCAUGAAAUGGUAUAAGAAAGCGACGGGUUUUAACCAAGGCCAAAGAACCCUGCAUGAUUAGUCCAAUGAAGGAGACCUCCUUGACCACCGUUAAAAUUGUGCAAUGAAUGAGGCUCCAAAUUAUCAACCAAAGUCGCAAUCUCAUUUUACACGGCAGAACUUUUGCCUAAUAAUUCCAUGGACCGACUCGAGCAUGAUAAACAUGUACCAUUACGUAAUAUGUCAGCUUAGGUAAUACACAUUACAUAGGAAAAUCCAACACUUUGAUGUCUCAUAUCAGAGAAAAGAGAAAUGUAAUAAAUAAAUGCAACAAAAGAAAAGAGAAAACUCAUUUUUUUCAUGAAAGUUGCAUAAAAUCGAGAACCACGAAACUACUUUCGUACGAAGAUAAGAUGCAUGAGCAGGCACUACGUACUGCUGUCAGUUUUGUUUUCUAUUUAAACACACAAGCCAGCACAGCAGUGUGAGUACGUACUCAAACUCAUUUCUGAAAGAAUAGAAGAAGAACUUGAACCCGAUCACUUGCAAAUAAAAACAUGCUGGAUCUGAGUGAAACUUUAUCACUAGCACCGCUUCUAGCCAUUACUCUCGUCUUCCUAUACAAAUGGUCCUCCACCAGUACAGAAAACUCGCCACCUUCUCCACCAAAACUCCCUAUUCUCGGAAACCUUCACCAACUAGGGUUACACCCUCAUCGCUCACUCCGAGACUUAGCUCAGAUCCAUGGCCCCCUCAUGCUCCUUCACUUUGGAAGCAUCCCUGUCCUCGUUGUUUCCUCGGCUGAGGGAGCCCGUGAGAUCAUGAAAACCCAUGACCUCUCUUUCUCCAACAGACCCAAGACGUUGAUCUUUGAGAAGCUGUUUUACAAUUUCAGAGACGUAGCGUCGGCGUCUUAUGGCGAGUACUGGAGGCAGAUGAAGAGUGUAUGUGUUUUGAAUCUCCUGAGCAACAAAAGGGUUCGCUCUUUUCGUUCUGUUAGAGAGGAGGAAGUUAAUUCGAUGAUCGAAAAGAUAAAGGAAUCAUCAUCAACAUCAUCGGUUGUGAACAUGAGCGAAACGUUUGCUACGCUGACUAAUGAUGUCACCUGUAGAGCUGCUCUGGGUAGGAAGUACAAUACUGGUGGGGAUGGUUUGAAAGAUCUGUCGGAGGAGUUUAUAGAGCUACUGGGGCACAUCAAUGUUGGGGAUUUUAUCCCAUGGCUUGCUUGGUUGAACCGUAUGAAUGGUUUGGAUGCUAGAUUGGACAGGGUGGCUAGACAGUUUGAUGAGUUCUUGGAGAGAGUGAUUCAAGAGCAUGUAGAUAGUUCCGAAAGUAGAACUAAUGGCCAUGCUCACACGGAGAAUGACCAAAAGGAUUUUGUGGACGUUUUACUUGAAAUUCAGAAAGCAAACUCACUUGGCUUUCCCCUCGAAAGAGUUAGCAUAAAGGCACUUAUCUUGGUACGGUUACCUUGCUCGAUCUCCCUCUAGCUGCAUCACUUGUUUUGUUAUUAAUCAAUCUUUUCUUUAGAUAUAUAUAUUAUGCCAUUCAAUCGUAUAUCUAUACAUAUAACACAACUUUACAAUAAGAUUUCUCUACGUACGUAAUACGUACAUGUUCUUUUGUCUAGCUCAUCAUGUCUUCUAUACUGUUACUAUUAUUAUUAUUAUUUUUGAGUACUCUUUUAUAUUAUUAUUGAUCAUUAGUUUGAACUACAUAGCAGUAUAUACGCGAGCAUGAACGCCAAUAUCAUUUGGUAAUAAAUUUGGCUACAUGCACGAGACUACGAGUACAGUAUGUACAUGUGUUUGCAUGGAACCUUGACAUAUUAGGUUAUUUAGUUACUGUUACAUAUGCACUGAUGCACUGUAAUUAUAAUGCAAAGAGCUGGAUUUGAUCUAGUCUUAUGAUCUUUGAAUUGCAUUUGUAAUAUACAGCAUCAAGUUAUAUUAGAUAUGCUAGCUAGAUGUCUGAAUUAAUCGACUAAUUAAUAUAUUUUCUUAUAGGAUAUGUUUGCUGCUGGAACUGAAACUACAUUUGCAUUCCUGGAAUGGGCAGUAAGCGAGCUUUUAAGGAAUCCAAUGGUCAUGAACAAGCUGCAGAAAGAGAUUCGGGGAAUAGUCGGAGACAAGAAAGACAUAACGGAGGAUGAUUUGACCGGAAUGCACUACUUGAAGGCAGUGAUCAAAGAGACUUUUCGCUUGCACCCUCCGAAUCCGUUACUAGUGCCCAGGUUAUCAACCCGCGAAGUGAAAAUAAAUGGUUACAACAUUAAAGCCAACACACAAGUCAUAGUGAACGCAUGGCACAUUGGAAGAGAUCCCAACACAUACAAGAAUCCAGAGGAGUUUGAGCCGGAAAGGUUCCUGAUUCAGAACGAUAUAGAUUACAGGGGAAAUGACUUCCAACUUAUUCCAUUUGGAGCUGGUAGAAGGAUAUGUCCAGGUAUUCAGUUUUCCACGGCUGUUAAUGACAUUGCUUUGGCAAACAUACUGCACCAAUUCAAUUGGGAAUUGCCUGAUGGAGCAAAAGGCCAGGAUUUGGAUAUGACGGAAUCUACUGGAAUAACCAUACAUAGGAAAAAUCCUCUUAAAGUCGUGGUUGUUCCAUAUUUUCAUUGAAAGUGUGGCCUGUGUUGAAUGUAUUUGAUAUGCAAAUGUAGUACAUGUAAUGAGAAUAAGACAUUGUUGUGCCUAAGAGAUAUAUUGUGUUUUGUGAAGACUACAAAUAUUACGUACGAUGAGCUCUAUACUGUACAACAUACAAUUGACGAAUCAAUAAUUGAUUCUAGGGUCUCGUAGAAAUGCUCUAUAUGAUCGAGAUAUAUAUAUAUAUAUACAGUCUGUUUCUGGUGCGGACGUUCGUACGGGUUUUCCAUACGGAUUUCAGCCGUUUCUCCACCAUUCCAACGCCGGUGACGCCGUUUCUUCUCCCAAGCGUGAUCCCAGACCUCCCCCGACGGUGUUGGAAUGAAGAAGAAGGCUGGAGAGAUCACGAUUGGAGGUCUGUGCACAGCAAUCUCACUCAGAACUUCACGACCGAUCAUGGUGGACCUCCGAUCGCGAUCUCUCCGGCCUUCUUCUUCAUUCUAACACCGUCAGGGGAGGUCUGAGAUCAAGCUGGGGAGAAGAAACGGCGUCGCCGACGCUGGAAUGGUGGAGAAACAGCGGAAAUCCGUACGGACGUCCGCACUUGAUAAUCCUUGUAUAUAUAUAUAUAGCCCUUCUUGGCUGCGGACGUCCGCACCGAAGGUUUCGGUACGGAUUUCCAUUUUUGCACCACUUUCCGAUCGAAUUUCCUCAUCUCCACCGUCUAGUAUCUAGAUAAUAUUGUGUAUAUCAUCUCUGCAAAAUUUCAACCAAUUUGGUGAUCGUUAAGACCCUCAAACUCGAGUUUUUCUGGUAUGAACACAACCGGACAGAAUUCAGUCCGUCCAUUUGUUUUUCGAGNNNNNNNNNNNNNNNNNNNNAUGAACGGACCAUAAAUCUGUCUAACAAGAAGAAACUGUCUGUGUAAAUAAUGAUUACGAAAACCAAAACGAUCUUCAAAUUUGAUAAAACUUUGCAUAAAUGAUCUAUGCAUUAGGUUCUACAAACUGAACGGUGGAAAUGUGAAAAUAUGACCGAAAAGUGAGUCAAAUAAGGAACUUCAUACUUUAAUUUUAAAGCGAAGCUUCGCUCUGGAUAAGAACUAUAUAUAUAUAUAUAUAUAUAUUUAUGUGCCCAAGUGAGUGUUAGAAAGAUAUUCCCUAAUUUUCAGGUUAAUUGUGUUUUUUGAGUUAAUUCUGGAAUGAGAUGUUAUUACAGCUUAAUUAGCAAGGUAAGUUUUCUGCUAAUGAUCAUAGGAUUCCAGCAUUGUUUGUUGAUAGUGAUCAAUAGCUGUAUGUCACGUGUCAUCGUACAUGUGCUCAUGGUCCUCUAUUUAUCUUGGAUUCUCUCUCCUUUGUAUGAAGGUCUGGACUCUGGACAAUAUUUUCAUCAAUAUAGUCUCUUCUCCUUUUUCUGCAUUUUUCCUAUACUUUACUGCAAAAUCCUUUUAGAGAGCUUACAUAGAAGAAAGCAAAUACAGCAUACACGGAUUUGUUACGCAGCUAGACAGAAAGAUGAAGAUGUUAAUGAUGAAUCUCCUCGAAUCAUUGCUGGAUCUAAACGAAAUCUUCUCCGUAUCGCUUGUUGCCAGUUUCCUCAUUCUCUUAUACAGAUCAUGGUCUUUCACCACUCCUACAUCAAAGAUCACCACCUUCUCCACCUAAGCUCCCAAUCAUCGGUAACCUUCACCAACUAGGGUUACAACCUCAUCGCUCACUUGAAUCCCCCUCUCAACGCCAUGGCCCUCUCAUGCUCCUCCAUUUCGGAAGCGUCCCCGUCCUCGUCGUCUCCUCCGCCGACGCCGCCCACGAGAUCAUGAAAACCCACGACCUAACUUUCUCCAACAGACCCAAGUCUGUCAUCUUCGAGAAGCUUCUUUACAACUACAAAGACGUGGCGUCGUCGCCUUACGGCGAGUAUUGGAGGCAAGUGAAGAGUACAUGUGUUCUCAAUCUUCUGAGCAACAAGAGGGUUCGGUCUUUUCGCUAUGUCAGAGAAGAGGAGACAACAUCCAUGAUCAACAAGAUAGCAUCAUCAUCUUCAAGAGCGGUGAAUUUAAGCGCAAUGUUUGCGAGGCUUGCUAAUGAUGUUGUAUGCAGGGUGGCUCUGGGGAGGAAGUACAGUAGUUCGGAUUUCAUUGAAGGUGGUCGGACUUUUAAGGAGGUUCUGUUGGAGUUUGUAGAGUUACUGGGAACGUUUAGUAUUGGGGACUUCAUUCCAUGGCUUGCUUGGUUGAAUCGUGUCAAUGGUUUGAAUGGUAAGUUGGAUAAAGUGGCUAAAGAGUUGGAUGAGUUUUUGGAUAGAGUGAUUCAAGAACAUGAAGGUGACGAUCGGUCAAGGAGUAGUGGGACUGAUUUUGUGGAUGUUUUGCUUGAGAUUCAAAAGGGGAACUUGCUUGGUUUUCCUCUUGACAUAGUUAGUAUUAAGGCUCUCAUCUUGGUACGUAUUCUCUCUCUCUCUCUCUACGAAGUAUUACGUUCUCUCUCUCUCUCUCUCUCUCUCUCUCUCUCUCUCUCAUCUGGCUUUCUCAGGUAAAAAUCAUCUUUAACUUAACUAUAGUGCAUAUAUACAUAUAUUCUUAAUAGACCCAUUUUCCUAUUAUAUUUUCUUAUCUUAACCGUUUAGUUUUUAGGUGUAUAUGAGUGGAUCAUCUUUGGUAAUCAUAAAAGUAUCGAAAAUGUAUUAAAUCAAUGAACGAACCGAAUCUGCUUAGCUUGAGCCGUUCGUGCUCUUAAUUUUAAAUUACAGUUUUGAAUGUCUUUAUGAUUAUCAAUUUGGUUAAAAAUUUACAGAGAUGGUCUACUUAUAUAUAUCUAAGAACUGAACGGUUAAGAUGAGAAAAUGUGAUCGAAAAAUGGACAUAUAAGAAAAUCCGUACCAAAAAGGAUGCAUACUUAAUUGUGUUGGAUGUUAACAAAAUUUAUGCCGCUAUAUCUACUUUCUUUGUAGGAUAUGUUUGCUGCUGGAACUGAUACCACAUAUACAGUCCUAGAGUGGGCAAUGACGGAGCUUUUAAGGCAUCCAAGUAUCAUGAGAAAACUGCAAAAUGAGGUACGAAGAAUAGUCGGGAACAAAUCACAAAUAACUGAGAAUGAUUUGGUCGAUAUGCGAUACUUGAAGGCAGUGAUCAAGGAGACCCUUCGUUUACAUCCUCCAAUUCCAUUAUUAGUGCCCAGAAAAUCCACUCAAGAUGUGAAAGUAAACGGCUACGACAUCAAAGCCAAUACACAAGUUAUAGUGAAUGCAUGGAAGAUCGGAAGAGAUUCCAAGUCAUACAACAAUCCUGAGGAGUACGAUCCUGAAAGGUUCUUAAACACUCAUAGGGGAAUAGAUUACAAGGGAAACGACUUUGAAUUGAUUCCAUUUGGAGCUGGAAGGAGGAUCUGUCCAGGAAUUCAGUUUGCCAUGGCUAUAAAUGAGAUUGCUUUGGCAAAUUUGGUGCACAAAUUUGACUGGGCACUACCUGCAGGUGAAGCAAAAUGUGAGGAUUUGGAUAUGAGUGAAUCCAUCGGACUAACCAUUCACAGAAAAAUUCCUACUUAAAGUUGUUGCUACUCCAUACUCUUGUUGAAAUAUAUACUAGCAUAUAUAUGUACUUGUAACUUGUGGCUCAUAUUAAGAAGAUCAUAUUGUGGUUGAAAUAUAUUAGCAUAUAUAUCGAGUGCAUAACUGCAUAUACAUGUACUCCAAUAUUCUUUUUUUUUUUUGGUUUCACAAGGAAGUUAGAGUUUGUUUGGUAAGUACCGGAAAAUAGCACUUAGGCAACGAAAUUUUUUAAUUUCGUCUCCUAAGUGGUACUUAAGUGACGGAAUUUUCUACUUAGGAGACAAAACAGUUUUCAUCUCCUAAGAACGACUUAGGAGAUGGAAUUUCAUUCCGUCGGUUAAGUAGAAUUUAGGAGACAGAAUAUUUUUACUUAGACGACGACAUUUUGAAAAAAUAAAAUAAAAAAAAUUAUAUGAAUAACUAUGGAGAUGGAACUACAUUUCGUAGCCUAAGUAGAACUUAGGAGACGGAAAUGUUUCCUUAGGAGACGAAAUGUUUUUUUAAAAAGAAAGAAAAUUAUGAAUCACUUAGACGACGGAAAUAGAACAUUCCGUCGCUUAAGUUCUAAAAAUUGGAGCGCCCAUCUUCCCGCGUAAAAUUUCAUGAAAAUUCAAACCAAUUUUUUUCAAAACAUAUCAAUUCUUUUAAAUNNNNNNNNNNNNNNNNNNNNCUGUCCAGGAAUUCAGUUUGCCAUGGCUAUAAAUGAGAUUGCUUUGGCAAAUUUGGUGCACAAAUUUGACUGGGCACUACCUGCAGGUGAAGCAAAAUGUGAGGAUUUGGAUAUGAGUGAAUCCAUCGGACUAACCAUUCAUAGAAAAAUUCCUCUUAAAGUUGUUGCUAUUCCAUACUCUUGUUGAAAUAUAUAUGUACUCCAAUAUUCUUUCCUCUUUUUUUUUGGUUAAAAAGGAAGUUAGUGUUUGUUUGGUUGCUGAUAUAUUACAUUUGAUAUUGUGUAUAAAGUUAUGCAAAAAUAGAGGGUUUCCUAGUCCAUUUUGAAAUAUCCAGUAAGCUCUUUGAAAUAUUGAGAUGUCUGAAAUACUCUUCGUAAUUGGAAGAUUACUCAAAGCAUAUGCUUGCAUACUAACUUAAGACACUAUAUACGAUCACUAGGACGCUGCGUGGGAGCAAGAACAUAUCUGCCUUUCAAAUCUAGGGAAAAGAUGGACUGUUAGUUAGGAACUUGAAGUUGCAGAUUCAUUAUUGUGCCGAAUUUCGUUUCUUGUUGAUAUCUUUCUCUUUUUCCUUGGUCAGAAUUUCUGGUUGAUAUCAAGUCCCAACCCACUGACUUGCUAAUUGCACUUGAAGACAAAGAGGAUAGCGGGCGCAUUCAGUAAGCAACAGCAUGACGAAAAGACAAGGCUAUAUAUCCCUGUUCGGGACAGACUUGAACUUUUCGAUUCUACCGCUUCAAAGUUAAAAUUUCAAGAUGAGACGAGACGAGACGAGUUAUGGGCACACAGUGACCAACCCAUAAGGUACAAGAAAGAAAUCUCUCCCCCUCCUUUGCUUCUUCAGAAUAUAUUAUCAACAACGCGGGUUUACAGGUUGUGCUUAGUUUUUUGAAACUCCCAUAAUGCAUAAUGUUACUGAAGAUGAUGAUGAUGAUUCAGUCACCAAGCCCCUUGGAAGGUGUUCUGUCAUGUAUUAUGGCGUGAGCCACAUGCUCGAUGAUAUUACCGCUUCCUGCUGGUUUACAUACCUCGAUCUUGUUAUUCUUGACAGAUAUUGGACUAUCCCCCAGGGAUGCUGCUACCGUAAUGUUAUCUGGUCAAAUAGCUGAUGGAUUUGAAAACAUAUCUGCUGGCGAACCGGUACUUUCACACUUCAAUAUAUCAUGUGUAGAUGAUGAAUUAUGGUACACUAGACAAAUCUAAUGCAUCUUACAUGGUCCUUUGCUUCUUCAAAAUACAUUCAGAUAUUUGCUUUUGUUACAAAAAAAAAAAAAAAAAAAAAAGAACUUAAGACACUAUAUACGCUAGUUUAAGAUAUAUAUAGAGAAUUACGACUUUUGGAACAAAUACUCAGGGCUAAUUUGAUAUUGCUGUGACUUAAAAAAAAAACUGUUGUUGCGUGCUGUAUUGCGGAAAUAAUCAGCUGUGAAUUAAAACAGUUUUGUGUUUGGUAAAUAUUAGUUCUAAAAGUGUUGCCAGGAUAAAAUUUAUCAAUUUCUAGUGUUUUUAGUGACAGCUGGUUUUAAAAGUAACCUUCAUGUUGCUUCUAAAAGCUGUUGUCAGUGACCUGUAAAUUUAAAAAAAAAUCUGUUUUUCUUUCAUUUACCAAAUACUAUAAAAUCUAAAAGUUUGGAUAGAAACUGAUUUUUUUUAAAAGCGAAGCUGUACCAAACUAGAACUUGUAGAUGUUGCUAUAACUUGGACUACGAAGUUGUAAAAAACUAUCUAAUUAUCGUGGCACUGGAUUUUCUUAUACUGUAAUUAUUCUGUGGUACCUAAUUUCUUGCUGGAUUGAUUCAAGAGAAAUAUGUGAAUAUAAAGAGUAAUAACGAUAAUAUACGUUACGCAAAGUUCAAGUAUAUAUAGGGCUCCAAAUUAAUUAUUAGUUCUAACAAUUCAAAAAGUCGCGCGCCAGAAAUUUUAAAUACAAAUUAUCAAACCGAAAAGGUGGUGAUAGUGUGAUACUGGUGAAGCAAAUUUCUGGUUCGUUUACUAAUUCUGCUUAAAUCAAGUUUUAAGAAUGCAGUAAGUCUCAGUUUCUGACCACCCCAUGUUUCAAGUUUGAAAUCAUCAAAGAGUUCAUGCUAUAACACAAGUAUUUUAAGUGAAGAGAUUAGAGAUUGAGAAGACCGGAGACGUUUUAAAGACAAAUAAAUUAAUUAGUAGACUUCUUCUAUUCUUGCGUCCUUGGCCGCAAACAAUUAAGCUUGUUAAUUGUUAUUGUAGUGUUUGGGAUGGAUGGGAACCUUACUACAGCUGAUCAAUAUAUAUGAGGAUCCUUAUUUCAGUUGACCAAAGAUGGGAUCCAAAUUAUAUAUAUCAAUAUAUGCAUGCCCGACUUUUUGUUAAGCAGAGAGUUCAUUAGUGAAGACACACAUACAUAAUUUUCCUGAUGAUGAAAAUGCUUGAGCAGUUGAUUCAUGAAAGCUUCUUUUCCCUGCAAUCUUUUCCCAUCACAUUAUUAGUAGUAGUUUUACCCGUUUUCUUCAUCACCCUCUUUUCGCAGAGAUGCUCCUUAUUCUCACUUGCUACAGAAAACUCACCACCUUCACCGCCAAAGCUUCUUGUGCUCAGACAACUUUUGAAAAUAGGCUCAAACCCUCAUCGCUCACUCCAAAAACUAGCUCAACGCUAUGGCCCUGAUGUCAUGCUCCUCUACUUGGGAACUUCCCCUCUGCUUAUUGUCUCGUCGGCUGAGGCUGCGCGUGAGAUCAUGAAAACAAAUGAUGUAGAAUUCUCUAAUAGACCCAAGUCUGUCAUCUUCCAGAAGCUUCUCUGCAAUUAUAAAGACGUCGCCAUGGCUCCUUACGGUGAGUACUGGAGGCAGGUGAAGAGUAUCUGUGUCGUAAACCUCUUGAGCAACAAAAGGGUUCGUUCUUUUCGUGCCGUGAGAGAAGAGGAAACAAAAGUUAUGAUCAACAAGAUUAAUGCAUCAUCAGGAGAAGUUGUGAACUUGAGAGAAAUGUUUGUGAUGCUUACUAGUGAUGUUAUUUGUAGAGUGACUAUGGGGAAGAAGUACAGUACUAGUUAUGUAGGGGAAGGUGUUAAUAAGAUUUUGUUUGACGAGCUAUUAUGGGAGUUUACUGAUUUAUUGAGGAGUCUCUAUAUCGGAGACUAUAUACCAUGGCUUUCUUGGGUCAGCCGUGUUAAUGGUUUGGAAGCUAAAUUAGACAAGGUGGCUAAGCAGUUCGAUGACUUUUUAGAUAGAGUGAUUCAAGAUCGUGUAGAUCAUCGUUCAAAGACCAAUGGAAGAAGUGGUCAUGUUAAUCAUGCUGAUCCAAACAAGGAGGAUGAAAAGGAUUUUGUGGACGUUUUGCUUGAGAUUCAAGAAGGAAACUUGUCUGGCAUACCUAUUGAUAGAGUUAGUAUAAAGGCUCUCAUAUUGGUAAGUAAAACCAACACACUCUCUACCUCUAGCUUAUUGGUUUCCCUUUUCAUGGCAUAGAUUUACUUGCCUAUAUUUCUUUUGUAGGAUAUGUUUGGGGGUGGCACUGAUAGCACAUAUUCUGUUCUAGAGUGGACAAUGGCAGAGCUUCUAAGGCAUCCAAAGGUGAUGAACAAAUUGCAAACUGAGGUUAGGGGAUUGGCGGGAAACAAAGCAAACAUAACGGAGGAUGAUUUGAUUGAAAUGAACUACUUGAAGGCUGUGAUCAAGGAGACUCUACGCUUACACCCUCCAUUUCCUGUACUAUCUAGGAUAUCCAGCCAAGAUGUGGCAAUCAAGGGUUACAAAAUCAAAGCUAACACACGCAUUGUAGUAAACAUGUGGCAAAUUGGAAGAGAUCCCAAGUCUUACAAGAAGCCAGAGGAGUACGAGCCAGAAAGGUUCUUGAAUGAGAAUAGUGGAGUCAGUUAUAAAGGAAACGACCUCCAGUUGAUUCCAUUUGGAGCUGGCAGGAGGGUCUGUCCUGGGAUUCAGUUUGCCAUGGCUGUUAAUGAGAUUGCUUUAGCAAAUUUGGUGCACAAGUUUGAUUGGGCAUUGCCUGGCGGAGCAAGCGGGGAUGAUCUAGACAUGACUGAAUCCACUGGCAUGCCAACACAUCGAAAGCAUCCUCUUAAAGCUGUCGCUAUUCCAUACUUGGCUAACCGCGGAUAGAAUCCAAAUUUUCGUAUACCAGUACUAGUUUCAUGUGUGUUAGUAUCACAGCAGACACAUGUUUGAUCCCCCGUAGUAUGUAUGAGUUUACAUAGACUUGAUUUGUUUUGGAUCUAGUAGUUGAACAUACGCAAAGCUUUCCUUAUUUUCCACAAAGAAGUUUCUUACCGGAUGGAUAUGCCCACCAUAGCUGUCAACUUUUCUCAUUUCCAAAUCAAGUGAGAAUUGAGAGAUAAGGUCUGCAAGCUUUGUAUAACAUAUAUACUGUAUCUAAGUAUCUUUCUACAACUCUAUCUUGAUGGUAAGUGCAAAUGUGCAAUAAUGUCAGCAGACCAGUUGUUAUCUUCUAUCUCAUUCAGGUCCAUGUAUGUUUUGUAGUUUUUCAUAUCAGCACUAAAACUUCCACAUAGAAAACAAGAACCAUAAAGAUUUGGAAAAUCUGAAUGAUACAAAAUAGUUUAGGCGGCUACGUUUGGCUAAUUCUGACUAUCAUGUGCAUAAGUCAAGUAUCAGCAUCACGAAUUGUUUUGUGAGACAGAAGAAUGUCUAAAGCAACUAUAAACUGAUGAACACAGAGAACUAUAAAUUGAUGCACACACAGAUAUAAAGGUACACUCACAUACCUGUUUUGGUCCAAUGGAUCUUCUUCAGUUUCUUAACAGACCAUCUUUGCUUCUGGCAUUCAGUUUCCUCAUAGCGUUGCUUACAUUCCUCUUCAAGGAUAGUUCAAGAAAAAGAAAACUCAAACUCCCACCAGGCCCUCCAAAGCUACCUGUCAUUGGCAACCUUCACCUGCUAGGAAACCAGCCUCACCUAUCUCUCCGGUCCUUAGCAGAGAAAUAUGGUCCAAUAAUUCACUUGCAACUUGGUGAGAUCCCAACUGUGGUGGUUUCAUCAGCUAGAGUUGCCAAGGAAGUACUAAAAACCCAUGAUCUUGCACUAUCAAGCCGUCCACAAAUCUUUUCAGCCAAACAUCUCUUCUAUAAUUGCACUGAUGUUGUCUUCUCCCCUUAUGGUGCUUAUUGGAGACACAUACGUAAGAUUUGCAUACUUGAGCUGUUAAGUGCCAAACGAGUGCAGUCAUAUAGCCAUGCCAGAGAAGAAGAAGUUGCUCGUCUGGCUCAUCGGGUUGCAGAGUGCUAUCCCGGCACCACUAAUCUCAGCAAGUUGCUUGGACUAUAUGCAAAUGACAUUCUCUGCCGCGUAGCAUUUGGAAGAGAUUUCUCAGGUGGUGGAGAGUAUGAUCAGCAUGGUUUUCAAAAGAUGCUCGAGGAAUACCAGGAAUUGCUUGGCGGAUUUUCUAUUGGAGAUUUCUUCCCUUCCAUGGAGUUCCUCCACACCUUAACAGGAAUGAAAUCA